UAAACGCCCCCAAAGUAAACCAAUUUCAUGUGGGGAUUUUAUGUUGCAUACCUUGUGAAUAGUGGCCAAGCGUUUGGUCUCUUCCUUGAUCUGACCCAGGUGAGAGAGGAUGCAGUCGCAGAUCUCCAUCUUCUUCCUCUUGAUCCCCUCCUCCUUGGCCCUGAAAGUGGACGGAGCAGCCCUCGACAUCUCCUUGUCCUCCCUCAACAGCGACGUGUUGCUGCUGAAGCUCAAGUUCCCCGACGAGCCCUGCAGGAUCAGCAGCAGCUGUUGCUGCCGCUGCCGCUGGGCCUGUUGCAAGGCCUGCUGCUCGUGCACCUGCAUCAAGAUCUUCUUCUUCUUCUCUCUGAUCUUCAAGCAACAGAAACCCCUGUGACCUCUGAUAAACCAAGUGUAUAAACUUCAGUACCGUCCCCACUGAUAAACCAAGAAUAUUCCACCAUCUUUGCUGUCUAAUACUAAUAAACCAAGUAUUUGAACUUCAGGACAGUCUGCACCAAAUGCAACCAAACCAAGUGUUCAAACUUCAGGCAUAUGGCUAGCCUACCGAUGGAAAUUUACCUCAAAUGGAGCCAGGAGUUCCUCCAUCUUCCCUGGUACGCACAUUUGUUCUUGUGCGCUGCUCUCUGCAUGCGAAACCAAUGAUGGGUGCCAAAACAUCGACGGGUCUGUUAAUGCAGCCGGCACACUCUCUUCCUCCUGCAAAAACAGGGGACAUUAACAAACCCAGGGCAUUGUAUUUCGCCAUUUUUGUGGCCUCACCAGAGGAGGGAUGCCUAAUUACCACAUGUUGGUCCUACUCAAAUUCGAUUUGACAAAGAAAUGAGUACACCAAUUUUAAGAUUCACAAACAAACGUAUUUUAUCCAGGUUUUUGUUUAAUUGCCUGAAGGGCUCCAAGCAACAAAUUUGGCAACAUGAAAGAAGAAAAAAGAAUACCGUCUUCCCUAAGUCGCCAUCUAAUGUUGAUUACUGUAACACUGCAAACAUGCUUUUUAACCCAUAGCAUGAAUGGUGCUGUGCCAGUAAAAGCUUCAGCACCUCAGAUCAGACUGUCCUUGAAAAUUGGCACUCCAAAAAUAGAUAGCACCUUGGAUCAUCAAAUCAUGUAGACCAGUUCAAGCUCUAAAUUGAAAAUAUCCCAAAUACAAUAUUAAAGAAAUCGCACAUUCAUUGGAUAUUCUGGAGAUUCUAAGUGAACAAAUAGCACUUGUAAGUAAAGAUGACACCUUUAUUUUGACUCCACAGGCCAAAAGAUGGAUUCAUAAUAAUUUGGAAUUGAGUUUACAGGAAAUUUCCAUGGGCGUUAUGCAUGAUAUUCAAGCCAAAUCCCCAAUCCUUUUAGCAUGUUUCCGAAGCAGAGAACCGCGAAAUUGAGCAUUAAAUAUAGUUGCUCCCACCUUAAUCAACCGAAACAAAAGCAUGCGAACAAUCUGUGUCCUUUUUCUGUUUUGCUUUGGACGAUCCUAUCUCUUAUUUUGCUAAGAUUAGUAAGAUCGCAACAACAUCCUGCGUUUGGGCAUAUACCCAUUGACAUCAUUCCCAAACUUCAGACCUAUUCAAUCCACAAGAGAAAACAACUCAAAUGAGUUCCCAUACCUCCUUCGGAAUGAAAGCAGAGUACAAGAAAGGAGAUUAAGCCGCCCGGCUUUGGACGAAGAGGACCCGACGUCGCCGUCGGCCUCAUCGAGCUCUUGCGCAAGGACUCGAUGUCGUCGCGCUCGAACGAAGAUGAAAUUUGGGGAUUCGGCGAAGAAGAAAAAGGACACUCAGAUGAAGAAGAGGAGGAUCGAUGAAUGAGAAGCGGACUCCAUGAACAAGAAGUACACUAUGGACGAGAAAGACUGAUGAAGAUGUGACGAGAACUUGAGAAGAAUACUCAAUCAUUGCGUUUGAAGGCUCGAAGCUCUAUGCCACGUAGGAGUGUGAAAAGAAUAAACAAAAAUUUUCAUUUAACUAAUUGAACAAAAUUAAUAAAAUGACUCGAUUAUACUAAAUUAACAAGUUUUAUUACUCGAUUGUAAUUUUUUGUAAGCUUUAGGACUUCUAAUAUAUUUAUCUCUUUAAUGUUCUAUCUACACUGUAAAUAUUGCAAAUCAUUAAAGUCAUUGUCAUAAUGAUUGGUAUUAAGGAAGAAAUGAAGAAAAAAAAAGUGCAGUAUAUUACGUAGAAAAAACGCUAAGUAAAACCAAUUGUUUCUUAUAAAAUGAGAGAAAAUUUUAAAUAAUAGGCUAUAAGCUAUUAUAUAUAUCCUAUAAAAUGAAGUUUUUCCGAAUAUUUGUGAUAAAAUCUGAACCUCUUACUGCAACUAUGUAACUUUCUCAUAUACAGAAAAAAGGAAAAGCUAGAAAAACGCAGAGAGAGAAAACAUCACAUGCGUUAACUGGUUUUUAAAGUAAGUGAGACCGAGACUUAUUGUAUGAUUGUUUCUUUUUUUAUUUUCCACAAUUAUUAUAAAUCUCCUUAUAGUUGAAUUUAUGUUUGUGGAUGGUCUUGCUGACUUACCUUAUAUUGCUUGAAAUUUUGGACAGAGCCUUCGAAUCCUUGCUUAAGCCCAAGUAAUUUCGGGCAACCGGCAAUACUUAAGUAGCAAUCAUUUGGCAAUUCAGUGGUCGAUACAUUUUCCAACAAUGGGCAGUCAUUAAGGUAUAAGAACUUGAAAAACUCCAACUUGUCGAGGCCCUCGACAAUUCGUAGGUUAGGGUUGUACUCUAUGCACAAGCGCUCAAGGUUCUUUAAUUCUGACAAACCACCAAGACUUUGUAAAUGAUUACCAUAAACUGUCAAGUCUUGCAACGAUUCUGACGUACCAACAACUUGAAUACCGAGUAUCUUAUCGCAAAACCCUAUGCACAGUCCCCACAACUUAUUGAAGACUCUUGAUGCAAGGACUAGUGAAGAUUCAUGGGAAGAUUUCCAAUGUCUGUCAACGUACACGAACCUUCUGAAGGACUCACAUUCACUGAUAUCCAAAUUGCGCAACGAUUCCAGCACCCCAGCGAUGUGGAUCUCAUCUAAUUUUGGGCAGCACGCCACGUUGACCUCUUCUAGCUUCGUCAUGCUAGAUAGCAUGAAUCUCUCGAGGGAUCCACAGCAAAAAAUUAGAAGCUCCAUUAAAUUUGGAAGCUAAAGCCCAUCGAGUAUUAUCUCUUGUAUUUGAGAGCGAUAGAGCCUUAAAUUUGACAAAUUCUCUAAGUGGGAGGAGAGAAACGUGGUUGAAUUAAUAUUAUCAAGGGUUAGCUUUAAUAGAGAAGAGGGAAGUUGCUUGAGGGGUUGCAAGUUCAAUCCACACAAACGGAGUUUGUCAAGCCGAGUAAGAGAAGCCAACUCAGUGGGAGCAGGGGCAUGGAGGAGACACAAGCUUAAUUUUUUUAGUUUGGAUAACCCCCUGAUCCACUCUAAAUCACCAGUAUAAGUUUUAUCUUGUUCGUCAAUUUUGGAGCCGUCACUUAGUUUCAACCUAACUAAAUUAGUCAAGUUUGAAAGGUCCGGCAACUCUCGAAUUUCAUCAAACCCUUCUAACUCUAGUAUUUGAAGCCGCAGAAGCAAGCCAAUUUCAGAAGGGAGUUGACUUUUCAAAUUUCCUUCAACUUGAAGCGCUUUCAGAUUCUCAAACUUUCCAAACUCCAUUGGAAGUGCAAUUGAAAGCUGCAACUCCCGUAAUGAUUUCCACUUAAAUAUGAAAUCCGGUAAUUCCUUCAUUGGACGACAAGAUUGUAAAGAGAAGUGCUCUAGAUUCCGUAGGUCCCCAAUUUUUUCAGGCAAACCUUCAAGGCGAUUGCAAAGAUCAAACUUUAAAUCUUUUAGAUACUUUAACUUCCCAAUAGAGCCAUCAAUCUUCGUUAAGCCGUCGCAAGCCAAAAAAGUCAGCCUCUCUAAUUUUGAGCAUUCAGAUAGGUCUGGUGUUCUGGUUAUGCCAUGACAAUUACCAAGACUAAGAACUUUCAAUUUUAUUGCCCCCUGUAAAAAGUGAAUGCAUUAUCUAAUGGAAGAGCAGUUCAAACGUUCAUUUAAGGACAAAGAAAGGAAAUAAGCAUAUGACGCACCUCUAUUAACUGCAAUAAUUUCUGAUCGUCUAUACUGGGAAUGCUUGAAAAUUCAAGGACAACCACAUUCUUUAAGCACAUAUUGGUCAGCUCCCACUGUAAAGAUGAAGAAUGACACAAAUAAAUCCAUUUUAGUUUGGGAAAACAAUUUAUUAGAUUAAGGAACCUUAGUUCUUUAAACCUUCCAAUCUCUUCACUUUUGAUACUUGUGUGAGUUACUUCCAUCGCUUGAACUUUCUUCAUCUGCAAAUGAGAACAAGAAAGGAGUAGCAUUCAGCAUUCCAUUUUAUUGAGGAAAAGUAUUAAAACCAAGAAGCAAAAAGAGAAUCUAUAAGUUCUCUCGUUAAGUAUCCCACCUCUUUUGUCGCCAUUGUAGUGAGGACUUCAUCAUCAAUCCAUAACCUACUAGGCCCUUCAGGAUUCGUUCGAUAUUCUUGACGAACAAUUUCCCUUCCAAGAUCUCGAAGUUGAUCGUGCAUCAAAAACUCAUUGUCAUUUCCAAUCUUUAUCAAGGACUUGUUUUUGAGGAUCUCAAUUCCACAGAUUGAGGAAAAACCACAAUCUGUCCACAUAUAAAUUGGGUUUGUCAUUAUAUCACCAAUGAAAAAGCAUGCAAUAUCCAGAAAAAUUUGUUGCUGCCCAGGAGUCAAUGCAUUAUAGCUAAUCCUCAACUUUUCGAAAACACCCUCUGGAGGUGCUUUGCGUAAAUCGUCCAAUGUUUCUUUCCAUAGGUCUUGUGUUCCAUGGGUCACAAGUGAACCAAUUACUGCAAUAGUCAAAGGAAGGCUUCCAGUAGCCGAUACAAUUUCCUUUGAAAUAUCAUCGCGAUCAUCUGGAGGAGAGUCCUUGUUAAAUGCAUGUCUGCUGAAGAGCUGAAGCGCAUGAUCACUACUCAUCACCUUCAUUUCAUAAGGUAAUAUACUGCACUUCAGUUGAGAGCCUUGCAAAACAUUCUUGUUUCUAGUAGUAAUCAGUACUCUAGACCCUGAACAAAAAUCACCUUUUCCAACUAAUUUCUCCCCUUGUUCAUCGUUAUCAACAUCAUCCAGCACAAUGAGGACCUUCUUAUUGUGAAGUCUUCCUUUGAUCAUCUCCAUUAGACGUUCAGUUUCGUCAAUACUUCCUAUUCCUGCGGCAUUUCCUAUUUCAGACAAUAAUUUCUUUUGCAAUUUAACCAAACCAUCAGCUCUUGACGAAUUUUCUCGAACAUUUUCAAGGAAGCAGCAACACUUUCCAAAGUGGGUCAAAAGUUCAUUGAACACGACCUUGGCGAGAGUCGUUUUACCGAUACCCCCCAUGCCAUGAAUUUGAAUGAGCCGCACACCUCCAGAGUGUAUGUCUAACAGAUUUAUUACUUCUAUCACUCGAUCAUUGAUUCCAAUUAAAUGUUCAGUCACGGACUUUUGCUUUAUCUUCAACUUAACCACAACCUCCUCAACGACCAACUUGAUUAGUUUGGCCCAGCUGUCAUGAAGGAAAACCAUUUCAAUAGCAGAAAAUUGCGAAAAAAAAGAAAAAGAAAAGAAAAACAAUCUAGUAAUUAAAUUUCAUUCAUAAUACAAUUCCACUGGAGUUCAAAAGAAUCUUAAAUUUUUCAUUUGUUUCCUACCAGUUGAUGUUACUCAAUUGCAUCUACUUAACUGCACAAUAAUUCCAUAACUAAUGGGACAUCAACAAUCAAGAUGUGCCUUCUCAAAUUUCGUAUUGAAUGUAAGGUUUCUUAGCUAUCGCUUUCGAUAACCUAACAUUUGUCAUUUGAUAUGUUGCGCAAACCUUACGUGUACUUGAUCUUGUAAAGUUCCCAAAUAACACCAAGCAUGCAUAACACAAACAUUUGACGAGAUAGAUGGAAUCGAUCCCGAAGGACUUCGGAUUUGAUUUUUCUAGCUAAUACUAUAACCAUAAAAAAUAUGAAUCUACAUCACUUUCAAACGUGCUUCUCAUGCACAUUGCUAGGUGCCACGUGUCGCAUUGUCUCUUGACACCUGAAAAAUGACUUGAUCCCAACGUGAUUAGCAAUUUUCGAAUUCUGUUAAUCUUGUUUGUGCAAGAUAAAUGUACAACUAUUUAUGCAUCAUGAAUUAGCAUCUUAUCAGUUAUAUUCAUAGGACAACCUUAGAAGUGGGAUAUUAUAUGUUCAGGAGGAGAAAUAUCUGAUGUAUCGAUUGAAAGAUCAAAUUAUUAGACAGAACAUGCAUGAUACUCAAUUAUUCCACUUCAUCACCCAUUAUAUAAAAUGCCUUUAUUCCAGCAGUUCCACAUUUUUUUUACACACAUACCGUUUAGUAUCACUAGGGGAAGUUCCACCUGAUUUGUGGUGAUAUAUCUACGUUAUUAAGUUUUGAGUAAAAGUUCUAGAAGCAUUAGAAUUUCACCAAGAGUUGCUUACUAAAUGACAGAGGUGAAAAAUGAAACAAAAUUUAUAUAGACCAUCAACGAAAGGAAAAAAAUGAGCUUUCGUUUCUAUUUUCAGUUCUUCAUUAAAAAAAGACAUAUGAUAGCACUUCUAGUGAAAUCAAGAACACUAACAAUUUUAGUAGCUCUAGCAUGAAUUUUUAUGUUUCUUGAAUUCUCUCCUCCUACCCACAUAUAAUAUGUUCCUUCUAUCUGUGAAUUAUUUACUUAGUUUUUGCAAACAGGAAAAAAUAUUAGGGAAAAAGAAGGAUCUUGGAAUGCAGCAAGCUCACCUAUCACAUUUCUUGACUUCCCAUCCCUUUAUUGCAUCAACCUCCGUCAAAGCCUUCCUCCAGGAAUCUACUUCUUCAAUGCUCAAGUUAUCCUCGCCCUGCAAAAUGAGAAUGGCAUCGCAAUAUAACUGGGUUUUCAUCUUAACAUCUUUGGGUUCCACAUCGAAGAAAAUAGGUAGGAUCUCUUUAUUCCCGUUUGACUUGGAGGUGUUCUCCAUAAUCUGCGUGAGUUCACGGAGACACCAUUUGCUCGAAGCAUAAGUUGGAGAGAAGAUGGGGAUGUAGAUCCUAGAGUUGUCGAUCGCUCUCUGGAGCGCUCCGUUGAUUCUUUCACCAACAUGGAGGUUUUCACUGUCUCGAAAGACGUGGAUACCAGUAUCAGCCAAGCUGUGGUAGAGGAAGUCGGUAAAAUUAUUACGAGUGUCGGGUCCUCUGAAGUUCAAGAACACUUGAUGCUCGCAUUCUGAUGAUGCUUCUGCCUCUGAGCUCUCCAUGUUAACUUUAGCUUUAGUAGCUCUCUUCCCUCGUAUGUGAACAAGAGAAGCCUUUGCCCUUGGCUGACUGAAGGUUUCAACCACGAACAUAUGGCGUGAAUAUAUCAGAGUGAGAUUACCAACAUAUAAAUUCAGUUACAGAAUAACAACAAAACUAAAGUCAAGUAUUUAGAUAACCGUGUUAUAUUCAAACUCUCAAUGAUUCAUAUCAUUGUAAGUCAACGUUAGAAAUGCUAUAUAGCAUUGCUUUUGCCAACUACUUUUCUCCAACUCACGAAAUUCUAGGAANNNNNNNNNNNNNNNNNNNNNNNNNNNNNNNNNNNNNNNNNNNNNNNNNNNNNNNNNNNNNNNNNNNNNNNNNNNNNNNNNNNNNNNNNNNNNNNNNNNNUUUGAUAGGUGUGUUAUAUGCAUUUUCUAAGCAAGGAAUAUACCUUCUUCAAUCUUGCCAAUUUUAAAAACACCACUAUGCACCCAAAAAAAAAAAAAUCUUAAAAACACUAUUCAAAUAUUUUAAAAGAUUGUGAAACAUUAUACGUGAAUUUAGGAAACUGGAAAAGACCAACAAUCAACGAACUCGCUCCGCAAGACUUAAGAAAACCAAAAACUCAAAGAGUAAAAAUUAGAAGUCAAUUCAAACAUAUAUAAAAAAAAAAAAAAUUGUAUAACAAUUACUAUUAUGAAAUCAAAUACUAAGUCACGGGUUCUUCUAAAAAACUUAAAUUUUUGGAACGGUUUGAGAUUAGCCCGCGAUUUUUUCAUAAAUCCACUUGUCUAUUCUUGUUAAGAAGCUGAUCGGGGAGACUUUUUGUCCAAUUUCACAGGAAGGAACGCGACAAAAAUACAUAUGGGUAUUUCAGUCCCAAGGACCAGAUCCGGCCUCGAUUGUGGACAACGCACUCAUUUUGAGCAAGGAUUUCAUCAAACCGAACACUUCAGGGAAAAUUCAGAAUAAGUCGGCAAAGAAUCAUACCGUAUCAGUGGUCGCUGCCGGGAAACGGCUUGGUCGGAGGGCUCGGUUGCCGGAGUCGCUCGGAACGACCGGGGGACGUUGAUCCCUGGGUUUGCGAAGAAGGUCUCGGCCUCCUCUGCUCUGGACACGGAUAAACCAGCCCUCAAAGAAGUGUCUGUCGGUGCUGUUGCGUGGAAAGGAAGCUCGAAGACUUUUUCCUAGCGAUCUGAGCGUGACUUCAAGCUAAUAUAUACAGUGCAUAUCGGACUGGUCUAAGCCCAUGGGCCCUUCGGUGUUUAUUUUAGGAAUCCAAAGGAGUUUCAAUUUUGCUUGAACAUAUUUUAAGGUAAAGUCACCAAAAAUCCUAAAUUAUGCCUCUUCUCACACACAUUUUAAGAAUUACACAGCAAGGAAACCCUGAGAAGGACAAUAAUGCAAUCAAAAAGGAUAAAAAGGAAAAUAAUGCAAUCGAAAAGGGUGAAAAGAAACAGCAAGGAAACCUCACAUGUGCAUAUUUUAUGGAAGCAAAGCAAGGGUCGGCAAAAAGUGGAAGGGACGCAUGAAGUUUCUAAAACAUGCCAAGCCACUUUAUAGAAACUAGGUCGGAAGGUGCCUUUGCUUUUCCUAAGAUAAAUAAGUAUAAACAAAAACAAACCUGCCCUUUGGGUAAAGCACAUAAAAUUCUCUUGGAGGCUUGUCCCAUUUUUCAACUCUAACUAUUAGAAAGGGCAUCCGGAAAACACAAACAUAAUUCAAGAAGGUGGCUCAUAUUUGGCAUAUAUCUUUGUGCGUGCAUAUAAUUUAGGCAGUGGGAUUAUAUCAUGAAUCCUGAAAUUGGUUGAAUACUCUUAAAUAAUAAAUACUCAAUAUCAAUACAAAACAACAUACAACAUGUUUUGUAUAUAUCUCCAUGCGUGCAUAGAAUUUUGAUUCACGUUUAGCACUUUACAUUUUCUGGUACAAGUUGAUCUCUUUGAAAGGGGCUAAAAUGAUGACAUAUAUAUGUGCAAACAUUCUAGAAUCUUCAAAAGAGAGGAAGAAAGAAAAUAGUCAAAAACUAUAUCUUCAGGAGGAACAAGCUCAGCUCGUGAUUGCUCCCUUUAGUUGGUCUACAUCUGUGAUUGAAGGUAAAAUCUCUUAUUUUCCAUAAGCUUAUUGAAUCAACACAGUAUUCUAAAAAAUAAAGCUAUCUGAUUCAGUAUUUUAUAGGUCUGUGCUAAGUGCAAUGUUAAAGGAGGUUGAAGGACAAAAAUAAAGGAAGUGCAGGCUCUGCUGAUGUCAUGGCCAUUAAAAGUAGGGGUAGGGCCGCUGUUUCCGAACUCUCAAACGACUCUCAUGGACGGUCCCACUCUCCACAAAUUUCUUUUUUUCUCUAGUUUUUGUCUCCUUUUGUUUUAGUUUUUCUCUGAUUUUUUAAUAAUUUCUCUAGUCUUUCUUUGCCGCAUUAGCACCAAUGCAGAAAGAAAUUACAAAGCGCCAUGUCAAAUUUUGGAAUCCACGUAAGCAAAUCGGGUUAUGAGCUUGUCGAAAGAAUUAAAUUGCACUCAACAAAAAAUGUUUAGGACUUAAUUGCAUAAAUUCAAAAUUUAGGACUUGAUUGCAUAUUCGGCCAAACAUUGGGGACUUUUGGUGUAAUUUUCAUUUAUAAGAACUUAAAAUGAGAAUUGGCAUAGUGGAUAGCAGAUAUUCUUAUGAGAUAAGAACAAAUAAGUGUUACUUAAAUAAAAAUUCAUAGUUUGAUUCCCAUCCUACACUAAUCUCUCCCACUUAGAAAAGCUAUGCUAUUUACCGGUUUUCCAACGCAUCUCUUAUCUUGAUUUGGCUAUCUUUCCACAACUGUAGAAUAAACUGGUAGAUUAGCGGCAAAAAUAGCAUAUUGUGAGGAUAGAUUUUCACGCUAACAAGCGCAAGGAGAGCGAAAACGCGUGGAGUGGGGUCGCUGUGUUCCAGCCAUGCUUGUGUAAUGAACACAUGAAGUUUCAACUCUAUAUCAUUGAAUUGGUUGGAUGCAUAGAGAAUCAAAUAUUCAAUAACAAAAAAAAAAACACAAAACUUCUUUUUGUAUAUAUCUUCGUGCGUGCAAAUAAUUUGCUUCAUGUUUAGCUCUCUCCAUUUCAUUUUUUAGUAUAAGCUAAGCCAACAGAUCAUAAAAUAUUAAUGAAAUAUACAACUUACAGUUUAAUGUAGCUGAGCCUCACGAUAAAGGAAAUAAAAAUGUCUAAGUCAUACAAACUCAUCAUCUGUUUAAAAAUAGGACUUGCGUGUAAACCAAUUUGGUGGAAAAUUUCAAUGCUAUAUAAUCAAUUUUUUUGCCUCUCAUACCAAAUUAUUCGAGACAAUAAGGAGAAGAAGUGAAGCAGAAGCAGAAAGGGGAUGCCAAGAUCAACAUUUGACAAUAAAGAAGAGAAAGAAACAAUUCAUGAAAUUCAUUGAUGCUCUCAAAAAAAAAAAAAUUAGACACUCACAAUCAAACAACAAUAUAUAUAUCCAUGCGUGCAUAUAAUUUGGUUCAAAUUUAGCUCUAUCCAUUUUCCGGUAUAAGCUAAUCUAUUUGAAAGGAGAUAAAAUGCCGACUAUAUACAUGUAUAAAUAUUUUAGAUUUAGAGAGAGCGAGUAGUCAAAAAUUACAUCUUUAAGAGGAACAAGCCUAACUCGUGAUUCCUCCCUUCAAUCAGUUUACAUCCCCGAUCGGAGGUAAAAUAUUACAUUUUUCAUAAGCCCAUUGAAUCGACAUAACCUUCUGAAAUCAAGAUAUAUGAUUUAAUAUUUUAUAGGUUUGUGCCAACUAAAAUGAAUAAGAGGAAGAAGACAGAAAAAGAAGUAUUGACUCUUCUCAUGGACAUUAUAGUGGGGGCAAUUAUGCCGUCUCCGAACCCUCUAACAGCCCUCACGGAGGGUUCCACUCUCUAUGACUUUCAGUUUUAUCUAGUCUUUGUAUUUUUUUUUUUUAAAGUUUUUCUCCUAAUUUUUAAUUUUUAACAUUUUUGAAUUUUCCUGACGUGGGGCCAUAGUAGUGCCACAUCAAAGCCAUGUAUAUUAAAAGAAAUUACAAAAUGCCAAGUCGGAUUUUAGCAUCCAUGUUAGCAAAUUUGAUCAUGAGUUUGCCAGUAGGAUUAUAUUGCACUCUAUGAAAACUGUGUGGGAUUUGAUUGCAUAAAUUAAAUAUUUAGGACUUGAUUGCAUAUUCAAUCAAAUAUCUGAACUUUUGGUGUUUCACUUAUAAGAGCCUAAAAUGAUAAUUUAGUAUGAUAAGAAAAUUUCACUUAUAAGUACCAGCUAGUAAGAUAACAAUUCUAGUUUGUUUCACAUCUUAUAUCAAUCUCGCCCACUGAGAAGAACUUUACUAUUGACGAGUUUUCCAAUGCAUCUCUUUUCUUGAUUUGCCCUAUCCUACCCUAGCUUUAGAAUAAUAAACUUGUAGAUUAGCAGUUAAAAUAGCACAUUGGUUGCAAGGAUAAAUUUUCACACCGACGAGUGGUUGGCCCAAAAUCUAAAUGGUACAAUAUGCGUUCUUGGUUGUAGUGCUCCAUCUGUUAAGCGAGAUUGACACUUUUCUCGGUGAUUUUUGACUCACUAACGCUUGCAAAACUUCCGAACCAAAAAAAAAAAAAAAAAAACUCUUGCAAAACUUGAACACGCACCCAUUUCUUUAACUUUUGUUCAUCAUAAUCUCACUAAAAUCAUGUACAGANNNNNNNNNNNNNNNNNNNNNNNNNNNNNNNNNNNNNNNNNNNNNNNNNNNNNNNNNNNNNNNNNNNNNNNNNNNNNNNNNNNNNNNNNNNNNNNNNNNNNNNNNNNNNNNNNNNNNNNNNNNNNNNNNNNNNNNNNNNNNNNNNNNNNNNNNNNNNNNNNNNNNNNNNNNNNNNNNNNNNNNNNNNNNNNNNNNNNNNNNNNNNNNNNNNNNNNNNNNNNNNNNNNNNNNNNNNNNNNNNNNNNNNNNNNNNNNNNNNNNNNNNNNNNNNNNNNNNNNNNNNNNNNNNNNNNNNNNNNNNNNNNNNNNNNNNNNNNNNNNNNNNNNNNNNNNNNNNNNNNNNNNNNNNNNNNNNNNNNNNNNNNNNNNNNNNNNNNNNNNNNNNNNNNNNNNNNNNNNNNNNNNNNNUGCUUUUGGCUCUAAUAUUAAAUAAUGCAGGACGAAGAUUGUUCUAAUACCAAUUGAUGAAGAACAUAACUAGAAUGGAAGAGAAUAGAAUAUAGGAGAGAACAUAAAAAUCAAUUUAGUUUUAUAUUUAAUCAGUCUCUUGUUUUAAUUGUGAUCACAAAGCUAUCUUUUGGAGGAUAUUGGGUAUCAUAUAUGUCUCCCGUCCAUGAUUGUCCAUGUUUAAAUCUAUUAUGUUGAUAGACAAGUUUCCCUAAGCUCAAAUUAGUACAAGGCGAUUUAAAAUUGUGCAGGGUUAGCAAGCCGCCAUCAAGGCAGACACUACCACUAGCAUCAGCCGAAUGGGACUGCCUAUUAGUCCAUGCCAAAGUUUUAUCCCCCUCAAAACAAGAUCAAAUUGGAUCCAUUUGAGAGAUGGCACAGUUUUUACACAUACAAUUAAAACGCAAUAGUGAAGUUACGGUGGAAUCCCAACAGAGAAGUGAAUCAUCCAAAAAGACUUGAAAUGCAAGGGAUAAAAUAAUGCCAAUUUCUUUGGCUGUAAAAGUAAUAAUAGGCCACUUUAGUCAAGCCAUGUCCAAGUAAUGAACCCACGAAGCUUUCAUUCAACUCCUCGCGAAAGCCCCAUGUAAACGCACGGAAAGUGAAAUGGGUGGCUCGACUCCAUUAUAUGUUGGAAGAAGCAAAAAAAUUUCAAUUUUUGUCAAUUUAGUCCUAAACUUUCAUACGAAUUUCUCAUAUAGUCGUUUUGAUAAUUUUUUCCUAAUAAUUGCCCUACGUUGGCAUUUUCAAACGAGGUGCGCACUUCCUUUUUUCAUCAGGGACAAGUUUAACCUUGUCACUCAUUGACCUCCAUACACCUUGCUAUCAAAAGAGUUGGCGCCGAUCAAAAUAAAGUUUCUUAUAACAUUAAAAUCCUCCUUAUCCUAAACAUUGUCAAUUCCAACCUCUCAUCCACCUUUUGACUAAAUAGAAUGAGCUUGGAAUUUUAUAUGCUCUUUUACAUCAAAUUACCUUCAAGGGGUGAUUCUUGCCCUUGUAUGCCAUAAACGUUUUUCCUUUUCUUUUUCCGUUCCUCCAAAACAUGUGUCCCUUUAAACUAUAAGCAACUAAAUUGCCUUGAAAGGGGUGAUUCUUGUUCUUGUACACCCUAUACAUUUUUCCUUUAUUUUUCCACUCCUCUAGAACCACGUGUCCCUUUAAAAUAGAAUCAACUAAUUUUACUUGUCAAUUUCUAGAUACAUACAUCUAGUGGGAAAAUUGAUCUACAUCUAAAAUUGAUCUUUCAAAUUCAAAGAUCCAUCUAAAAUAGAGAAGCUUCAUCACAUACAACCUUCUCAUCAAAAGCGCCUAUCCCUCAUGAUCUUCAUCAUUGAGAUGAUUGUUUCAAAAGCCUUUGGUGUCAAAAUUGUUUCAAAAGCCUUUGGUGUCAAAAUACUUCUUUCAACGAUGCUUUGACAUCAAAUGACACAAUGUAAUCGAAGUAACACUAGAUCACACUAACUUGCCCAUAGGACAAGGUUGCAACACACUUGAAGAGGCACAAGUAUCAAUUUUAAUGUCACUAUGCAAAGAGUUUUUGUGAAUGAUGGUAUAACCGUAAUACUUGAACCUUAGAGAUGUUAUAACUUCAAAUAAGUAGAUUGCAAAAAGGCGAUGAAAUCUAAUAAGCAAUGUUGAUACCUGAAUUUUGUGGUCCGCUCAAGUAUCCAUUUUUUGCCUAAAAAAUAAAAAAAAAUAUUAAAUAAAAAUUACCCAAAAAAGAAAGGAUAUAAAAAAUCGAGCGGGUCUGUUUUGCCUAGCCCACUUAACAAAAUCUUCGGCCCUCUACGCCAAGGCGUCCAACCCAUUUCCCUUAAUCCCCUCGGCCCAUCUUUUACUUCUUUUUUAAAUCUAUUUCUUUCAUAGCCCAUCAGAACUAAAAAAGGCCAGCCCAAAUGUCUUACUUUUUGUUUUCUUCAAAGCCCAUUAGAAUUAAAAGAAAAAAGAAGAUAAAAGAGGCCCAGCCCAAUGUCACUUCUUCCCCUUGGUUUGCACGAACCAGCAUCCGUGAGGAGAGAGAGGAAAGAGUGACGCGCGGGUGAGGAGAAAAGAUCAGGAUCGCGCGAGCGUCCGUGAGCAAGGAAGCGUGAGAAGCCGUGACGUGACCAAGUCCGAACCUUCUAGAAUCCAUGAGCUGGCAAGGGCGUAACAGAAAGAUUCCUCAAGCGAGCGCAACGUGAGGGAGGAAGAGAAGGCUCGGCCGAGGCAUAUCGGAGGGCGAGAGGAGAGAGACGCAAAGUGGGGGAGUGACCGAGAACCCGAUCGCCGUAGCCCGCCGAUGGUUUCCGAAGCUCCGGUCAAGGGUCGGUUCGUCAGCCAGCCUUUACCCAUUCGGCGGUCUUUCUGCAGACGAGAAGGAGCCCAAUUAGUCGCUCCUCGCCGUCGCCGAUCGAGAUCUUGACUCACUGAAAAGACAGGUGGGGGGGCCUUCUUCCCGAAGCUCCUGUUUUAUCCCUGUUUUUUGGCCGGCAAUUUCUUGUCCGAGUCGAUGUAACUUUUUGAUCGAGAUCUUGACAAACCAAAGAAAGUUUAGGAUGAUUCAUGGUGUGUUGAAGGUUGAUGAAUCGGGGUUGGACUAACGAAUGUUGUAAAUCUAAGUCUGAAGCUCGUGUCCUUCAAUGCGUGCCAGGUGUUCGACGUAUUGCCUGAAUGAAAUAUGUAAUACUCAAGAGCACCGAACUCGAGAAAGAAAGUUUCAAGGGAACCGUGAUAAUCUAAGACUGGGUUGACAUAAAAUAUGAUGUUUCAGGCUUUUAUACAUCGUUUUUGACACGAAAAUUGCCUCGAAUAUCUCUCUGGAACACAUCCUUUAGAUUGCACAUCAGUCGCUCGACAAAUGCUUGAGAGAAGACCGAAACUCAUUCAUUGUUGAAUCUUAUGAUCGAUUUUCUUUUGCUUCUGUAUAACUUGAAUCUGGCCUAAUAUUAGUGCUUCCUCUGUAUUUUUACGCAUGUGAUGAAAAAUCUGUGUUCGAGUUCAACAAGCAUACAUAUACUCAAGCCCGCUCUCUGGCGAAGUUUGUGAUUCAAAGCCAUCCAGUCAGUUUGUCUCUUCGAUUUAGAGUGCACUAGUGAUUAUAUGCUUGCUGGAAAGGCUAGGAUGGAAGAAAUUAAUCUCGUGUGUAUAUUUUCCGUUAACUGUUGUGGUCGCCAAGUAAGUGGCCAGAGUUGGUGGCCGUCGGUCGGGUUAGGUGACCGUCGGUAGGUGUUGGUUCAGUGGUGAUGUGUGUGCCAGCGACGAUGCGUAUAGAGGUUGAUUCGUCGCCGAUAAUUCUGGUUCGGUCAAGUCGCAGAAGGAAAAGAGAUUCGGGGAAGAAGAAGGCGCAAGGUUGAAGAAGAAGGCGUAAGGGUAAAAAGACAAAACAGGGAAGAAGACAAAAGGGAGAGAAUAAAAUAAAUUAAGAAAAUCAUUAAAAAAUUAAAAUUUCGAAAAAAUUUUCGUUUUUUAAUCCAACCAGGUAGGAUUAGGGGUGAGCAGCGGUUUAGGGUCGAUCCUGGACCAACCCUGGACCGGCCCAACCCUGCUGGUCCUGGUCCGGUUUUCAAGGGGACUGGGUCGGUCCUUGGUCCUAAAAUUCCCGGACCAAUACUGUGCGGGUUGGUCAUCGGUCCUAAGAAUUUUGGGUCGGUCCAACCCUGGACCAACCCUGUAUAUUAUAUUAUAUUAUUUAUAAUUCUUUUAUAUAUUCAAACCUAAGUAAAAUGUCUAUUAUAUUAUAUUAUAUUGAAAUGUUCUAUCAAUAGCACUAAUAAUAAUUUCAAUUUAAAACUUUUGUUAAGUAUUAAUUAUGUGUCGUUUGUUUUGUUUUCAAGUGUUUAGAAGUUCAAGUGAAUUAACAAGAUGUGAAGUUAUAUAUUCAUGGUUUAUAUUAAGUAUUUUGAACUUUUUAUGAUUUAAUUGUAUUUUACUAAUGAAUUCCAGCUGCACUUUGCUUUUUAAUUUGUGUCAAAUGGUAGAAGUUUUUGAAGAGUAGAGUAGUACUGCAGUUGCUACGGUGAUUUGCUAGUCAAGUGAUGUGAAGCUCAUUUUUUGGUUGAGUAGACUCUAUAUGAUCAAAUGUUAGUUAAGUGGUGCGAAGCUCAUUUUUUGGUUGAGUGGACUCUACAUGAUUAGGAAGACGCUUUUGCAUAUGGUGUUAUAAAUAUUAAAGAUAGAUGAUUACAAGAACUUUCCAUCUUGUCCCAUAUCUCGAUGAGCGGUUAGCGGAUACAAAAUUUAUAUUAUUGUGUCAUCUUAAAUUUGCUAAAUAUGUAUUGAUAUUUUAUAGUUUAGUUGCACAAUACGGUAUUGUUGAUGGAUGUGUAAUUUGAAUUUGUAGGUUUGCUUUUUUAGGAAGUAUAAAAAAUAAGACGAAAAAAAUUAUCGAUCGGUCCCGGGUUGAUCCUGGAACCGGACCGAACCCAUUGGGUCGGUCCGGUCCUUGGUCCUAGGCUUAAUAGGGUCGGUCCUCAGUCCUAAAAAUUGAGGACCGACACUGUACGGGUUGGUCCUAGGGUUAGGGGGUGGCCCGGACCAACCCGGACCAUGCUCACCCUUAGGUAGGAUUCGGUUGACGGGUCAGGCCAACUGGUCGGAUCGGGUAAACGGUCCGAACCUGUUCCCCUAAUAUAAUAAUAAUAAUAAAUUUUAAAUUUUAAAAUUUUAAAAAUCAAAAAUUAAAAAUUAGAAAAUGAUAAAAAAAGUUUUAAAAAUUUUGGAAAUAAUAAAAAAAUUAGAAAUUUUACAAAAUCAUUAAAAAAUUAAAAAAUCCGAAAAAGUAGUUAAAAAUAAAUAAAAAAAAUAAUUGAAAAUAUAAAUUAACUAAGAUUUUAAAAAUUUUAAAAACUGAAAAACCCUUAGAAACCCAACCCUAAAAUUGGAUAAGCCCUUAGGGUCUUACAUUUUUUUUUUUGUUUUUGUUUUGUAUUCUCUUGUUUUCAUUUGUAGGAACGAUAUUAGAAUGCUUGUGUGCUUUCUUUCAUGAUUAUAAUUGAUUACAACUCUCAAUAUAUGGAUGUUACUUUCUUGUUUUUGAAUGGUUAAGAUGAACCUUAGAUUUUUUUUUUUUUUUUUUUUUUUAUAGACUGCUAUGGUGUCAGUUAGCACGCUAUUAAAUUAGGUAUCAAAAGGGCGUUAGCCUUAGCGCUAAAGUAAUCAAGUACCCAAAGUUUAGAAUCUCUAGCUGCAUAAAUAGUAAGAUAUUCUCCCAUAUCUUAUUGGUUUUUAAUUGAUCGCAAAAGAGCUAGUGGUGACUCUUUAAUCAAAAUUCGCAUAGGCUUAAUUGAUGAAAAAUGUGAACACUCGAUAUCGUGCGAGGUAUGGGUUUAGGCGAGCCCGAGUCAAUAGAAGGCCAUUGGACUGAUAUUGACAAUGCCCCUAAACCAAAUAGUCUUGCUCACGAGGGGUUAGGUCGCGACAAGCUAAAUUUUAAUCUUAGUAGAAAAACUUGAUUUAAUAAAUUCACUUAAUAUAUUAAAAUGCAUUGCCUGAAAUUGUAAAUGUCAUGAAAAGCACUAUAUUUCCCUUCAUAUUUGACUAGUGAAAAUUUCCUCUAACCAUGCGUAUGAAAAUUUCAAGUUAUGUAUCAUGCGAAUUGAAUUAGUGCAAACCUAUACAUAAAAGUAUGUGAUGUGCAUGUUUGUCAACAUAGCCCUCCCUUUAGUAGGUGCAUGGUAUAUGAGCGGACUAGGGCCAUACCUAGUAUAAUGAGGGUGGGGUGUGAUUGUUAGGGUGAGAAACCUUGAACAAUUUGCAUAUCCUAAAGGACUUCAAGGAUGGCAAAAGUAACAAUGAUGGAUCAGGCCACACAUUGAAUGGAGGAAGUAUCACCUGGGGGACAAUCAACACUGAUGAGGACAUUGGUGAUUUAAGUUGAUGAGUUGGUAACAUCUAGAGUCGUACAUUGGAUGGGUGAGGCAUUAUAAUGUUAUUAAAAUGAAAGAAAAAUAUUACUUUAUUUUUCAAUUUUUUUUAUGAGGGUUAGAAAUAGAGUUCAAGCUUCACAUUGUAAUUUAGUUUUCAAAUAAUCAAUAUUUGAGUUUGAUUGAGUUUAAUCUCGAACACACAUGCUAUAUAGAAUUCAGCUCGAGCAUGGGAUUGAGAAACUGAGUUUUGUCAUACAAUCUAAUAUCAAACUAUCAACAUCAAGUUAAACUUUGCGUCAAAAAACUACUUCAAAUGAAUUUAUAGCUUGAUUGUGCCUUUAUAGCAUUUUUUUUAUAUAAUUAUAAUGAUGUACCUUAUCUUAGGCACUUUUAGUGCAUUGAUCCACUAAAUGAUAUGCUACUUCACCCCUCGCAUGCCAACAAGAGUGACGCUAGUGGUCUUCAAAUCUUCACAAGCCUCUAGGCCGCAUGUGGUUGUCCGGACAUUUUUGCCGGAUAGGAUAAUGUCGGAUAUGAUAAGGAUAUGAUAUAAUUAAAUAUCCAAUCCAAUGUUUGUUGACAUUUGGAUAUAAUAUGAAUUCAAAUAAAUAUUAUCCAAAUAAAUAUCUAAUUUACAGAACUAAAACUAAAAAUAAACUAGGGAAAUAAAACAACCUCUCUUCCUCAUGAAGCAAAGGAGGAGGCCGAAAGCGCUCAACUCAACUUUCCACAAAGGAAAGAAAAGGCAGAACUUUGCCGGAAAGUGAGGCAAAUUGAAAUCUCUUUAUCGGAGAUAGCCAAUCAUGUGGAUCUUCAAUGAAUAAAUGAACUCGAGAAAAAACCCAACUUUGCACUUUGCCAGAGAUGUCAAGUUACAGGGUCGAUCAUUUAAGGAUGAUAUUGUCAAAUCUGGGUCUUUAGCGUGUGUUGAACAGAGGAGAGAGCACGGAAUGCUAUUUGGAGAGAUAAAGGGGAUGGGGGCAGUUUUUUUUAGAGAUUAUUGAAAUAAUCUUAGGCAACGCUUGAGCUUUUUGCCUGUUCCUUUCUAUUCAUCCCUGCUUUUCUCAUUCUAUAUCUAUGCAGGCAACCACGAAGGGUGGCUUGGCCAUGGACGGUCAACAACUGCGAGCUGCCACGACUAAUAUGGUGGCUCGACCAUGGACCCUGGCUCUAGAUCUCACCUCAUCGAUCACAAACUAGUGGUGUCACUGACUAGAUCUGGUCGGCUCUGUCUUCCCAAGGCCGCCACGACUUUGGCCAGAUCUAAAGGAGAGGGGAGGAAGAGAGAAAUUUUAUUUUUCAAAUUUCACAUAUCCUAUUCAGGUAGAGGGUGGGAUUUUUUUAUCCGAACUAUAUUUGGGCUAUAUCUAGUGAUAUCCGGAUUUCGCGUCACUCCAAACACUAGAUAGGAUAAAAAUGAUCAUAUCCGGAGAAUUAUCCGGUCUACCAAAUGCAACCCUAGAGUCUAAAACAUGGACAAGUCCGGUAAGAGCUUAAUUCCUGAAAAAUAAAAUUACAAUCAAUCUAUUGAGAAAGUUUAAGAAAAGGAAUAGCAUGAUCAAAUUAUGCAGUCAAAUCAAUUAGUAAUCCAUAUGAACUAAUGUUUACCAUGUUUAAUUUAUUUGCCAAUGUACACUACAUACAAGAGAUUAGACUAAGAUGUUCUAAAUUCCUAAACUAGAUAUUGACAAAAGUCAAAUAUGUAGGUUAACUGCGUUUAUGAGAAAAGACCUAUACAUAAGAUGAAACAAUAUCAUGUAAAAAUAUAUAGUAAAUCUUGCGGGAUUCGCAUAGUGAUUAAAGAAAGGAAUUGUGUGUGUGGAUUGAGCACAUCAUGAGAGUUCAAUUUUCCACACCAGCAAAUUUAGACAAUUUUAUACCCUACCUGGUCCAUGAGAUUAGUAAUAUAUGUCAUGGGCUUGACCUUUUAGCCGCUUAAGAUAUAAGCUUCUAGGUGAGAGAAAUAACUUAUUACCCGAAAAUGAAAAGAUUAGUUAAUCAAGUAGAUAAAGCCUUCCCUCCUCCUUUCCCCCCCUUUGUAUCUAGCAUAGUUAUGGAAGCAGGUUGAUGAAAUUUCGUCUAUGUGAUUUUGCGUACGUGUGAAUACAUUUUGUGUUUUUAGGUAUAUCACAACUUUGAUGAAAACUGGUUUGUUCCCAAUCUAGCUAAAUUAAUAAUUUUUUCAUGGACACAAUCAACUAAACUAUAGAAGAAAUUAAAAUCAAGACUCAACCUCAACAUCAAAAGUUAAAUAAGUAGCGGAAAUUGACUCUAUACUCUACUGGAAAUGAAACCUUCACGACUUAAAGACUGAAUGCCUGGAAGAUCGACUAAUUCAUUUCCUAUUUGAAGUGGCUUUAAAUCAAACUGUAAAAGGUAGGGGAGCACACAGAAAUACAUCAUCCACCAAUUAAAUAAGUACUUUAGGUGCUUCUAGAGCACAAAUCCUGCUCGGCCGACACCAACCACACGCAAAAUUCAAGGAACACUCAAUUUUAUCAAGGACAUAAGUCACUUGAUUUGUAGUUGUGUUCUUGAAACACCUCCCCUAGCAAUAUUUUUUUUUUUCAAUUGUGUAUCGAGUAUUUGACUUUUUUAAUAUUGAAAAAAGUGUACUAGAAAUCCUAAAAUUUAUUGUAAAAGUGCAAUUAAGAAAAAAUACAACUAAGUCCUAAAAUUUGUCAAUUUGAUGUAAUCAAGUUUCUCUAUUAAUUUUGUCCAAUUUAGUUGAUGGAAAAUGCUGACAUGGCUUCUUUUCUUCUUCUUUUUUCAUUUCUCUCUCUUACUGGCAUAGAGCUUAAAAGAAAAGGUCCGUGUGCAAAAACGUCGUUGUUUAAGAUUCAGCCCAAAUUUCCAAGCCAUAAUUGAGUUUUCCUUCUCAAGUUUUGUUUACUUCUUCAUCCGUCUUUCGUCCAGAGUGUCCAUAUUAUUCGUGGAGUUCGCUUCUUAAUUGUCGAUCCUCCUGUUCUUUGUCCAAGUGUCCUUCUUCUUCUUCGUCGAGUCCCCAAAUUUCCUCUUCAAUCGAACGUGACGAGGUCGAGUCAUCGCACAGGAGCUUGAUGAGCCAACAACGACGUCGAGUCCUCUUCGUCCAAGCCGUUAUAAGCCACUACAUCGACCUUAAUCCCCUUUCUUGGAUUCUUCUUUCGUUCUCAUGGAGCUACGGAAACUCAUUUGAGGUGUUUUCUCUUGGGGAUUAUUAAAUAUGUCUGAAGUUUGAGAGUGAAGUCAAUGUUACAGCAGGUGGCUGCAUCUAUUUGAAAUACCGUGAAUUAUGUUUAGACAUAUUCUCAUGGUUUAUUCUAAUUGUCAGAUACUAAAUGGAAGGCAGUUGUUUUGUGGCUCAACAGCCAAAGCAGAAGCAAAAGAAGGGUAGAGCACAAAAAGCGUGCUCAAUUCUGUGAUUGAGACUUGGUGUAAGCAAAAGUAGCAAGCUUUUCCGACCUGCCUAUAUCUCCUUUCCUUCUUUGUUCAUCCUACUGGCAAGCGGCUGCUGUUCUUCGGUCAUUCCUGGUCUCAAAUAACAAGACUCGGUCUGAGUGAGGGUUUGAACUUUUGAGAGCUUUUUCUUUAGGAUUUUGUCACGGGCUGAGAGUUUCCUUGGCCUUGGAACGACCCGCGGGCGUUUGGCGAGCAUAAUUCGCCAGGCCAGCCUUGAUUCGUGUAGCUAUUCCAGUGAACGAUACGGUGAAUGCUUUUUCGUGCGAGAUCCUACCACGCCCAGCGUCACUCGGGCGUCUAGUCCAUCGAGUGAGACAUUAGAUAUCUUUUAGGCACAACAAUUGGUUUCGGCCUACCAUGGCCUCGUCAGGAGAGCGGUAUCAGCUCCCGACCAAUUUGUGCAAGGGAGGCCUACCCCGUCUUUAGAGCUCCUAAGUGAUAUAAUCCUUCUAUCCUAGAACUCCUAGUACCAAUUGUUCUGAUGCCACUCUCACGGACCAGUUGUGUUUUAGCCUUCCACCUCCUCACUCUUCACUCGAUAACCCCUAGUGCCACUCACAAGUGUCACGAGAACGGGAGAAUUCACGGACCGUGAAAAUUCCGUGUUGGGUUUCGCUUGGAGGAGUUUAAGUUUGUUUAUUCGAGGCUUUGCCUCUCUUAUUGUGGCCAUUUUCUGUUACAUUUACGAUCUUAUCAGAUAUUCUUGUGACCAUUCGCCUGCAGUGAAUCAAGAUAAUAGACGAACAUUUUAAUUGAGUUGCGAUCUCUUACUAAGAAUUGUUAAUACUUCCUGUCUUUGUGAUUUAUAUCCAUGGGAAACACAAGACGCAUGGUCAUUCGUGUGGGUUCAUGCGCAAUACAGAUAAGCUCUGAAUUAGAAGAGAAGGUUGAAAAAUUACGCAAUGGUGAUGAGCUACGUUCUAAUUCAGAGACUGAAAUUGAGUAGUCUCAAGAAGAGACUACAGAUGUGAAUGCAUCAGGUAAGACCUACUUACAUAUAUAGCGUGUAAUUUUUCAUCAUAAUAUACUAAAAUGGUCCGAUUAUUGAUCUGGUUUGAUAAUAUUAGAUCCAUCUUUCAGUAUUUAGAAUUUCUUGUCUAAUAGCUACCACCAGAAAAGGGAAGCAUAGCUUUACAUGUCUAUCAAGUGUAUACAGUCUUUCUCGCGGGAAAUACAUCAUUGUCAAGGUAGGGAAGAAAAUGCAACCUAUUGGAGGUUUAGGGAGUUUCUCGGAACCAUUGCUUGCAAGUUGGCACCAUUGUUUACAACUUGAAAGCAAAUUACCAAGGAUAUGAGAAACAGUAUGAUUGGGAUUGUAGAGGUAGGUAGCUUGUUGUGGCAUGAAAUUCCAUUCAUGUUUUAAAUAAAUUUAACAUCAUUAUUAAUAUUUCCUUUCCGUCUAAGCAUGAUUAUCUUCGUACCAGCUACAGAAAAAUGGAUUCCACAAUCCUAAAUGUAGGUAUUGGAAAAGUGAUUUAAAAGCUGCUCGCUAUGAUAGCUCUCAAUCAUUCUCAUAUCAUUUGAAGAAUCUAUUGGAGAGAGUGAGAGAGAUCAAUGCACAAUUCUCAUCACUUUUUGGAGUUCAAAGGAAAGGAAGGGAAGGUGCGGAUCUUGUUAUGGGAUUGUUUUAAUUGACCUGUCAACAUUAAAUGGACUUUCAUUACCUGUUCAUGACUACUUUGUGAUAACCUUUCUAUUUUUCAUCUUUUUCAUUGCAAAAGCUGAUUGGUGCAAAUAAGGCUAACGAAGCAAAACAAAAGAUACAACACACCUUAGAGAGUGAAAAUUCGGCUAGAAUAACAACAGAAAAGGUACUCUCAUGUUUACUUAAAUUUUUGUGUUCCUUAUAAGUGAUAUUUCCAUUGUGUAAAUCAAUAAUCUUGCUUUAGAAAAGAUUAUGCUAAGGUGAUAUAUUUUUGGACCUAAGGUAAAGAUGUCUAGAGAUAUUUGCCACUUUUCCAACAAUAUGCAUGUUUUGAACAGCAAUUGUCAUAGGAAGAUAACAUAGAAUGUGUUCUAGCAUUGCCUCCUUAAGAUUGUCUAUGUUAUCAGCACCUGCAUUAAUAUCUUGUUAUUCCCAUAGCUUUGUGAUUUGGGUUUGCUAGUGACAGCACAAUAAUCUAUAACUUGGUGGGGUUUAUCUAGCACACAUAGUCCACCAUCAUUAACAAAAGAGCUAUACAGCAGUUAGAGCUGUAAAGUAAAUUUGAGAUGAUGAAACUUGUACAAUUUUCUAUUAAUUUGUGAACCUGACUGCAGUUUGGUUUAAUGAGAGAUAUUGCAAAACAAAAAAGUACUGCAGCCUUGGAGUGUGACAUAUUGAAAUUCGACCUCAUUUCGAUAAAGUGAAAUGGACAUUUCAUCGACAUACUUAUGGUCCUUUUUCUCUGAGCUGAUCACUCACGAAUUAACUAACUUAUUGGAUGAAGCCAUUAAGGGAUGUAUCCGCGGUAAAAUCCAUAAAAGCUACCUAAUUAGUUGGACUGGGCUAAAAUCACGUUUGAUCGAUUCUAACCAUGAAAUUUAAUUUGGUUUCGGGAAUCGAAUAUUUGAGCGUGUCACAAUUCAUUUUUAGGAUCCUAUCUCAUCGUCCGUCAAAUUAUUGACGCGUCCGAAAUUUCGGGAAAGAAAUUAUCGGAGGAAAAAUUGAAGACCGGAAGAAAUUAAAAAGAGAAAGGAGAAAUAAUAGAAGUAAUUUGAAUAGUAAAUUUUUUACUAUUUGAUUACUUUUUUAUUUUCUUUUUCUCUCCCUUUCUUUUUCUCUCUUUUCCCUUCCCCCCUUCGUGCGCACUCCCCCUCCCCACUGACCGAAUGCCCCUUGCCAAUUUCAAAUUGGCUUCUCUCUCUCCUUUUUACUUUUGACUAGUCAAAAAGCCUUCAUCUUAUCUCUUCUUUCUUUCUUCUUCUUCUCUCUCCUCUCUCUUCUCCCCCACUCCCCCACGUGACCGAAUCCCCUCCUUCCUCCUUCUUCGUGCAAACCAGCGAACCAGGAAGAGGAAGACAGCAGCUCGCCGAAGCCCAUCGCCGCCGCACCGGAGCUGGACCUCCACCCACGCGACGCCCGCCCGCGCACGCCGCGCGCUCCACCGCUUCCCGCCCGUGCCUGCCGUCCUCGCCGUGCGCCGUCCAGCCCCGUUCAGCCUCUGCUCAGCCCUUGUUCCGCCCCGUCCGGCCAUCUCCGGCCACCGUUCGAAGCCGCCGGACCUCCACCGGUCCUCCCCCACACCUUGCCGCCCUUGUUGAAGUGAUUUGUGGCUGUUUUGUGUUCUUUUUCAGUGCGCGCAGCCACCCCACCGAGUGGGUUUCCAGCCCCCUUCAGUCUCACUUUUGGGCGGUUUCCGGGCCCCGAAACCGAGCCGUGCGUUGGGGUUUAUUGUUCCUCGUGUCGUCCCUGUCGGAUUGGUACAUUUUGCGCUUAAUUCCGAUGAGUAAUCUCACUAAUUCCUGCUUAGUUUGUUAAUUAUGCUUAGGGGUUGGUUAGGUUUAAUUAAAUGCAAUUAGGUGGUUAGAUUAGAAUAGAUUAGUGAUUAUUAGAUAAAUGUGAUGCAUAUUAGACAAUUUGAUUGUGUAAUUAGCAAGUAGACGUAGUCUACUAUUUAUUGAAAGCAUCUCAGGAUUUUUCCCGACCUUUAGCGGGCUUCAAUUAGGCAAUUCGGGCAUAAAUUGGAUUUUUAGUAAUUAAUUAUUAAUCUUCGAAAUUAAUUAAUUAAUUAUUUAUUUUCCGAAAUUUAACCCGGGAUGGCCGUGACCGGGAAUUUAUGCUGGUGAUUGUGGUGAAGUCCGUUUAUUUAAUUGGGCUUUAUUUGAGCUAAAUUGAAUUUUUAAUAUAAUUAAUUAUUUUCCGAAAUUAAGGUUGAGAUGACCGAUGACUGGAAUUUCGUGCUGAUUGUCGUGGUGCAAUCCGUUUAUUUAUUUGAGCUCUACGUUGCAUGGAAUUAAAUUAAUUGUGAUAUUUUAUCAAUUUAUCUUAAAUUGAUGGAAAUUGAGUGAAAUUGAAUGAUUGAUUGGUAGAUGGCCGAGUAUGUUUAUUUAAUAUUUAUAAUGCUUUGUUGAGUUGUAAAGUGGAUGGAAUCAUGAGAGUGAAUUGGAAAUACUCUAGGCUAUAACCGAUUAGGUACGAUGUGAUGGACCUACGUGGUUCGGUGACUAAGGACGUCACUGGCGAAAAUGGCGCCUUAAAGAACGCACAUAUUGGUCUAGUACUCACAUCGUCAUAGGCAUGUGUGGUUCGGUGAUUAAGGACAUCACUGGCAAAAACAGCGCCUUAAAGAACGCACGCAAUUGUCUAUUGAACACAUCGUUGUAGGCAUGUGUGGUUCGGUGAUUUGGGAUAUCAUUGGUGAAAACGACGCCUUAAAGAACGCAUGCAAUUGUCUAGUGGAUACGUCACCUUGGCGAAGUUGACGCCCGAGAGCAUUAAGAUGGCUCUGUGACUUAGAGUGUUAUUGAAGGUUUCAUGGUAUGAGAUGAAUGACCUAGUGAGGGUUCGAUUGACAUGUAAUCGAUUAAGUCGAUUGAACUGUGAUUUGGCUGAUUGUUCAUUGAGAUAUAUGAAGCAUCUGUAUAUAACCUUGAAUUACAGGUUGGGACUGAUGCCAAAGUACGUCUUCUGACCUAUGCGUGUUUAGGUAGCCUAUAGUAUAAUGGUUUACUAAUCGGGUCUUAGUGGGGUAGAACUUGUUGAGAAGCAGUCUCAUCUUGGUUGUGGGACAACAUUUCAGGCCCGUAAAUGAACAUGAGGAGAAGGAAUCGGAGAAGGAGAACAUUGAAGUGAAACUUGAGGAGGGGAAAGAUUUUUGAAGAAGAAGAUGAUCCAAGAAGGGAUCCUGAGUACGAUCGGAUGAGGACUGAGGUCCCAUCUUCUUUUGGGAAUCCUGUUUUGAUGUGAAUAGAGUGAAAUUAGAAAGCCGUGAAUAGUUUGUGAAAUACUUUGAGUUAUGUUCUGUAUAAAAGUAUGGUUGUGAAUUUCAAUAUAAAAAAUAUGACUUUACUUUUCUAUCCCAUUGUUUUAUUGUCUAGGGAUUAUAACUGCUUCCGCAUGUGCUUAAUAAAAGAAAGGGUUGGCGAUACAUAGUUCUGAGAUAUCGCAUUAUAAAAUUGACCAAGAGAGAAGGAUGUGUGCGUGCCCGAGGAUCGGGGCGUGACAUGGAGUACCCAAGUACUAGCUGUGCCACCGCACACAUCCCCAUAAUUGUUGAAAAGUUAUUCAAUAUAGUUCAUCUAGUGUCAACAAAUGUUAUGCGGUCUUGGCAAUGACAAUAUUGUUGUUACAAUGUAUUAGGAAUUUAUAUAGUUAUCUGUGUAGAAGACGAAUGAAUCAAGAAAAGAGGGCAAGCUGGAAUAAAUAGGCUAAAAUUAAAACCUAAAAUCUAACUUCCUAGUGUGUGUUUUCAUAUGGUUUUGGUCGAUAAAGUCAUAUAACAAAUCAGCAAGGAACAACUAUAGUUAGGAAGAAUGUGAUUACUUUCUCAAUUUGAUAUCUCUGGACAUAUUUUCCUGUUUCAUAGUAAAGUGCGAGAUAUUGAAUGUCUUCUUGAUAUGGUUCAUUUAGUUAUGCUGACUAAACCAAGUUCUAGCACAUGAUAGGAAGUAGAGUUAAGAAUCAAAGGCAAUCAUAAGUAUUUAAGACUUCAGCUUAAUAAAUAGUAACAUCAUUGGUUUAUAAGGUUUUUAUGUUACUAAAUUGCACGGAAGUAUGAAUGAUCUCAUGGAGGUAUAUUUGGAACUUGGACAGAGCGAUAACCCCUUGAAAUAGUGUUUCUCUAGUGUUGGGAAAAUAGAAACCUAGAUGGUCUGAUGUUAGAGCAUAACCCAUGCUCAAAUGAUUUGGGGCCUCCAAAUCUAGUUUUCUUCUAACCAAUAACUUAAGGUCAAAGAAAGCAAAGAACGAAGAGAUUCACAAGUUGAAGGAAUCUAGUUGUCUUCCAACCGAGAACUUAAGGUCAGAGAAUGAGAAAGAUGAAGAGAUUCACAAGGUGAAGGAGAUACUGAAAGCAACAAAGAGAAAUUACAAAAGACAAAUGGAGAUGUACAAGAGUUACAGGCUCAAAAAGCUGCUACUAUUAUACAAAAUUGUCUACAUGCGGUGGACUUGAAGUGGUCUCACAAGAUUUGGACAAGGUAAGUAUGUCAUGAGCCAUGAGGUGUGACUAAUUUCAUUGAAUGUUACAGUAGUGAAAGGUGUUUUAUUUACUAAAUACUGAGUGAUCUUAAUAUUGGACACUAUGGUGGUUUUAAAGGGAAUAUAGGUGGAUGGACUUGAAACAUAAGUAUGGUAUCGGGAUCGCUUCAAUGGAGCUUGGAAGUGGAAUAAAAAUUUAGCAUAUUGUUACUAUGUUUUAUCUUUUUGCUCUAACUAAAUCAUGUUUUGGGUUCACUUCUCUUGCAUUAUGCCUUGUCCUUUUUGUUCAUUUUGAAGUAUACAAGUGAUUGCCCUUAUUAGUCACUGCUUGCUAUUUCUUUCCAUGUUUCCAGAUAGUCACUGUUGAGCUCUCUUUUCCUUCUCUGUAUAGAUCCGGGAGUGUUAUAGCAUCUUUUCUAUUGAAGAGAAGGUGAAAUGUUGCCUGUUUUGGCACUUGAGAGUGGAUGAGGGACAAAGUCAAAUACUUGGAAAUAGUCUCUGUUGAUGUAUGGGUUUAUUAGAUUACCUAAAACCAUAUGCUGAUAACCUUACUCUAUAUUUUUUGCCCUCAAUGCAAUUCUUCUUCUUCUUGCUCUUAAGGUUGGGCUUCUAUUUUCAUAAUCGAACUUCUCAACUUUACUGUGUUGCAGCAAUGAUUUUGAUUUACUUAAUCAAAGAUUGUCCGCACAGGCCGAUGGGAUCUCAAUUGCCGCCGCCGCCACCAAUGGGACAGAACAGAGGAAACAUGCUACAGGAUGCAUUGCAGACAAGGCACUAUUAGGAUGGCAAAAGGGGCAGGAAUGAAUCGAGGUAUGCAUCGAACAUGAAGGAUAGUGAUCUCGGAAUAAUUUUAUUUGAGUGGCGCAACGGAAAUAUGUUUAAGCUUGUAGAACUUCAAUUUAUUGAAAUGGAGUCGUAGAAAGGAGAAUCGCUGGCUAGAGUUGUACUUGAAUAUUUUGCCUAUGUAUAACUUUAAUGUCAUAUAUAAAAAGGUUUGACUCAAUGAGCAUCUUGUUGUAAUGAAUUGUGUGUUCAAGGAGUAUCUGGAUCAGUUUAUGAUCGUUUUCAUUGACAAUAUCCUAGUGUACUCGAGAAGUCCAGAGGAGCACGAAAGACAGUUGAGGAUAGUACUUCAGACUCUGUGAGAUCAUGGAUUGUACGCUAAGUUCAGUAAGUGUGAGUUUUGGUUAACUCGUGUGGCUUUCCUAGGUCACGUGAUUUCAAGCGAAGGAAUCUCCGUGGACUCGACUAAGAUUGAAGCAAUUAUCAACUGGCUAAGACCAACGACAGUGAUAGAAAUCAGAAGCUUUUUGGGAUUGGCAAGUUACUAUAGAAGGUUCGUUGAAGGAUUUUCAACAUUAGCCUUACCUUUGACUUGACUGUUGAAGAAGGAAGAGAAGUUCGCAUGGACAGAUAAGUGUGAGCAUAGUUCCCAAGAGCUUAAGCAGAAGCUGAUUACCUCACUAACGUUGACAAUUCCAUCUAGACUUGAAGGAUACGAGAUCUAUAGUGAUGUGUCAUUUAGAGGACUGGGUUGUGUGUUAAUGUAGCAUGGUAGAGUCAUUGCAUACGCAUCCCAUCAGUUGAGACCUCAUGAGCUGAAUUACCCAACGCAUGACUUAGAACUCGCAGCGAUUAUUUUCGCCCUGAAGAUUUGGAGACAUUAUUUAUGCGGAGAAAGGUUCCAGAUCUUUACAGAUCAUCAAAGUCUCAAGUAUUUAUUCUCUAAGAAGAAGUUGAAUAUGAGACAGUGUCGCUGAAUGGAACUUCUCAAGGACUAUGAUUGCAACAUCCUAUAACACCCUGGAAAGGCUAAUAAGGUAGCAGAUGCGUUGAGUCGGAAGUCUUCGAUUGUGCAGAUGAUGAUUAAGGAAUGGAUCAUACUCGAGAGAACUCGAGAUUCGGUCUUCAAAUUUGAGGUAGGCCACCUUUCAAAUCUUAUGGCCACCCUCAUAAUUGAACCAGAAGUGUAGAUAAGAAUCAAGACGUUACAGUUGACAAACGCAGAGAUCCAGAAGAUUCUGCAAGAGGAUAUAGACAAGAGAAAAGCUGAUUUUCAUAUUUUUGAAGACGGAAUGUUGAAGUUUCGUGGACGAUUGUGUGUACCUGACGAUGUAGAGCUUAAGGAAGAGAUUUUAUCAUAAGCUCAUCAUAGCAGUUACAGCAUUCAUCUAGGCAAUACGAAGAUAUCAGAAUCUGUGUUAACACUAUUGGUAGACCGGUAUGAAAGCGGAUAUCGCCAAGCAUGUCACCAAAUGUCUUAUGUCUCAACAAAUGAAGGCACAGCACUAUAAACCGGGCAACCUCUCAAGAUUCCCGAGUGGAAGUGGAAACACAUCACAAUGGACUUUGUGAUUGAGUUGUGGUUGACAAAUUGACGAAGUCUGCUCACUUCAUCGCUGUACGAAAGGACUAUGCAUUGGACAGAUAUGCAAAAUUGUACAUGCAUCAAAUUGUUCGUCUUCAUGGAGUGCUAGUGACGAUUACAUCUGAUAGUGACCCGAAGUUUACGGCAGCCUUUUGGAAAAUUUUACUGACUACCUUAGGAACAAAGCUGUAGUACGGUACGACCUAUCAUCCGCAGACAGAUGGCCAGUCUAAGAGGACAAUUUAGACCCUCGAAGAUAUGUUGAGAGCUUGCAUGCUAGACUUCAAAGGAAGCUAGAAGGAACGGCUUCAUCUCGUCGAGUUUGCCUACAACAACAGUUAUCAGCAGAGUAUUUAGAUAGCACCUUUUGAGGCGUUGUAUGGCAAAGUGUGCAAAACUCUAGAGCGGAAGAUUAUAGACCCAAAGUUGGUUUAACAGUCAGUAGAUGCAGUUACAGUUAUUAGAGACAGAUUAAAGACAGCUCAGAGUCGCCAGAAAAGCUAUGCCUAUAAGCGUCGAAGACCAUUGGAAUUCCAAGUUGAUGAACACGUCUUUUUGAAAGUGUCACCAAUAAGGGGUACUCCGGCAAGAAAAGGAAGUUGAGUCCGAGGUACGUAGGUCUCUUUGAGAUUCUGGAGAGAAUAAGGACUCUGACAUAUCGUCUUGCAUUGUCGUCGAGACUGGCGCAAGUGCAUGAUGUCUUCUACGUGUCGAUGUUAAGAAAGUAUGAGCCUGACCCAACCCACGUGCUGAAUUUUGAAGAAUUAGACGUGGAUGACAAAGUGUCAUACGCGGAGAGAGUAGUUCAAAUUAUGGAUCGGAAGGAGCAGGUUCUGCGCACCAAGACGAUCCCAUUAGUUAAAGAGGUCUAGCAACACCAUGGGACAGAAGGAGCAACCUGGGAAAGUGAAGACUCGAUGAGACGACGAUACUCUAACCUUUUUGUUUAAGAUUUGUAAUGGUUUAAAUUUCGAGGACGAAAUUUUUAUAAAAGGGGAAGAAUUGUGAUAUCCUGAUUUUCAGCCCUAUCUUUGAUGAAAAGAAAUGGGCUUUUCAUUGACACGCCUAUGACAUUUUUCUCUAAGUUGGCCACUCACGAGAUAACUAAUCUAUCAGGUGAAGCCUUAAGGAAUCUAAACGCAAUAGACUUGAGAAUUCGAUAAGAAAUCGACUGCUUGACCGUGCUAAUCUGUAAGGGUCAAUACAUCACCGUCAAAAUCGACCAGAGAUCAAAGAUAGGUCGUUUCAAUCGAGACAUGUAAUUGAAGUGUAGGUGAUUCCACCUAAUUGCAAAAUUCUUGUCGAAUGGCGCUACACCGAUUUUUCUAUUAUUUAUGUACCCUGUGCCCGUAUUUAAAAUCUCAAGAUUUUCACGACAACCGAGAGUCACUUAUGAGUCGAAUAUGUACAAUGUGGCUUGAAAAUAAUCGAUCACGGGUCAAAUGCACUAAAAAUUCCUAAAAGCUACCCGGUAGGUUAGGUCACGCUAAAAUCACGCAUAGUUAAAAUUAACUGCGAAAUUGAACCUGAUUUCAGAAAUUGAAAGUUCUGUCAUGUCACAAUUUAUUUUAGAAAUGUCGUCUCAUCCUUCGAAGAAUUUUUAGUGAGUCCGGAUUUUCGGCGAAAAAUCAAAAUUGGACAAUAUCGGACCGAGAAAUUAAGAGAGCCGUUUUUGUGUGGAUUUUUGGCGUUUGAGAUGGAUCAACUAGCAAGGAAAAUUUUGGAAAGUAGUGUGGGUAUCCUCCUUGGUAAGUUGGCCAUUAAUAGUCCAAUUGGAGAGGAUUUGAAUUGAAAUUGAAGAGGGAUGCACAAAAUUCGUAGCCAUGGGUGGUGUGCAACAUUUGGACCACCUUUGGUGGCUUCUUGGGGAAGUUUGAUGAAGGAAAAUGGGCUGGGGAUAGGGCUGAAGGUGGUGGGGGUAGCCACUUGAGUUCUUGGGAUAUUUGUGAAGACUUUUGAGGCUUUGUGGUCCCCCUCUAGUUACAGUAGCUCUUCUUCUUCCUCCUUGUGUCCCUUGAUCUCCAUCGUUGCUGUUUUGAGAGCCAAAGACCAGCAGAGGAUUAGCCAAGACUAGCCCGCACCCCCUUAUAGUCGCCACACACCGUCCAAGCGUCGCCCAAGCCCGCCAAAGCCAUUGACCGCGCCCGCGAGCUCGUCCGCACGUCCUCACAUCCUGCACGUCCAGGCUAUCAUUUGCCAUUCACCUGGCUACUGUCCGAAGCCGUCAAGCCGCCUCCGUCACCAUCCCGAAGCCCCUGAUGCAGGCUGGUCCCGCCGUCGUCGCCUGGCCACCCAGCUCCAUCCGCCAAGCCGUCGACCAGCUCUUUCGGCCAGCAAGCAAAACUGAAGCUUCAGCUUCCGGCUGAGACUUCAUGGGCCUUUUUCGGGCCUUUUAGGACCUCGUUGGGUGUCGUCGUAGGCUUGAGUCUCACUCACCUCUGCGUUGCCGUAAACUCACCGGCUCUCUAAUUCGGUGAGUUUACUUGCUAAACCUUAUUUAUUGGGUUAAUUAUGCUUAUGUGAUAAUUAGAUUAGACUAAGCUUGGUUUAGGUUGUUAAUUUAGUUUAAUUAGUGAUUUAGUUUGUUAAUUAGGCUUAUUAGGUGGUUAGAUUAGAUUAGUUAAGAGUUAAUUAGAUUGUAUUAUUUCACUAGUAUAGUGCAUUAUUUUUUUAGAUCCAAUUAGGUGGUUAGAUUAGCAUGUUUACCUUAAUUAGGUAUUUAUUAAAUUAAUUUGCAUUUAUUUAUUUAAUUUUGUAAUUUAUUUAAUUAUUUAAUAUUUUUCGAAAAUUAUAUUGGGAUAGCCGGUCGCCGGAAUGUUGUGUCGAUUGUCGUGGUGUAAUUAAUUUAUGCAAUUGAAUAAUAAUUUGUGCAAUUGUGUGGUGAUUGUGAUUUUUGAUUAAUUAUUUCAAUAUUGUGAAAUUUUUGUAUUUAAUUAGAAAAUACCGGGUGUUGGGUUUUGAUACCCGAAAAUGUUUUUAAGUACUAUAUUAAACAAUAUGACUUUUAAAAUGAAGAAUAUCAAUUUUUAAGGUUCGAUCUGACCGUGUACCCACAUACGAUUAUUUUACCAAGUGUUUUUAAUAUGAAGAAAAUAGGCCAAGUUCAUUAUUUUAAUUGAGACAUUUGAGUGCAAAGCACAAUGUCCUUGGCUAAGAUUGGAUAUAUAUGGAAUCACUAUGAGAACCCAUCAUGAGCUUUUGAGUUGGACGAUGCUCCUUUGGGAAUGCCCCAAGUCAACGGUUGCCAGUCGCAGUGGAGGCUGAAUUGAUGCUCCCAUAUGGAAUGCCGUCUAGAUAUAGACGUUGCUGUGCUCGAUGGUGCGAGAUGAAGACCGCUGACUGUUGAGUCGACCGUGACUGUUGGGUCGUAAUCAAUUGGGACGCAUGGAUGAUUGAAAUUAACGCUCCUAAUUAUGAAACAAAAUUGUGUGGCACGAAAUAGGACGUGUCAUAACAAUUUUGCCCUAUAAUCGAGACCCAUGUGAUUGAUUGAGAUAUGAGUAAGACGUUCGAAUUGAUGGGUCCAUUUAUUAUAUGCAUCCGGUAUAUGAAUUGUACUGACAUGCAAGGAGGUGGUGAGGCGAGGUGAGUCUUUAGGAUGUGUGAUUAGACUACCUCUAGGCGUAUUUCCUUCAUAAUCAAGGUUUAGGACGUGAACUCACUGAGAUAUUGUUUCACUCUGUCAUGGGUUUCAUCUUUUACAAGUCCUUAAAUGGAGGAGCGUCACGUGCGGUAUAGGGUUCCGCAGAUGAUGGAUUUUGAGCAUACUUUCAUUCCUAUUCCUGAGACUACCUUGACUUGGGAGUUAGUUGAGUCCGUGGUAUGGGUCGAUGAGGGCUUGCCUCAAUUGGUACCUCACCGAUUCAUAGCAUGGUUCAUUGACUUCCAUCGAGGUGGUUGGGAGGGUCCCUUACGGGGUUUCGAUGGGCCUCCCGUCAAGACUGGGGAGUGGGAGGUAGUGCAUGCUAUGGAUCUCAACACUCCUUAUGGUGUCGUGAUAGAUUCGGAGCCCCCGGAGGCCAUGGAUGAGGAGCCUAGUGACUAGAUGGUUUAGUGGCUCUUCUUUUUGGAGUGGACUCUUGUGUAUAGACUAGUUGUGUAUAAACUUAGUGUGUUUAUAUAAGUGUGUUUGGUUUGAUUUGGUUGUCUUGCUUUUCUAUCCCAUGUUGUUGUUGUUUGGGGAUUGUUUAUUUGCUUCUGCUUGUGCAUUAAAUGAAUGGGUCGGCGACGCGUCCUGGGACAUCACAGUUCUAUCGACCAUCGAGGGAUGCGCGCGUGUUCGAGGCUUAGGGCCUGACAAUAGCCAACUUGCUUGAAAGGAAUCAAGCAUUGUGCGGGUCAAGCUAAUCGAGGUGCCACAAGGUCGACGUGAGAUGACUUCUAGCUGAAAUCGAGGCUCAAAGGGCAAAGUAUAGAUGUUAAAAGGAGGAGUUCGCACAAGUGAAGAAAGAAAAUAUGAUAUAUUAAUUUAGUUGUUCUAUGUUGUGUCAUUGUGCUAGUUGUGUCUAAUGCGAGAUUUGAUAGGAAGUUUCUAAGCCUUCCAUAGUUUAUUGAGGUGAGUGUGCACAUUUGUAUUAGGUUGAAAUACUGAAAGUCCUACUUCCCUCAUCUUCAGUACACUUGUUGCCGCUUCAUGCUUCAAAGUUGCUUUACUACUUAAAAAAUAGAUAUUCUAAUGGAAACUUGUUGGUUGUUUGGCAAUCUGACAGAAAGCUUUCAUCGUUCUUACCAUUCUUAUUGGAGAACUUUUGAUUCAUUCUCAUUCUGUUACGAAAAAUCUAGUGAACUUAAUAGCUUUGGCCUCAUAUGUAGUCCAAUAUAUCCAUGAAUUGCCUGCUAGUCACCUGGUGUAAUUGGCACAUGCUAAUUUGGAUAGGUGCCCUAGAAGCGAGACAAUGAAAUGACAACGCCCUCGAGCAGGGAACAUUCCACCAUAAACAGUGAUUAAAAAUUUGACCCUAAAUGGUCAGAGCAUGAGGAAUGAAAUGAUCUCAUUGUUUACUUUUCCUCAGCCCAAUGGUUUAUCAGAGGUUUAAAUACUUGUGUACUUCUAGGAUAAAGACACUAACAUGUGAUUAUCAAUAACACUAAAAUAUCUCCGCAGAUUUGCCGACCGGUGGGAAAUACUCGUUCUUGUGCUGAAUAUAUUAGUUUCUUUCAACUCUUAUUGAAAUCAUUGAACGGGUGGACAUGUACAGCUUGGGAUUCUGCUUUGCUUUUGUAGGGUCCCUUGGCUCGGAAUCAUGGUCGUCGGUUUCCCAUCACUUUUGGGUGUGUGUCAGUCACAGGCCCUCAUCCACAUUAGAAAGCAAUUUCCAUAAUGCUAUGCCAUUUUGUAGGUCCAAUUCAAUGUAUCAAGUCACAUAUGCAAGCCGCCUUUGGGCUUUUUAGGUAGGUCCCAGUAUUUUUUUACCAGCCUCAUCGAUCAUAAUGCCGAAAUUUCGGGCGAUUGAUUCAGAUAUAGAAGUGUUCCUACUUGAAUGUCAAGUCUUUUAGAAGUCCGUGAUAUGUAUAAAGCAUGUCAUGAAUCAAAUAAAGAUGCGGAUUCAAAAUCUCAAAAAUUCGUUUGACCAUGAGUUUUUUCACACCAGAUGAUAUAAAUGACUGAAUGCAACCAAAACCCAAUAUGACUAUUUCAAGUUCAGCACUCUCAAAGCAUAAAUUAGAUGUACAAAAACCACUGGAAAUUUGAGAGAAACCCUUUUUCUCAAGACCAAUUUCUCUCAACACAGACAUGAAUUACGUCCAAUACAAAAAGCCACACCAACUGCCAAUGCAAUAACCAAAAGCAAAUCGUAGUGAAAGAACUAGCUGUACUCGGACACAAGCAGUGGCGUCCUGACGAGACGUGAUGUCGUGCCUCAUCUGCUUCACCAUCGCCUGUCUCUUGUUCCUCAGCAGCUUUAUAAUCACGAAAACCCCUCACCUCUUAUUUGCUAUUACCAGAACAUAGAGAAGAAAAAGCCCCCAAGUAAACCAUUUUCAAGUGGGGAAUUUCAUGUUGCGCACCUCACGAAUAGUGGCCAAGCUUUUGGUCUUUUCCUCCAUCUUCUUUGUCUUGAUCUCCUCCUCCUUGGCCCUGAAAGUGGACAGAGCCGACCUCGACAUCUCCUCGUCCUCUCUCAACAGCGACAUGCUGCUGCGGAAGCUCAAGCUCCCCGACGAGUUCUGCAGGAUCAGCUGCUGCUGCUGCUGCUGUUGUGCCGCCCUCUGCAUGCCCAACCAUCAAUCGGUCUGUUGAUGCAGCCACGCACACUCUUCCUCCUGCAAAAAUCGGAGACAUUAACAAACCCAUGGCAUCGUAUAUCACCAUUUUUGCGGCCUCACCAGAGGAAGGACACCUAAUUGCCACAUGUUGGCCCUACUCAAAUUUGAUUUGACAAAGAACUGACUAGACCAUUUUUAAGACUCAUAAACAAACACAUUUUAUCCAAGUUUUCAUUUCAUUGCCCGAAGGGCUCCAAACAACAAAUUUGGCAACAUGAAAAAAGAAAAACAAAUACCGUCUUCCCUAAGUCGCCAUCUAAUGCUGAUUAUUGUAACACUGAAAACGUGCCUUUUUCACCCAUAGCACAAAUGGUCCUGUACCGGUAAAAGCUUCAACACCUCAAACCAGAUUGUCCUUGAAAAUCGGCACUCCAAAAAUAGAUAGCACUUUGGAUCGUCAAAUUAUGUAGGCCAGUUCAAGCUCUAAAUUGAAAAUAUCCCAAAUACAAUAUUAAAGAAAUCACACAUUCAUUGGAUAUUCAUUGGACAUUUGGAGAUUCUGAGUGAACAAAUAGCGCUUUAAGCAAAGAUCACACAUUUAUUUUGACUCCCCAAUCCAAAAGAUGGAUUCAUAAUAAUUUGAAAUUGACUUUUCAGAAAAUUUCGAAGGGGCGGCAUGCAUGAUAAUCAAGCCAAGUCCCCAAUUAUUUUUUAGCAUGUUUCCAAAGCAGAGAACCGCAAAAUUGAGCAUUAAAUAUAGUUGCUCCGGCCUUAAUUAAUCCAAACAACAUCAUGUGAACAAUCCGUGCCUUUUUUUUUUUGGACGAUCCUAUCUUUUAUUUUGCUAAGACUAGUAAGAUCGCAAGAACUUCCUGUGUAUGUGCAUAUACUCAUUGACAUCACUCCCAAAUUUCAGACCUAUUCAAUCCGCAAGGGCAAACACCUCAAAUGAGUUCCCAUACCUCCAUCGGAAUGAAAGCAAAGUACAAGAAAAGGGAUUAAGCUCGAUGCAGUGGCUUUUAACACCUUCGUUCACACCGUCUGGCUCGAACGAAGAGGACCUGACGUCGCCGUCGACCUCAAGCUCUUGCACGAGGACUUGACGUCGUCGCAUUCAAUGGAGAAGAAAAAGGAGACUCAGACGAAGAACAGGAGGAUCGAUGAAUGAGAAGCGGACUCCACGAACAAGAAGCACGCUAUGGACGAGAAAGACAGAUGAAGAAGUGAGGAGAACUUGGGAAGAAAACUCAAUUAGGGCUUGGAAAUUUGGGGUGAACCUUAAAAGGACAGAUGUUUUCGCACGCAAACCUUUCCUUUUAAGUUUUAUGCCACAUAGAAGAGAGAAAUGAAUAAAAAAUGCAUAGACAGCAUUUUUCGUUAAUCAAAUUAGAUGAAAUUAAUGGAGGAAUUUGAUCGUACUUUAACAAGUUUUAUGACUCGAUUGCAAUUUUUAUAAAUCUUAAGACUAUUGCAUUUAUCCCUUUAAUGUUCUAUCUUCAUUGUAAAUAUCACAAAUCACGAAAGUCAUUGUCAUAGUACUGAUUGGUAUUAAGUAAGAAAUGGAAAAAAAAAAAAAGUUGCAGUAUAUUAGUUGAAAAGAUGCUAAGUAAAACCAUUUGUUUCUUAUAAAAUGAGAAUUUUUUUUAAAUAAUAAGCUCUAAGCUAUUCUCUCUCUCUCUCUCUCUCUCUCUAUAUUUCCUACAAUAUGAAGUGUUUCUAAAUAUUUGUGAUAAAAACUAAACUUCUCUAACUGCAACUACGUAACUUUCUCAUUCUCAUAUACAGAAAAAGAAGAAAAAAGAUGGAGAGAGAGAGUAUCGCAUGCGUCUACUGGUUUUUAAAGUAAGUGAGACCGAGUUUAAUUCAUGUUUGUAUGAUUGUUUUUUGAUUUUCCACAAUUAUUAUAAAUCUGCCUAUAGUUGUUCAUGUUUGUGGAUGGUUUUUCUGACUCACCUUAUAACGCUUGAAACUCUGGACGGAGCCUGUGAAUUCUUGCUUAACCCCAAGUAAUUUCGGGCAAUGGUAGAUAGAUAAACGGCAAUCAUUUGGCAAUUCGGUGGUUGAUACAUCAAUCAGACUUUCCAAUGAUCUGCAGUCAAUAAGUUUCAAUUCGUUCAAAAACUUUAACUUGUCAAGGCCCUCGACAAUCCGUAGCUCUGGGCUGGAAAAUAUUUUCAAAGACUUGAGGUUCUUUAAGUUUGACAAACCACCAAGACUUUGCAAAUGAUCACCAGAAAGUACCAAGUCUUCCAACGAUUCUGACAUACCAACAACUAGAAUGCUGAGUAUCUUAUCGCAAUUCUGUAGCAAGAGACGCCGCAACUUAUUGAAGACUUUCGAUUCAAGGAUCAGUGAAGAUUCAUGAGAAGAUUCUGAAUGUAUGUUGACGUACACGAACCUUCUGAAAGACUUACACUCACUGAUAUCCAAUUUUUUCAACGAUUCCAGCACCCCAGCAAUGUGGACCUCAUCUAAUUUUGGGCAGCCACUCACGCUGACCUCUUUUAGCUUCGUCAUGCUGGAUAGCAUGAAUCUCUCAAGGGGUUCACCUCCAUUAAUAUAAAGCUUCGUUAAAUCUGGAAGCUGAAGCCCAUCAAGUAUAAUCUCUUGCAUUUGAGAGCGAACGAGCCUUAAAUCCGACAAAUUCUUUAGGGUGGAGGAGAGAAAAGCGAUUGAAUUGAAAUUCUGAACAAUUAGAGUAGAGGGAACUUGCUCUAGGGGUUGCUGGUUCAAUCCAUACCACCGGAGUUCGUUAAUCUGAGGAAGGGAAGCCAACUCAGUGGAAGCAGGGACAUGGAGGAGACACAAGUUUAACAUUUCUGACCUCCCAUUCCCCCUCCAGUCACCAGUAUGAAUUCUAUCUCGUCCGUCAAUUUUGGAGCCAUUCUUUAGUCUCCAUUCAAUCAAAUCAGCCAAAUCAGAGUUUUCUUGGAAAACUGGAUCGAUGUCUCUGAAAACUGGCCAGACACUUUUGUAAAUUGGCAAAAGCUGCAAUGACUUAGAUGACACUAAUAAAUAGGUUAAACUUGUUGGGAGUGCUGGCAACUCUUGGAUUUCAUCACGCCCUUUUAACACCAGUUUUUGAAGCCGCUGAAGCAAACCAAUUUCAGAAGGAAGUGGACUUUUAGAAUUUCCUUUAAACAGAUGCAAUUUUAGAAUCUCAAACUUUCCGAUAGCACCUGGUAACUCCACUGGACCUAGAAUUGAAAGCUGCGACUCCCGUAAUGAUUUCCACUUAAAUAUGGAAUCUGGUAAUCCCCUUAUUUGACAACAAUCCCAUAAAGAGAAGUGCUCUAGAUCCCGUAGGUCCCCGAUUUUUUCAGUUAAACCUUCAAACCAAUGGCCAAAAUCAAACUUUAAGUAUUUCAGACGCUCUAACUUCCCAAUAGAGCCAUCAAUCUCUGUUAAACUGUCGCACUUCCUAAAAGUCAGCCUCUCCAAAGUUGAGCAUUCAGAUAAGUCUGGUGUUCUAGUUAUGCCAUGACAAUUAUCAAGCCUAAGAACUUUCAAUUUUCUUGCCUCCUGUAAAAAGUGAAUGCAUUAUCCAAUGGAGGAACAGUUCAAAUGUUGCUUUCAAGGAUAAAGAACAGAAAUAAGCAUAUGACGCACCUUUAUUAAGUUCCAUAAUUUCAGAUCAUCCAUACCAGCAAUGAAGGAAAAUUGAAGGACAACUACAUUCUUUAAGCACAUAUUGGUCAGCUCACACUCUAAAUCAGGAGCUUCCCAAUAAAUCCAUCUUAAAUUGGGAAAACAAUCCAUUAGAUCACCAACAAAGGUUCCUCCGCAAAGUUUAAGGAACCUUAGCUUUUUAAACCUUCCAAUCUCUUCACUUUUGAUAGAUACUCCUUUAUGACACAAGUUUAGUUCCAUUGCUUCAACGUUAUUCAUCUGCAAAUGAGAGCAAGAAACAAGUAGUAUUUAGCAUUCUAUUUUAUCAAGGAAAAGUAUUAAAACCAAGAAGAAAAAAGAGAAUCCAUCUGUUCUCUCAUAAGUGUUCCACCUCCUUUGUCUUUAUUGCAUCGAGGACUUCAUCCUCAAUCCAUAACCUACUACGCUGUUCAGGAUUCAUCAGACUUUCGUUACGAACAAUUCCCUUUCCGAAAUCUCUUAGCUGAUCGUGCAUCAAAAAUUGAUUGCCCUCUCCAAUCUUUAUCAAGGACUUGUUUUUGAGCACCUCAAUUCCAGAAAGUGGGAAAAGUCCACAAUCCUCCCACAUGUAAAUUGCGUUUGUCUUUUCCUCACCAAUGAAAAAGCAUGCAAUAUCCAGAAAAUUUUUUUGUUGCUCAGAACUCAAUGCAUCAUAGCUAACUUUCAACACUUCGAAAACACCUUGUGGAGGUAAUUUGCGUAACUCGUCCAAUUUUUCUUUCCAUAGUUCUUGUGUUUUAUAUUUCAGCAAUGAACCAACUACUGCAAUAGUCAAAGGAAGUCUUCCGCUAGCUUUUACAAUUUCCUUUGCAAUAGCAUAGUGAUCAUUUGAAGGAGAGUCCUUCUCAAACGCAUGUCUGUAGAGGAGCUCAAGCGCAUCAUCACCACUCAUCACCUUCAUUUCAUAAGGUAACACUUCGUACUUUGGUCUAGUGCUUUGCAAAAUAUCCUCAUUUCUAGUAGUAAUUAGUAUUCUAGACCCUGAACACAAAGCACCAUUUCCAACUAAUUUUUCCACUUGCUCAUUGUUAUCCACAUCAUCCAGCACAAUGAGGACCUUCUUAUUGCGAAGUGUUCCUUCGAUCCUCUUCAUUAGAUGUUCAGUUUCAUCGAUGCUUCCUAAUCCUAUGGCAUUUCCUAUUUCAGAUAAUAAUUUCCUUUGCAAUUUAACCAAACCAUCAGUUCUUGAUGAAUUUUCUCUAACAUUUUCAAGGAAGCAGCAACACUUUCCAAAGUGGGUAGAAAGUUCAUUGAACACGACCUUGGCAAGAGUCGUUUUACCGAUACCCCCCAUGCCAUGAAUUUGAAUGAGCCGCACACCUCCAGAGUGUAUGUCUAACAAAUUUCUUACUUCCACCACUCGAUCAUCAAUUCCAAUUAAAUGUUCAGUCACAGACUUUUGCUUUAUCUUCAACUUAAUUACAACCUCCUCGACGACCAACUUGAUUAGGUCAGCUUGGCUGUCAUGAAGGAAAACCAANNNNNNNNNNNNNNNNNNNNNNNNNNNNNNNNNNNNNNNNNNNNNNNNNNNNNNNNNNNNNNNNNNNNNNNNNNNNNNNNNNNNNNNNNNNNNNNNNNNNUGGGCGUUUCAUGCACAAUGAUAGGGUGCCAUGUGUCGCAUGUGGUCAUACCACCCGAAAAUUGACUUGAUCCCAACGUGAUGAGCAAUUUUCAAAUUCUGUUAAUCUAGUUUGUGCAAGAUAAAUGUACAACUAUUUAUGCAUCACGAAUUAGCAUAUUAUCAGUUAUAUUCAUGGGACAGUGGGACAUUAUAUGUUCAAGAGUAGAAAUAUUUGAUGUAAUAAUUGAAAGAUCAAAUUAUUAGACAGACGAGCAUGGUACUCAAUUAUUCCACUUCAUCACCUAUUAUAUAUAAUGCCUUUUCUCCAGCAGUUCCACUUUUUUUUUUUUUUUACACACAUGUACCAUUUAGUAUCGCUAGGGGAAGUUCCACCUCAAUUGUGGUGAUAUAUCUACAUUAUUAAGUUUUGAGUAAAAGUUCUAGAAGAAUUAGAAUUUCACUAAGAGUUGCUUACUAAGUGACAGAGGUGAAAAAUGAAACAAAAUUUAUAUAGACCAUCAACAAAAGGAAAAGAAUGAGCGUUCGUUUCUAUUUUCAGUUCUUCAUUAAAAAUAGACAUAUGAUAGCGCCUCUAGUGAAAUCAAGAACACUAUCAAUUUUAGUAGCUCUAGCGUGAAUUUUUAUGUUUUAGAAUUCUCUCCUCCUACCCGCAUCUAAUAUGUUCCUUCUAUCUGUGAAUUAUUUACUCAGUUUUAGCAAACAGGAAAAAAUAUUAGGGAAAAAGACGGAUCUUGGAAUGCAGCAUGCUCACCGAUCGCAUUUCUUGACUUCCCAUCCCUUUAUUGCAUCAACCUCCAUCAAAGCCUUUCUCCAGGAAUCUACUUCUUCAAUGCUCAAGUUAUCCUCGCCUUGCAAAAUGAGAAUGGCAUCGCGAUACAACCGGGUUUUCAUCUUAACAUCUUUAGGUUCCACAUCAAAGAAAAUAGGUAGGAUCUCUUUAUUCCCAUUUGACUUGGAGGUGUUCUCCAUAAUUUGCGUGAGUUCACGGAGACACCAUUUGCUCGAAGCGUAGGUUGGAGAGAAGAUGGGGAUGUAGAUCCUAGAGUUGUCAAUUGCUCUAUGGAGCGCUCCAUCGAUUCUUUCACCAACAUGGAGCUUUUCACUGUCUCGAAAGACGUGGAUACCAGUAUCGGUCAAGCUGUGGUAGAGGAAGUCGGUAAAUCCAUUACGAGUGUCAGGUCCUCUGAAGUUCAAGAACACUUGAUGCUCACAUUCUGAUGAUGCUUCUGCCUCUGAGUCUCCAUUUUAACUUUAGCUUUAGUAGCUCUNNNNNNNNNNNNNNNNNNNNNNNNNNNNNNNNNNNNNNNNNNNNNNNNNNNNNNNNNNNNNNNNNNNNNNNNNNNNNNNNNNNNNNNNNNNNNNNNNNNNNNNNNNNNNNNNNNNNNNNNNNNNNNNNNNNNNNNNNNNNNNNNNNNNNNNNNNNNNNNNNNNNNNNNNNNNNNNNNNNNNNNNNNNNNNNNNNNNNNNNNNNNNNNNNNNNNNNNNNNNNNNNNNNNNNNNNNNNNNNNNNNNNNNNNNNNNNNNNNNNNNNNNGACUUUUUGAAAAGAUUGCAUAUGUGAGAGAUUAUUUGAUAGGUGUGUUAUAUGCAUUUUCUAAGCAAAGAAUAUACCUUUCUUCAAUCUUGCCAAUUUUAAAAACACUACUAUGGACCUUAAAAAAAAAAAUUAUAAAAAACACUAUUCGAAUUUUUUAAAGAUUGUGAAACCUUAUAUGUGAAUCUAGGAAACUGGAAAAGACCGACAAUCAACAAACUUAAGAAAACCAAAAAUUCAAAAAGUAAAAAAGAAAAGUCAAUUCAAACUUACAUAAACAUAUAUAAUAACUAGUAUUAUAAAAUAAAAUACUAAAUCACGGAUUCUUCUAAAAACUUAAAUUUUUGGAACGGUUUGACAUUAGCCCGCAAUCUUUUCACAAAUCCACUUGUCCAUUCUUGUUAAGAAGCUGAUCGAGGAGACUUUAGGUCCAAUUACACAGGAAGGAACACAACAAAAUACAAAUGGGGAUUUUAGUCCCCGACGACCAGAUCCAGCCUCGAUUGUGGACAACGCACUCAUUCUGAGCAAGUAUUUCAUCAAACCGAAUUCUUCAGGGCAAAAUCCAGAAUAAGUCGAAGAGAAUCGUACCGUCUUCGUCGUCGCUGCUGCUGGAAAAGGGCUUCGUGAAGAUGAAUAUCGACGGCUCCCGGUACUGGCGAGCCAAUUCGCCGGAGGGGUCGGUUGCCGGAGUCGCUCGGGACGACCAGGGGACGUUGAUCCCUGGGUUUGCGACGAAGGUCGUCGCCUCAUCCUGCUCUGCACACGGAAAAUCCGCUUGUCCAUUCUUGUUAAGAAGCUGAUCGAGAAGACUUUUGGUUCAAUCACACAGGAAGGAACGCAACAAAAUACAAAUGGGUAUUUCAAUCCCCGACGACCAGAUCCGGCCUCGAUUGUGGACAACGCACUCAUUCUGAGCAAGGAUUUCGUCAAGCCGAACGCUUCAGGGCAAAUCCAGAAUAAGUCAGAAAUGAAUUGGACAGUGUUCGCGGUCGCUGCCGGGAAAGGGCUUGGUGAAGAUGAAUAUCGAUGGCUCCUGGUACUGGCUACCCGAUUCGUCUGAGGGGUCGGUUGUGUGGCCUCCUCUGCUCUGCACACGGAAAAGCCAGCCCCCAAACAAGUGUUUGUCAGUGACUGCGCGAGGAAAGGAAGCUCGAAGACGUUUCAAGUCUUCCUAGUGAUCUGAGCGUGACUUUAAGCUGAUAUGUACAAUGCAUGUCAGACUCGUUUCUAAGUCCAUGGGCCCUCCGGUGUUCAUUUCAGGAAUCAAAAGGAGUUUCAAUUUUGCAUGAUUAUGUUUUAGGAUAAAAGUUGCAAAAAAUUCUAAACCAUGCCUAGUUCGAUAUAUUUAUUUAUCUUAAAUUUUUUAUGAUAUCAAAAAUUUCAAAUUUGUAUUUAUUUGACACAUUAUAUUUAUCCCAAAUUUCUUCUUGUGACAUUAAAAAUUUCAANNNNNNNNNNNNNNNNNNNNNNNNNNNNNNNNNNNNNNNNNNNNNNNNNNNNNNNNNNNNNNNNNNNNNNNNNNNNNNNNNNNNNNNNNNNNNNNNNNNNNNNNNNNNNNNNNNNNNNNNNNNUAUCUGUAAAAUUUCUAUACAUAGAGUGGCUUGCUUGAUGUGUCAACCGUUAUCAGGUACAGUACUUCGAUGCGAACCUGAGAAGAACAAUAAUGCACUGGAAAAGGGUGAAAGGAAACAGCAAGGAAACCCUCGCAUGUCCAUACUUUAUGGAAGCGAAGCAAAGCAAUAGUCGACAAAAAGUUGAAGAGAGGCAUGAAGUUUCUAAAAAUGCCAAACAACUUUAUAGAAACUAGGUCGCAAGGUGCCCUUGCUUUUCCUAAAAUAAAUAAAUAAAAAUAAAAACCAACCUGCCUUUUGAGGCAAGCACAUUAAAAUUCUCUAUGGAGGCUUGUUCCAUUUUUCAAUUCUAACCAUUAGAAAGGACAUCCGAAAAACACAUACAUAAUUCAAGGAGGUGGCUUAUAUUUUGCAGCGUGCAUGCAUAUAAUUUAGGCAAUGGGAUUAUAUCGCGAAUCAUGAAAUUGAUUGGAUACUCUUAAAUACUCAAUACCCGAUAUCAACAGGAAACAACAUACAACAUAUUUUCUAUAUAUCUCCACGCGUGCAAAGAAUUUUGAUUCAAGUUUAGCUCCCUACAUUUUCUAGCACAAGUUGAUCUCUUUGAAAGGGAUUAAAAUGAUGAUGAUAUAUGUGCAAACACUUCAGAAUCUUCAAAAAGAGAGGAAGAAAGAAAAUAGUCAAAGGCUAUAUCUUAAGAAGGAACAAGCUCAUCUUGUGAUUACUCCCUUUAGUCGAUCUACAUCUCUGAUUGGAGGUAAAAUCUCUCAUUUUCCAUAAGCUUAUUGAAUCGACACAUCAUUCUAAAAAAUCAAGCUAUCUGAUUCAAUAUUUUACAGGUUCGUGCCAACUACAAUGUUAUAGGAGGAUGAAUGACAAAAAUAAAUGAAGUGCAGGCUCUGCUGAUGUCAUGACGAUUGUAAGUGGGGGUAUUUCCGCUGUUUUCAAACUCUCAAGCAACCUCAUUGGCGGUUCCACACCCUACGAAUUUCUUUUUUCUUCAGUUUUUGUUUCCUUUUGUUUAGGUUUUCCCUGAUUUUUAAAAUAAUUUCUUUGGUCUUUCUUCGCCUCAUUAGCACCAAUAUAGAAAGAAAUUACAAAGCACCACGUCCAAUUUUGGAAUCUACGUUAGCAAAUCUGGUUAUGAGUUUGUCGGAAGGAUUAAAUUGCAGCCAACAAAAAAACGUUUAGGACUUGAUUGCAUAUUUGGCCAAACAUUAUGGACUUUUUGGUGUAAGUUUCAUUUAUAAGUACCUAAAAUGAGAUCAGCAUAGUGGAUAACAAAUAUUCUUAUAAGAUAAUAACAAAUAAGGGUUACUCAAAUAAAAAUUCAUAGUUUGAUUCCCAUCCUACAUUGAUCUCUCCCACCGACUAGAACUUUGCUAUUGACGGGUUUUCCAAUGCAUCUCUUACCUUGAUUUGGCCUAUCCUUCCACAGCUGUAGAAUAAACUUGUAGAUUAGCAGCAAAAAUAGCAUUUGGUUGUGAUGACAGAUUUCGCGCCGACAAGCGCAAGAAAGGGAAAACGCGUGGAGUGGGGUCGCUACGUUCCCAGCCAUGCCGUGUAAUGAACACAUGAAGUUUCAACUCUAUAUCCUUGUGAAAUCCCCCGUGUAAAGGCAAGAAAAAUUGAAAACAUGUGGCACGACUCUAUUAUAUGUUGGCAAAAGCAAAAGGGGAGAGACUCAUGCAUGAUUGUUAUCUCUUUCAUAUUUUUUCCACAACUUUGUGUUUGUCUUUUUGACAAUUCGACUCAAUCAUGAAUAAGUCGAUAAAGGAUACAUAAAAGACAAAGAGAGGAAAGAGACUUAGAGGAUAGGAGACUUUUGCAAAUGGGGUCGAAAUUUUUUUAGGCUUCUUCAUUGAUGGGAUGUUAAGUUGAAAAUGAGAGAAACUGAGUUGGCAGGUACCUAUGCCUAUCCUUAAAGAAAAACAAUUAAAGUAACUUUUGGGUCAAGCACAUAAAAUCCUUUGGUGGGUUGUCAGGUAUCCUCAAAACACAAACAUAAUCGUUGAGAGGUGCCACAAAAGUAAUGUAAGGGACUGUAUCACGACUCAUUGAAUUGGUUAAAUGCAUAGAGAAUUAAAUAUUCAAAAAAAAAAAACUUCUUUUUGUAUAUCUUCGUGUGGGUGUAUAAUUUGCUUUAUGUUUAGCUCUCUCCAUUUUCCAAUAUAAGCUAAGCCAAAUAAUCAUAAAAUAUUAAUGAAAUAUAUAACUUAUAGUUUAAUAUAGCUAAGCCUCACAAUAAAGGAAAUAAAAAUGCCUAAGUUAGACAAAAUCAUCAUCCAUUUAAAAAUAGGACUCGCGUGUAAACCAAUUUGGUUGGAAAAUUUCAAUGCUAUAUAAUCAGUUUCUUUUGGCUCUGAUACCAAAUAAUUUGAGAUAAUAAGGAGAAGGGAAGCAAAAGCGGAAAGGGGAUGCCGAGAUCAACAAUCGACAACAAAGAAGAGAAAAAAAUGAUUCGUAAAAUUGAUUGAUGCUCUAAAAAUAUCAUAUACUCAAUAACAAACAACAUAAAACUUAUUUUUGUCUGUUUAUAUAUAUCUCCAUGCUUGCAUAUAAUUUGGUUCAACUUUAGCUCUCUCCAUUUUCCGGUAUAAGUUGAUCUUUUUUUUUUUUUUUGUCGAUCCUCCUCUAUUCUUACUCUAACACUCACUCUCAGACUUUUGUCCUACCUCAUUGCAGGGCGUGGGAGUCGAAACUCAUUCCGGAAACUAAAUCGUCCCCACCCCAACCUCCCCUGAGAAGGUGCGGAUUCGAACUCCCCACCUCCCUCUUCCAACUUGGAAGGGUGACCACUUGGGCAAACCCCAGCAGUUUUAUAAGUUGAUCUAUUUGAAAGGGGAUAAAAUGCCGACUAUAUACGUAUAAAUAUCCCUGGUUAGAGGUAAAAUAUUUCAUUUUUCAUAAGCCCAUUGAAUCGACAUAACAUUCUAAAAAAUCAAACUGUAUGAUUUGAUAUUUUACAGGUUUGUGCUAACUAAAAUGAAUAGGAUGAUGAGGACAAAGAAAAAGAACGCGCUAGCUCUGCUCAUGACANNNNNNNNNNNNNNNNNNNNNNNNNNNNNNNNNNNNNNNNNNNNNNNNNNNNNNNNNNNNNNNNNNNNNNNNNNNNNNNNNNNNNNNNNNNNNNNNNNNNNNNNNNNNNNNNNNNNNNNNNNNNNNNNNNNNNNNNNNNNNNNNNNNNNNNNNNNNNNNNNNNNNNNNNNNNNNNNNNNNNNNNNNNNNNNNNNNNNNNNNNNNNNNNNNNNNNNNNNNNNNNNNNNNNNNNNNNNNNNNNNNNNNNNNNNNNNNNNNNNNNNNNNNNNNNNNNNNNNNNNNNNNNNNNNNNNNNNNNNNNNNNNNNNNNNNNNNNNNNNNNNNNNNNNNNNNNNNNNNNNNNNNNNNNNNNNNNNNNNNNNNNNNNNNNNNNNNNNNNNNNNNNNNNNNNNNNNNNNNNNNNNNNNNNNNNNNNNNNNNNNNNNNNNNNNNNNNNNNNNNNNNNNNNNNNNNNNNNNNNNNNNNNNNNNNNNNNNNNNNNNNNNNNNNNNNNNNNNNNNNNNNNNNNNNNNNNNNNNNNNNNNNNNNNNNNNNNNNNNNNNNNNNNNNNNNNNNNNNNNNNNNNNNNNNNNNNNNNNNNNNNNNNNNNNNNNNNNNNNNNNNNNNNNNNNNNNNNNNNNNNNNNNNNNNNNNNNNNNNNNNNNNNNNNNNNNNNNNNNNNNNNNNNNNNNNNNNNNNNNNNNNNNNNNNNNNNNNNNNNNNNNNNNNNNNNNNNNNNNNNNNNNNNNNNNNNNNNNNNNNNNNNNNNNNNNNNNNNNNNNNNNNNNNNNNNNNNNNNNNNNNNNNNNNNNNNNNNNNNNNNNNNNNNNNNNNNNNNNNNNNNNNNNNNNNNNNNNNNNNNNNNNNNNNNNNNNNNNNNNNNNNNNNNNNNNNNNNNNNNNNNNNNNNNNNNNNNNNNNNNNNNNNNNNNNNNNNNNNNNNNNNNNNNNNNNNNNNNNNNNNNNNNNNNNNNNNNNNNNNNNNNNNNNNNNNNNNNNNNNNNNNNNNNNNNNNNNNNNNNNNNNNNNNNNNNNNNNNNNNNNNNNNNNNNNNNNNNNNNNNNNNNNNNNNNNNNNNNNNNNNNNNNNNNNNNNNNNNNNNNNNNNNNNNNNNNNNNNNNNNNNNNNNNNNNNNNNNNNNNNNNNNNNNNNNNNNNNNNNNNNNNNNNNNNNNNNNNNNNNNNNNNNNNNNNNNNNNNNNNNNNNNNNNNNNNNNNNNNNNNNNNNNNNNNNNNNNNNNNNNNNNNNNNNNNNNNNNNNNNNNNNNNNNNNNNNNNNNNNNNNNNNNNNNNNNNNNNNNNNNNNNNNNNNNNNNNNNNNNNNNNNNNNNNNNNNNNNNNNNNNNNNNNNNNNNNNNNNNNNNNNNNNNNNNNNNNNNNNNNNNNNNNNNNNNNNNNNNNNNNNNNNNNNNNNNNNNNNNNNNNNNNNNNNNNNNNNNNNNNNNNNNNNNNNNNNNNNNNNNNNNNNNNNNNNNNNNNNNNNNNNNNNNNNNNNNNNNNNNNNNNNNNNNNNNNNNNNNNNNNNNNNNNNNNNNNNNNNNNNNNNNNNNNNNNNNNNNNNNNNNNNNNNNNNNNNNNNNNNNNNNNNNNNNNNNNNNNNNNNNNNNNNNNNNNNNNNNNNNNNNNNNNNNNNNNNNNNNNNNNNNNNNNNNNNNNNNNNNNNNNNNNNNNNNNNNNNNNNNNNNNNNNNNNNNNNNNNNNNNNNNNNNNNNNNNNNNNNNNNNNNNNNNNNNNNNNNNNNNNNNNNNNNNNNNNNNNNNNNNNNNNNNNNNNNNNNNNNNNNNNNNNNNNNNNNNNNNNNNNNNNNNNNNNNNNNNNNNNNNNNNNNNNNNNNNNNNNNNNNNNNNNNNNNNNNNNNNNNNNNNNNNNNNNNNNNNNNNNNNNNNNNNNNNNNNNNNNNNNNNNNNNNNNNNNNNNNNNNNNNNNNNNNNNNNNNNNNNNNNNNNNNNNNNNNNNNNNNNNNNNNNNNNNNNNNNNNNNNNNNNNNNNNNNNNNNNNNNNNNNNNNNNNNNNNNNNNNNNNNNNNNNNNNNNNNNNNNNNNNNNNNNNNNNNNNNNNNNNNNNNNNNNNNNNNNNNNNNNNNNNNNNNNNNNNNNNNNNNNNNNNNNNNNNNNNNNNNNNNNNNNNNNNNNNNNNNNNNNNNNNNNNNNNNNNNNNNNNNNNNNNNNNNNNNNNNNNNNNNNNNNNNNNNNNNNNNNNNNNNNNNNNNNNNNNNNNNNNNNNNNNNNNNNNNNNNNNNNNNNNNNNNNNNNNNNNNNNNNNNNNNNNNNNNNNNNNNNNNNNNNNNNNNNNNNNNNNNNNNNNNNNNNNNNNNNNNNNNNNNNNNNNNNNNNNNNNNNNNNNNNNNNNNNNNNNNNNNNNNNNNNNNNNNNNNNNNNNNNNNNNNNNNNNNNNNNNNNNNNNNNNNNNNNNNNNNNNNNNNNNNNNNNNNNNNNNNNNNNNNNNNNNNNNNNNNNNNNNNNNNNNNNNNNNNNNNNNNNNNNNNNNNNNNNNNNNNNNNNNNNNNNNNNNNNNNNNNNNNNNNNNNNNNNNNNNNNNNNNNNNNNNNNNNNNNNNNNNNNNNNNNNNNNNNNNNNNNNNNNNNNNNNNNNNNNNNNNNNNNNNNNNNNNNNNNNNNNNNNNNNNNNNNNNNNNNNNNNNNNNNNNNNNNNNNNNNNNNNNNNNNNNNNNNNNNNNNNNNNNNNNNNNNNNNNNNNNNNNNNNNNNNNNNNNNNNNNNNNNNNNNNNNNNNNNNNNNNNNNNNNNNNNNNNNNNNNNNNNNNNNNNNNNNNNNNNNNNNNNNNNNNNNNNNNNNNNNNNNNNNNNNNNNNNNNNNNNNNNNNNNNNNNNNNNNNNNNNNNNNNNNNNNNNNNNNNNNNNNNNNNNNNNNNNNNNNNNNNNNNNNNNNNNNNNNNNNNNNNNNNNNNNNNNNNNNNNNNNNNNNNNNNNNNNNNNNNNNNNNNNNNNNNNNNNNNNNNNNNNNNNNNNNNNNNNNNNNNNNNNNNNNNNNNNNNNNNNNNNNNNNNNNNNNNNNNNNNNNNNNNNNNNNNNNNNNNNNNNNNNNNNNNNNNNNNNNNNNNNNNNNNNNNNNNNNNNNNNNNNNNNNNNNNNNNNNNNNNNNNNNNNNNNNNNNNNNNNNNGCUCAAGUAGUUUCAUGUUUGUUUCCCAAUGUUCAAGUGAGUGAUGCUUAUCUCUUCUAAGAUUUGGAAACCAUGUAUUGAAAAAAUAAAAAGGAAAAGUGGUGUUUCAAGCAUAUUUGUUGUAUAAGUCUAGAUCAAGUAAUUACUACCCGUUUGUUCAUUGGAUAUUGCAUAGUAAACCAUUUCUUAAAAUAGUUUGUGAGUUAAUUAUUUGUUAUAAGGUUUGGGAAAUGCUAUGUAAAAAGUAUUGUGCUUGAUGGAUUAAAUUAUGAAAGGCUAUAUGAUUUGUGAAUCCAAUUUAUGAAAUAAAUUCAGAGUUGGUUUUGUAGAUGGUUGGAUAAUGAGUUAGUUGUUUAUCAUAAUCACUAUGAUCUAAAUCUUUACGGGGUUGAACAUAUGCAUAUUGUUCUUAAGAAUUGGUUUUGUCGAUGGUUGGAUAAUGAGUUAGUUGUUUAUCAUAAUCACUAUGAUCUAAACCUUUAUAGAGUUGAACAUAUGCAUAUUGUUCUUAAGACAUGCCAUUAGGACCAAGCCACCAGUUGUCAUUGGCAAAGGCAUACGUGACCAAAUAAACAUUGUUAAGCUACAUAAAACAACUAUUUUGUGAGAUAAUUGGAGCAAGGUUAGCGAAUCAUACAAAAAAAGAGUGCUAGACACCCUAAGUGCCAAAACUUGGCAUGGGUAAAUACUUAAGUACUAGAACUUCUAAAAGGUACACUUAAGUACCAAAAUCAGAGAAGAAAAGAACAUUUAAGUGCCAACGGCGAGAAUUUGCAACUAAACUAUUGAUGUGGCUCUUUCCGGCAAGAUUUUCUUACUGAUGUGGCAAUUCUUUUAAAAAACUUAUCUACAUGAUGCUAACGUAGCUAGAUAUGCCCAAAACGAUGUCGUUUUGACUCCAAAUUUGAUUUUUAAAUUAAAAAACUAAAUUACAAAAAAGGAAAAAAGAGGGAGGUAGCAUUCGGCAAGGGCCUCCAUAGCCCUUGCCAUCACUGCCGCCACCCCACCACCGUCGAAAAGGGCCAAUGAUGAUGGGAUGAGGGUUAGCCGGGGUCACCAAACCCGAGCAAGUGGCCAAUGACCCUAGUUGAACGCCAACAAGGGCCUGUAGGUCCUCAUCCAAAUCUAGGGUGAGAGGUCGUGGGUGACCCCAUCACAACUAACGGCGGCCCUUAGCCCCUUUAGGCAAGGGCCAGUGACCCCGAUCGACCUUUGCCCCAUUAUCGUCGACCCUUUCCAACGAUGGUGAGGCAACCGUGGCAAGGGCUAUGGAGGCCCUCAAUGAAUGCUACCUCUCUCCUCUUUUUUUUUUUUUUUUUUUUUUUAAUUUAGUUUUUUAGUUUAAUAUAAUUAAUAAUUAUAUUAAAAAUCAAAUUUGGGGGCAAAACGAUGUCGUUUUGCACAUUAAUUACUAAGUAGACAACUCUAGCGAGCCACAUAGACCAUAUUUAUUAUUAAAAUAAUGUCAUAUCGGAUUUCUGGCUAUCUUCACUAGGGGUGAGCAUCGGUCCAGGGUCAAUCCUAGACUGACCCUAGACCGAUCCAAUCCUGCCGAUCCUGGUCCGGUUCCCAGGGAGACUGGGUCGGUCCUUAGUCCUGAGAGUUCCAGGUCGGUCCAACCUGAAUCAACCCUAACUAUAUAUAUAUAAUAAAUUAUUUAUAAUUUUUUAUAAAGAGAAAACCUUAAAAUAAAUGGCGUCAACAACAUUAAACAGCUCUUUAGUGAGGAGUUCAAGUAAUUUUACAUUGUUCUUCAAUAACUUAGGUUUUUAAUGUCUUUUACGGCGUCAAUAGUCACAAUUUAUGAAGGAAGAAAAUGUUUUUGUGAGGAGUCCUCACGGUGGCAUCCAAAAAGGCACCUUAUGGCAUCCUCCUCUAGUAUUCGUUAUCUUCUAUCUUAUUUUCCUCUUAGUCUUUAAUUUGCUAAAAUCGAAAAAAAAAAAAAACAACUUCUCCGCUUGCCACUCGACACUCGCCUCGCUUGCCUUAGGUUACCCGUGUUGCUCGCUGCUCGAUACUCGCUUGGCUUGUUGCUCCCCGCUCGACAUUCAAUGCUCAUUCUGUUCGACGCUUACCCCACUUGACCCUCAUUGCUUGCCUUUCUUAGCUAACCUUGCUCAUCAUCGAAUCCAUUGGGUCGAUACGGUUCUCGAUUGACCUUUCAAGGAGUACAAAAAAUGAAAUAAAAAAUUAUUGGUUAGUCCUAGGUUGACCUUGAAACAGGACCGAACCUAUUGGGAUUAGUCUAGUCCUUAAUUGCUUUUUUAAGGAGUUAUGAAAAAUGGAAAUAAAAAUUAUCAGUUGGGUCCCGGGNNNNNNNNNNNNNNNNNNNNNNNNNNNNNNNNNNNNNNNNNNNNNNNNNNNNNNNNNNNNNNNNNNNNNNNNNNNNNNNNNNNNNNNNNNNNNNNNNNNNUGCUUUUUUAGGAGUAUGAAAAAUGAAAUAAAAAAUUAUCAGUUGGUCCCGGGUUGACCCUAGAACAUGAUCGAAUCCAUUGGGUUGGUUCGGUCUUCGGUCUUAAGCUCAAAAAGGUUGGUCCUCAGUCCCAAAAAUUGAGGACCAGCACUGUGCGGGUUAGUCCUAGAGUUAUGGGGUGGACCAGCUCAACCCGGACCAUGCUCACCCCUAAUCUUCACUAGAGUUGGCAUUUAAGUGUCCAAUUUUCAAAAAUAGUUGCACUUAAGUGUACAUUUUAGAUAUCUUGGUACUUGAGUGUCCACCUGUGCCAAAUUUUCACACUUGUAGUGUACCUUUGCCUACAAAAAAUGUUAAAAUUUGCAAAUAAUAGUAGUAAACUCAAGGCGUUGCCAAGAAAGGUAAAUAAAAAUUAGUAAAAGAUAAACAAAGGUUUUUGUCAAAGAUAGAAGAAGAUGGUAAUUUAAAAACAAAUAUAUAUAUAUAUAUAUAUAUAUAUAUAUAUAUAUAUAUUGGCAAGUAUCUUAAAAAAAAUAUACUAGCAAUCACUCUAAUGAAGUUGGCAAUUUCAAAAAAGAGAUGGUAAAUUGAAAAUUUCAGUGAGUGAGGCCAAUAAAAGUGGUAACUCAAUAAAAAAUCUAGUCCAUGUAAGUAAAAAUAGUUAACUAUUGAUAAGCAACUCAAAUGAGAGUUAGAAACUCAAAACUAGUUGGUAAUUUGACCCCAGUAACUUUGUAAGGUCAUGCAAACAAAGAUUGAUAAUUUCAUAUAGCAGUUGGUAAAUUUAAACCUUUAGUAAGAAAGGUAAAUAAAAGUUGGUAAGUAAUUAGAGAAGCUUUUUUUGGUUAAAGAUAAGAGAAGUUGGUAAUUUAAAAGCAAACCCCAAAGAAACAUUGGUAGCUAACUCAAGUAGGAGUCGGUAUGCAAAAUAAGUUGGAAACUUAAUUAGUUAAAAGUAGGCAAUCACUAAAAAUUUCUAAAAACAACCGGUAGAUUUAUAAAGUUUGUAAAGAAGGCAAACAAAAGAAGUGACUUAAUAAAAAUUUGGUAAAUAAAAAUAUUAAAUGAACUUUGUUAUAAGCAACUCAAAUGAGAGAUGGCAACACAUAGCCACUAGGUUACUUAAUUGGAGUGACAUGAUUAGUAACUAAAUUGAAGAUCGGUAAUUUUAUCUGGUAGUUGAUAAAUUUAAAACAUUCAUGGUAAACAGGAUGAGUUUUUUUUUUUUUUUAGUCAAUCACAAGGGAAAGUUUUAAUUAAAAAUAAACAAACAUCAAUAGCUAACUCAACUAAGUAUAUGUAAUGCAAAUUUUGUUAAUGACUUGAUUGGAUAAUGUUGAGAAUCACUCCAAUUCCAUUUUCCAUUAGAAAUUUCUAAGGAGUUGGUAGAUUUAACAAGCGGGUAAAGAAGGCAAAUCAAAGUUGGUAACUCAUUGAAAAAGUGGAUAAAAUUUUUAGAAAAAUAAACAUUGGUUGGCAAUUCAAAUGAAACUUAGUAAAUCAAAGCUAUUCAAUAAUCUAAUGGGAGAACAACUGUUAAUUCACACAAUUAAAGGUUGAUGAAGUCAUAUAAAAGUGGAUAAAUUUAAGUCAUCUAUAAGAGAGACAAAUAAAAGUUGGUAAUAAUAAGAAAAUUUGAUAAAUUAAAGUAAAAUCAAAUAAAUAUCAGUAAGUAAUUCAAAUGAAAGCUGGAAAACCAAAACUAGUUGGUAAUUUGAUCGGAAAAAAAGUUGAUAAGUCACUCAAAUAAAUGUCAAAAGAUUAAUAUAUUUGUUGGUAAAUAUUAACGAUUCAAGCAAAAAGUUAGUGUAAACUGUGGAAGGAGUUGGUAAUUUCAUGAAACUCUUACUAAAUUACCAAUAAGUUAGGGAAUAAUAAUAGACCAGUAGCUUAUUUCUACUUUUAUUUUUAUAUUUAUUAACUGUCACACCCGAUCCUUGAGCGCGUGCACAUCCCUCGGUGGUCAAUGAAAUUGCGACUUCCCAGGACAAGUCAUCGACCCUUUCAUUUUAUUGCACAUGCAGAAGCGAAUAAACAAAUCCCCUGUCAACAACCAUCUCGGGAUAGAAAAGCAGGACAAUCAAAUCACAAAAGCCACGUUUACAUAAACAAACUAAUUUAUACACAGAGGCCAACUCUAGGGUCUAUGUACAGGAGGUCUAUCUUCAAAAAGAACUAUUGAGCCACCCAUGCUCUUGACCCUUCCGCCUCAAACUCCGGAUUCUUCACACUAGAGACUCGAAAAUGGUAACCCACGACAGGGUAAGAUAUAAAUCUCAACAAGUUCACGCCCUAAACCCCGAUUAGGAAGAUAAUAUACCUAGAGGCAGCCUACACACAUAGCCAAUGAGACUCACCUUGCCUCAUUUUUUUCUUGCAUGUCAGUACAGUUCAUUAAACAUAAGCAGAUAAUCAACGCCAUACGUUAAUUGGAGCUGCAGGCUAUCAAACCAAUCAAACACAGAAUCCCGAUAUAAAACCAAUCAUUAUGACACGUCUCAUACCGUACCACAUAAUUUUAUCCCAUAAUCAGGCGCGGGUAACUCAUAUCGGUGGUUCAUUUCCCACCCGAUAUUCACUCUUAAUACUCAAAUUCCCAAUUUAAACUCAACAUCCCCACUCAAUAUUCCGACUCCACAUUCUAACUCAAUGCUCAAACUCAAUAACAGACUCAAGGCUCUAAAGGUGACCCACACGAAGUCUCGCUAUCAUGUAGUACUUACCCUUGACAACAAAUAGCAAUAGUACAAGGCACUAGAGGCGACUCACACGAAGUCUCGCUAUCUUGUAGUACUUAGUCCUUGACAACAAAAAAAACAAUAGUACAAGGCACUAGAGACGACUCACAUGAAGUCUCGCUAUUGUGUAUAUGACACCCCCGAAUGGUCCCCGAUCCGCUAGGGUCGCCAGUCCACUUGCCUUUCUCUUGACCUGAUAAUAUAUUACUCUGAUACCUGUCGCGACCCGAUCUCGCCGCCCCUCGAAAAGUGUCCAAGGAGGGAAAGGUCGGGUUUAGGGGUACUUGAUCUCAAGAUCACGAGCUCUCCCAAGCUCGUACCCCACGUGACAGCAUAUUUAUUUAUACGAUCUAGGUAUUUAACAACCUAAAAAAUAGACAGGAGUCGCCACUAGCCUCAUUUUUGGGGGUCGGCUAGAAACCCAAUUGAGGGUCGGGAGUGGUCCCUCGAUUCCUACGCAACCAGAUAUCUAGGUUCGGGGACUUGGGUUACGCUAAUAUUGCUAUUAGCGCCCUUUCGGUACCUAAACAGUAUGUUGUGUUUUUCCUAACAUGUCAAUGCGUUUCUUUUAUAUUUUCAGGAUCAUCAAUUCUAUACUAAAUGAUCAUGCGUGAUGGAUUACUUUCAUUCUAUUCUAUUCCUAAGAAAUGAAAGGAAAACAAACAAUGAAAUUAAAUUAAAUUGCAAGACAUGAAGUAAACAAUCAAGAAAAGCAGUUAAACCUAAUCAUGCAAUUCUAAAAAAUAUAAAAGAGAAAACAAUUGGGAAAGAAAGGAAACCCGCACCUCGUCGGGUUUUAUACAAUGCAUGGAACCCGAGACAUAUGUCGGGAAAAUGAGCAUUACAUGAUAACGGUCGGAGUGGACAUCGACCUCCACCAUCUUCACGCCUUACCCCUUCUCCAUCUUCGGGGUCCUAAUCUAAACCUAAUCUAAGAAACAAGAAUCCCUUGCCUCAUCUUAUAUGACUAAGACAAUGCAUAGAAAUCAUUAUUAUAAUGAAUAGACAUAGGCAUCAGACAUGAACAUGAAUCCAGCAAAUUCAAGUCACAAACAGGACAAAAUACAAUGCAUGUUUAAAGGUUCGUAAGACCACCUAGACAAUGUACAAAAAUGUGAAACUUGCACAUGACAUAAGGUUGAAUGCGAAAAAGGUUUGGGUAAACAUUUAACCCUAAAUCAGAAUACAAAGAAGUCACACAAGUCAUUAACAUUGCAAAGUGACUUGGAACUAAGAAGCAAAAUGCAUGACAAUUUCAGUUGUGGUAUAUCGACUUGAAUUCUAAGAUUACUUGACCUUAAAAAUUCUCAAAUUUUAGCAUGGGAUGGAUAUGGACAUUAUGGACAGCCUUCAUUGAGAAUUUAUCCUCAAGAUCAUUAUGUAUAAGAUCACACAAAAUUGGUAGACAGUCAGAUUCAUAGAGACAAGACAGCACUGCAGGUCAAGACAAAUUCAGACUUCAAAACUUGAUCUAAAAAAAAAAAAAAAAGCAGGGCAAAUGAUGGGAAAAUUGGACAAACUAGGCAUCGUUAGAAAGCUCAAGGUGUCCUUUACGAAUUCCUAUUAGGUGACAAUUGCAAUUUAGGUCUUUUUCUAGCUCAAGCAAAGCCAUUUGUAUAAGUGGUCAGAUCAGAUCAUAACAAGCAGAACACAUCAGCAGAUUAGUGCUCUUUGCAAGAAGCAUCAGGCAGGGCAAAUGGUGGCCAAAUCGCACAUAUUAUAUGUCUAUGGAAAGCUUGAAAAGUCUAUUACAAAUCUCUAGAAGACAUUAAACCCUAAUAACAUCAUCUACCAGUUCAUAUCAAGCGGUUUAUACAGAAGGUCAUCCGAAACAGAGAAACAAAUAUUUGGCAGAUUCUGGACCUAACUUUGGACAGGCAAAAACCAUAUUAAAUGAAGUCCGAUUAGGGCAUUCUAUAGCUUAUUGGAAAGAUAAUCGAACCAUCUUCAACCUAUAUGAAGACUUCGAACACAGACAACCACAGCAACCCGCUCAUCUCACGUCAUUUUGCACAGAAGGUCAGAUCAGAACACAGAACACAAUAAACAACACAGAUUCAGUAACAAUGGCACAAUGAGUGGUAUCAGAUCUAUAUACUCGGUAAAUCAACUUCUAAGAAAUGUUUCAUAUCAACACGUUUUCAGAUCUGACAUUAUCAUGAUCUAUUUCUCGCUCAUGCUUUUGAGGUAUUUCGUCAAACACUUCACGUACAACAAAACGAUUAACUCAAGCUAUGGAACGGGACUGAAGCUAUGUUCUCAUCUAACAUUCUAAAAUCAAUAUUAAAAUCACAGAGCCAUCACAAGUCAUCUAGUUACAGCUCAGAUCUUAAGUGAAUCACACCUGAACUACGUGAACGUGAUUCUUCUACAAAUCUUUUUGUAACAGAGCAGGAGAGAGGGGAAUGAGUUUACCUGGUUUAUCAGUGAUACGGAUACUGAUCGAGCCAGAGACAGAGAGCUGAGCCGAGGCUUCCAACUCGGCGUGAACCCGAACCACUGUAUCUCGAGCUCCGGAAGGGCGCGAUUCGCAACGAGGGCGUUAGAUCCAACCGAGAGAGCGAUUACCAGAGAAAACGAACGAGAGAGGGGAAGGUCAGAAUCCAAGACCCGAACGGAUUGAGAGAGAGAACAGAAAUCCAAACCCUAACAAAUCGAGAGGGAUAGAAAGAAAGCUCACCGAUCGAGCGAGCUCGAUCCAGAGAGAAAAAUCGGUCAAGCGUUGUUGUCGUCGCAACUGUCGCCGAUCCUUGUCCCAAACCGAGAGAGAAAUUUGCUGAGGGAGAGAUUCUCUGGUUUCUACCCCUUCGACAAGAGCUCGGGUGGUUGAUGAUGAACGGAAAAGGUCGAAUCAAUGGUGGAAUCGAAAAAUUAGGGCUUGCGGCCGAGGAGGGGCUCGAGCUGAGGGCACGCGCACGGCAGAUCCGCUCCGCGAUGGUGUCGACGACUUCUCGACCUCGCUGCUGGGUGAUUCCCUCGCUCCUCUUUCUACCUCCGACUCCAGGGUCUUCUUCCGGUGGACGUCAAGCGAGAACGAGAGCCGACGAUCAAGCAAGCGAGCGUUCAAUUUCCGAGAACGAGCCGGAAAACAUCCGAUUGAGAACUUCUGGAGCUGGAAGCGAUCGUUGAGGGAGAGAGUAGAGCCAUGGCUGGCGCCGGAGGGUCCUCCGUCGGCCUCCGAGAUUGGGAAGAAAUCCACAGAGAGAGGAGGUUGUUACGGCGGAAGAGAGGGAGUCUGCGAAUCCGUUCUUGGCCUUUUGCCCAGAGAGCAGGAACCAGCGGAGAGAGAGGAUCCGUGCGCCCAAAAAUUUUAGAGAGAGAGAGACCCCCCAAGAGCCAGCCAAAGCAUCGUCAAAUGGCCCUCCUUCUAUAUUUUUUUUUUUAUUUUUUAUUUUUUCCUCUCCUUUUUCUUUUUGUUUUCUUUAUUUCUUAUUUUUUCUUUCAUUUUAUUUCAUUUUUUGUUUUGUUUUGUUUUUUUUUGUUUUCUUUAUUUCUUAUUUUUUCUUUCAUUUUAUUUCAUUUUUUGUUUUGUUUUGUUUUCUUUUUCUUUUCUUUUUUUCUUCUUUUUUUUCUCUUUUUUUUCUUUCUUUUUUUUUCUCUUUUUUUUUCUUGGCUCGUUAUUUAUUUUUGCAAAAUGGAUGAUUAAAAUGUCGACGAAAAUUUCGGGUGUCAACAAUACCAAAGAAUUAUAAUAAGUCUAUAAGUCCUGGGAGUUUAUAUCUUUUAGAUCGGUCCCUGCAUAGUUUACAUAGCGGAAGCACAUCCAUCAACUUCCCUUUCACAAAUUAAAACGAUGCACACCUACUAAACAUUUUAUAAGUUAAAGCCGAACACCUUUAUUUACAUAAACCAAAUGGACAUCUUUAGUCGGUACAUAAAAAACGCCACGGUUUUCUAUAUCCGGCUAUUUUUCGAAAGAUACCCGACUAUUACAAUGGCUAUAAACAUAAGUCCAUCAAACAGUGUCGGCGACCAAAAAUGCUUCUGCUGCAAACCUCAACUCUUGGUCAUAUCCACCCAUCUGGUCCAUCGGCUGGCGGCAGUGGCAACAACCCCAACGAGCGCCCAUCUCGGCGAACAAAAACAGCGAUGUACUCAUGUAGAAUGGGAUCGACGGAGAGACCAACAUCGAACACCAAGAUAACUCUCACUCGUUCGAACGACAACCCAUGCACCUCGGGGUGUUGGUACUCAGACCGUUCCCAUUGGAGGUCGACCGGAAGUCCGUAGAAUGAAACCGGGAGUUACAGGUAGCAGAGGCAUUUCUUCUAAUCUGAAAUGUUAGUCCCAAAAAGGGGUGAGUACAACCACCCAGCAAUUGAAGAUCUACUAAGCUAUACUAUGCACGGCAUCACAAUCCAAGUCCAUGCAAGAUAGAUAAAACGAGUAAUCAAAAGAAUGAGUAUGCAUCAAAUCAAUAAACUUUUGAAAGCAAUGGCAAAUGCAGUUUCAAAAUCAGAACGAAUCAUUUCAGUCACACACAGGUCCCGAUUAUAGGGCCAAACCAUAACGACAUGUCCCAUACCAUGUUAUAUAAUUUAGUCCCACAAUUUGGCAUAGUUAUUAACAGGGUCGUUAUUUUUAGAAAAACUUAGUUCAUUUUCAUUUCCCUAUGUCUAGCCCAGAGGACCAGUGUUUGCGUCCCUCCAAGAUUUCGCAUCCCACCUGGCAUCACAAAAGCCUCCAGUAUUCAAUCACCGGGCAUCCAGAGCGUGUUACGUCACACCUCCAGGCAUCUCGCAUCCCACCUGGGACUCGUGAGGAAUCGUUGGGGCUCACCAUGAAAAUGGUUACCCCUACCCUCUGGAUUUACGUACCAACAUACAAUCGGGCAUCCCGACACUCCCAGGAAACCUCCGAGGUACUAUGGACCCCAGGCAUCCAACGGCAUCGCCUCAUGCAAUCCUAUGGGCAUCUUGACACUCCCGGGGCAUCGUCGACUCGAAGGUCCGAUGGCAUUCACAACACAUCUCAGCCAUGGUGUCUCAACCAAAUCAUUUCAAUGCCAAAACAUUUUUAAAACAAGCUUUGAAAUCAUAAACCAAAACGUUUUUGAAUCACCAAUGAACAAAACUCAGUAGCAAAACAUCAAACCCGUAGGUCUACUCCCACGGCAAACCUUCCAAUGCAUUUAAAAAAUUAUUUGCGAUUCCAUAAACCAUGCUUGCAACUCUCGUACAAAAUUGAAAAGAGUUACCAAAACAAAAAUUCGAAUUCGGCACAUUGACAAAUCUAAACUUCACUCCUAACUUCAUGAUUUUAUAAGGAAAAUCAGUUCGCAUCAAAGUUUGAGAUUCCGAGAGCGCCAAAGAACCUUUUCUUUUUCUUUUUGAAACGUUGACAAGCGGCACCUCGAUUUAUAUAAAAUUCCAGCGAGGGUCGGGAGUUUUUUCCAAAUCAUUUUUUGGCCGAUUUUUGUUCCAAAGCAAUAACUAAGUUUAAAAAAACUCAUAUGGUAAACCGAGAUAUCAACCCGACCUUUAACGGUUUGGACAAAUUGAUACAAAAUUCGAAAAUUUGGAAAGCACCAUGCGGUUUUUGAAACAUUUGUAGCCGGUGCCUUAGUAAAUAGAGUUUCAAACACAAGUCAGGAGGUUUUCUUUUCCAAAACCGAAACAAUGGCCGAAUUCCUCAAGAUUUUAUAGUCACCAAAUAUCUGUUUGGCUGAAAUUCGGAGAAUCAACCACAUGCAUACGAAAUCCGAGCAAUCCAUCCAUUUUUUUAACCUCAAAACAGUCUCGGUUUCUCAAUAAACCAUAAAUCAAGCACAUGCAUGAGAAAUCCAAACACUUCAUUAAUCGCUCAACCUCAAAACAGUCUUGGUUGCUCAAUUAAAGCAUCACUCACAUCAAAAUCCAACUAUCCAGCCUAUCAAUACAUUUCCUAAGACAGCAACAACAUUACACUAUAUAGAUCAGUAGACUUCAACUUGCCUUAGGUCCCACGACUCAACGGUAGCACAACAGGGGGGUUGCGGGUCGCAGACAUGGCUCAACGGCGGUGAAGGCGAGCUGUGUCGACGGCGGCAGCACGCACAGGCGAGAGGCGGUCCUUUCCCUUCUCCCUCACUGCCCUCUCUCGCGGAUCACUCGCUCUGCUCGCGGUUCUGCUCGCUCAAUUUCUCUCUCUCACUCGCCGCUGCUCACUCUCUCUCUACUUGCUCGAACACACUAGCACUUUUCCCAUUCUAAAUCUUAAUUAAGUUAAUUAAUUGCAUGCAGGUUGCGGUGACUGCAGCAAUCAAUGGACAGGUGGAGGAGGCGUGUCUUCAGUUGGGGUUUCUUGAUUUUCAUUGGCAACCCCAAAUCGAAGCAACAUGGCUGUUGCUGGCCCUCAUUCGGUCAAUAAUCCUCCUUCAAAGUUGACUAAAGUGUCAAUUAAAUUGAGAGAGAUUGGAGCAGCAUUGGACGUGGAUGAUUCCUCCUCUCCGCGCGGGCAUGUGUUAGGGAAAUCCCUUAUGAUGUUUUGAAGAUGACAAAAUAAAUCAAAGGCUACUAACAUGUUUGAUGGUUGAGUAAUAGACCAUGCAGAUGAUAGAACAUGUAAAGGAUUUUAUCAAAGUCAGAAGACGACCAGAAGACUGAACGUAACAUAUGUCCAGAGUAUAUUCUGAAGAUUUACAGGCUUCUGUGUCAAAGUCUGAAGACUGUGUCAAAGUCUGAAGACUGUCAGACUCAAGACUCAUAUUGUAAAGUCUCAAGACUCAUAUCGUAAAGUCUAAAGACUCAGACUUUACAUCCAGAUUACGAUGAAUCGUAACUCAAGCCCAAUCAUACAACGGCUAGUGAUCUGGUUUGGAUUCCACAUCAAGAUUGAUUUGAUUGAAGACAAGAACUUUCUAUACGAAGAAGCUUUACUUAUGGAAACCAAGAUUUCGUUUGUAUGGGCGAUCGGAAUCAAUUUGGGAUUUUACCUUUGUCACUCAACGGCUACCAAAUCUUCUAGAUACAGAGCUGUCCAAUGGGUAUAUUGGAAGACGAUUCUCCGGGAUGCUGUCCAACGGGUAGUUUGGAAGUGGAGGAGUAUUUAAGAAGAUGAAGGACCGAUGAGCAAGUAAGAGACGGAGCGUAGAAUUUAUAAUUCCAAAGUCUAAGCGACUUUAGAUCUUCACUUGUCUCUUGAGAGCUUAAACGUUUGUAAUCGUGAGAGAAAUACCAAGAGAGUGACUUAGUGAGAUAGUGUGAUCUACUAAGUGUUUGCACUCGGAGUUGUAAUCUCUUGUUGAUUGCAUAGUGGAAUCCAGCCAAGAAGGCUGUUAUCGUGGGAGAGUGGACGUAGGCUUGGAUUAAGCCGAACCACUAUAAAUUUUGUGUUUUUAUUCUCUUCCCUAACUCCUUUAUUUUGUUCAUACUAGCACUCUCAAUUGGUAUCAGAGCCAAGUGCUCGAUUUAUAAAAGUGUUUUUACUUUUGAGUUAAAGAUUCUUUAUGGCUAGUAUGUUGGCACCAGGACUUAUGGAAGGGCAAAGCAACACAAGGCCACCAUAUUUCGAUGAAAGAAAAUACAAGCAGAAUGGCCAGAAAAGAACAAUGAAAGAAGAUGAUGAGUAAAGAAAUCUAUGCUUGAUGGCACAUUCAGAAUCUGAGUCUAACUCAGACAGAGACUCAGAAUCAAAGUCUGAUUCAGAACCAGACUCAGAAUCCGAUGAGGAAAUCAAGGAAAUAAAGGAAAAGAAGAAGUUGGUAAGGAAUGUUUUUGGGCACAUAAUUCUCAAUAUGCUUGAAAUUCGAUAUAUCAUUGAUUGAUUCAGAUUUUAUAAUGAUCAUAUUUUUUUUUAUUUGCUUUAUUGAAGAAAGAAUUGUGUGAUUUGUGAUUCGAGAUUUAAUUUGAUACGUGUGAUCAUUUUUGAUAUCAUGCUUAAAGAAAAAUGAAUUUAUUUGGUUUGAUUUUAUACUCUCAGAUUUUAUCAUAUUUUGCCAAAUAAAAAUCUGUUUUACGUAAUAUUAAUUUAUGAUGCAAGAUAUUAUUGUGCAUAAUAUUCUUUCUUUGAAUACUUUGUUAUGAUGAAUUAAGAAAGAAUAUUUGAUUAUGGAGAUUUCAUCUUUUACUCUAACGUCAAGGAAGGAUCCAGAUUCAUGGAUACCAAAAAGCAAAUGAGUUGAUUGCAGGAAAUUCUUUAAAGCGAAGAUGAUUGCAAAUCUACGCAAUUUUUGGUGCAAUCAGAAAAUAUCUCCUGCGACAAUUGCAACAAUAGUUUCUAUUCGCAAAUAUUGUCAUGAUCACAGGGGGAGAAAUCAAAUCCAAAAGAAAAAGGAAAGAAUCGUGAUCAUCUCAAAAAAGGCAACAAAUUGAGGGGGAGCUUUGAUCAAUUAUGGAAAAAUCUUUUUGGAUUGAUCGUGAUCUUAUUAUGGAUGGAAGGAAAGGUAAAUGUCUUAGUGCAUAUUUUAUUACCUUUUGUCAUUAACAAAUCUUUUAUUAAUUUUAUGACAAAAAUGGUACGUGCAAGUUAUGAUGCAUCCGUGAUUUUUAUUGGAUAUUUACUGAUAUAAUCGAAGUGAGCUAUAUUGCAUAUCUUUAAUAUUUGAUAAAAGCUGAUUUUUCGAAAUUGUGAUUCAUGCAAGAUAUUUGUUAUCAUUCUCUACGUGAAUUCAUUAUUAUCGCUUUUUGAUUAUGACAAAAAUGGGGAGAAGAUAUGAAUAUGCAUAUGUGCUGAUUGGUUGAUAUUAUUGCAUAAUAUUGAGCUGAGAUUAUUUUCGAUAUAUUAUUAUGCUCAAUCUAUUUGUUAUCUUCUGAUAUCCUUUGAUUUAAAAGUAUGUUUACAAAUCUGCAUAUUCAGAGAUUGUUUUGUCAUCAUCAAAAAGGGGGAGAUUGUUAGGGAAAUCCCUUAUGAUGUUUUGAAGAUGACAAAAUAAAUCAAAGGCUACUAACAUGUUUGAUGGUUGAGUAAUAGACCAUGCAGAUGAUAGAACAUGUAAAGGAUUUUAUCAAAGUCAGAAGACGACUAGAAGACUGAACGUAACAUAUGUCCAAAGUAUAUUCUGAAGAUUUACAGGCUUCUGUGUCAAAGUCUGAAGACUGUGUCAAAGUCUGAAGACUGUCAGACUCAAGACUCAUAUUGUAAAGUCUCAAGACUCAUAUCGUAAAGUCUAAAGACUCAGACUUUACAUCCAAAUUACGAUGAAUCGUAACUCAAGCCCAAUCAUACAACGGCUAGUGAUCUGGUUUGGAUUCCACAUCAAGAUUGAUUUGAUUGAAGACAAGAACUUUUUAUACGAAGAAGCUUUACUUAUGGAAACCAAGAUUUCGUUUGUAUGGGCGAUCGGAAUCAAUUUGGGAUUUUACCUUUGUCACUCAACGGCUACCAAAUCUUCUAGAUACAGAGCUGUCCAAUGGGUAUAUUGGAAGACGAUUCUCCGGGAUGCUGUCCAACGGGUAGUUUGGAAGUGGAGGAGUAUUUAAGAAGAUGAAGGACCGAUGAGCAAGUAAGAGACGGAGCGUAGAAUUUAUAAUUCCAAAGUCUAAGCGACUUUAGAUCUUCACUUGUCUCUUGAGAGCUUAAACGUUUGUAAUCGUGAGAGAAAUACCAAGAGAGUGACUUAGUGAGAUAGUGUGAUCUACUAAGUGUUUGCACUCGGAGUUGUAAUCUCUUGUUGAUUGCAUAGUGGAAUCCAGCCAAGAAGGCUGUUAUCGUGGGAGAGUGGACGUAGGCUUGGAUUAAGCCGAACCACUAUAAAUUUUGUGUUUUUAUUCUCUUCCCUAACUCCUUUAUUUUGUUCAUACUAGCACUCUCAGCAUGCAUGUUCCUCAUGCAAUGGCCGAAUUCCAUUUCUCCAGCUCUCUAAAAAAAAUCAAUUGAUCAAAGUCCAAAUUCCUUUCUCAUUCCAUAUACACAUAGGUGAUAUAGUUGUGUAGUAUCAUCGAAAGAAAUAUGUACAUAAAUCGGCAGGGUCUAAAGUGGUGCCGAUGAUGACGAUGGUACAAUGGGGUCCAACAUCGGUGUCGGCGACGAAGUCCGAUAACAAAUUCGUCAAUCCACGACGUGUCAUCAUUUUUCUCUGAGGUCGGCAAAAAUAUAGAUGAGGUUGGUCUCACCAAUGACCUUAAGUAAAGGGAUUCCGACAAGGUUAUAAUUUAUUCGACAAUUGAAUCAUUAUUAAAUGAGGCAUAACGGUCCGAUGGUAAUAUCAAAACGAUGUCCGUAAAUAAUACUAAUGACACAGUCCGACGAUACUCCUGUCGAUUAGUCACGGACCGUCGCAUAAUCGAGGAUCGUCAAAAUUUCCGGAUGCCACAGUGUAGUACUUAGCCAUUGACAACAAAAGGCAAUAGUAUAAGGCACUAGAGGUAACUCACACGAAGUCUCACUAUCGUGUAGCACUUAGCCCUUCACUAUGCUUGUUAAUACUACAAGACUCUAGAGGUAGUUCCCAUGUGACUUAAGUCGCCAUGUAACACUUAACCAUUGAUUACAAUAAGCAAUAAUAUAAGGCCCUAGAGGUGACCCACACGAGUUUCGUCCUCGUGUAGUACUUAGUUCUUUACCUGUUCACAACCCAUCGGUUUUCUUAACCCAACACAUGUCACCUAAAUGUUCAAUAGUCACCUUGCAAUGACUAUAAACCAUCACACGAUCAUCAAGCAUAAGCUCAAGGCAUGUCAUAAACCAACCAUAUCAUCAAAUAUGCACAAACCAUCAAGUAUUGCACCAAUAACACUACCAAAUCAUAACCGGCCCUAACCGACAGAAAAGGCCCACUCGCGCGUCUCUGAGUUUAAAUCUAGAAAUCUAAUCAAACGAGUUCGGAAAAUUCCUAAAUUUGAAUAUGUUGUAAAUGACACAUAAAUAAACAUUUUUGAUGCAGACACCUUAAUCUAGAUCUUUCUAGAUUUGUCCUAGUAAAUCACUCAAUCCAAUACCAAAAAAUCGGUUCAUUUCCAUAAAGUCUGUUUUCUAAAAUUAGUUUGGUUUGAGAUCCAAAACUUAUCCAUUUGAUCUGAAAUUCAACUAUGUUAAACACGAAUGAUGUGAAAAACAACUUUUGUGAAUAAACCAUUUUGAAAUUCAAACCUCAAGAGUUAAUAAAAAUUCCUAGAAUCCCAAAAUGUCUCAAAUUCCAGUAUAGUCCGAGAUUAUGUUUGCAAAUGACAAAGCUGAUAUAUCCUUCUUGUAAAUCCCUAAAAAUAUUAAGAAAAAUAUAUGUUAUAGCUGAAGAUGUCUAAAACAAUUCUCAAGAAGGAAACAACCUCAAAAUCGCAACACAUUUUGGUUCACAAAAAAUGGAAAAUGGCGAGGGUCCAAAAAUCAGAACUGAAGAAAGUCCAUUGAAUUGGACUAAUCCAUCCUCAAUGGUGCUAAUCUCACUAAUUAGAUUAACACUAAUCCAUUCUAAGGCUUAUCUAACCAUUUUAGAUUAGUACUAAUCCAUAUUAAGGCUAAUAUAACUAACCCUUAAGCAUAAUUAACCUCCUAAGCAAGGUUUAGUGAGUAAACUCAUCGGUUUUGCAAGCCGAUGAGUCCAUGGCGACGGCAACAUGGAAGUGAGCGGAACACAAGCCCACGGCGACACCAAAGGAGGCCGAGAAAGGCCCAAAAAAGCCUCACAAAGUCUCAGCUGGGCUGAGAUUUUUGGCUUAUGCUCUUGGGCUAUAAAGGCUGGUCGAGCGAUCGGUUGGGGCUAAAACAGGCCAAGCGAGGCUAGGCGACAACGACAAGGGCUUGGGGAUGGCAACGACAGCUUCUAGGUGGCUAGAGGCAGCUCGACGGGAGGUGACAUGGAUGGAUGGAUGGAGGCCUCAAGAUGAUUGGGGACGCGCAGAACAGCGCGCGGCAAGCGGAUGACGGGCACGACUUGCGGGCGUGCUCGGGCGGUGAGCAAUGCUCGAACGGGAGGCAGGGCUACUCAGCGGUGGCUGCUGGCUUGCGGGCUGGCUUCCUCUGAUUCUUGAGCUCACAAACACAGCAAGAAUGGAGAAAGUGUGGCCAAGGGAAAAGGAGAAGAUGGCAGCUGCCAAGGGGGACCCAAAAUGCCUUCAAUGCUCUCCAAAUUGCCAAGAACACUUGAGUGACUGCCCCACCAGCCUUCAGCCAUAUCCUCUACCCCUUAUCCACUCCAAAACUUCUCCAAGAAGCCUCCCAAGGUGGCUGAAAUGUUGCACCCCUCCAAGGCUACGAAUUUUGGACAUUUGCCUAUUCAAUUUCAUUCAAAUCCAACUCAAAAUAAUCUAAUUGAAGCCCAAACAAUUCAGCCAAGGUGCCAUUGCCCCUCUUAUGAUUUUUCCUUGUCAAUUCGUCCAACUUGAAUCCCAAAAACGCGACAAAAAAUGGCUCUAUAAUUUUUCCGGUCCAAAACGUCCCUACUUUGACUUUUCGCCAAAAAUCCCGAUUUGCAAAAAACUCUUCGGAGGAUGAUGGGAUAUUCCUAAAAUGAAUCGUGACAUGACAAAAUUUUCAAUUUCUGAAAUCGGGUUCAAAUUCAUGGUUAAUUUUAACCAGGCGCGAUUUUAACGUGACCUAGUCUACCUAGUAUCUUUUAGGAAUUUUUAGUGCAAUUGACCCGUGGUCAAUUAUUUUCGAGCCACAUUAUAUAUUUUCGACUCAUUGGCGACUCUCAGUUGUCGUGAAAAUCUCGAUGUUUCAAAUACGAACAAUGGUACCAAAAUGACAGAAAAAUAGAUCCAGUGCCGAUCGACACAAAUUUUUGCAAUUAGGUGGUGAUUCUUAAUCACGUGGCUCUAUCGAAUCGACCUAUCUCUGGUCUCUAAGGCUGCGCAUGACAAAAUUUCUGAAACAUAAAUUGAUUUCUGGCCAAAAAUCAAUUUCUCAAUUUAUAUUCCCCAGACAAGUUUCUGAGCAAAAAAACCCGUUUGAUAACGACUCAAAAUUUCUAUUUCUGAAAUAGAAAUCCGUUUGAUAACAGAAAAAAAUUUCUAUUUCUAUGAAUCAUGUUGUCCCCAUCCUUUUACCUCACUCUUCUUGGUGCUUGUGAUGGUAAUUUAAUUUGAUAAAAGUUGGUAUAUCACUUUAAUUUAUAUUGGUAAUUCGAUAGAGUAGUUAGGAACUUCAAAACAUUAGCAAUUUAUGUAAAUAAAAGCUAGUAAUUAGUAUAAAAAAUGCUAAUAUGCAAACUAUAAAAGAUUUGGGAAUAGGGAACUUACAUUUGAGGGAUAAAGGACACUUAGAAUAAGAUGUUUCAAUAAACUUUGAUUUAAAUAAAUCUUGUGGAAAUGGUUUUUUAAUCAGUGAGGUUAACUGAAGGCAAUGAAUUUCCAUAUUAAGCUUUCUUUGGCUUACCUAAUAGUCUUGUUCACGUUUAUCUACACUCAUCAUCCAACUUAUAAACAGUCAAGUGGAGCGAGGCAUUUGACGUACAUUACCGUGACAUGGACUUCAAUUCAAUUAUGGCCUAAAUGGAUCAAAUACUAGUCCUGAUCAAUAUAAGAAUUGGUAUCUUAAUGCAGAAAAAUUCUCAAUUAUUACUGGCUAUACAUUUUUCCGAGUUCAAGCACGUGCAUAAUUUAUGCAAUCCUUUCACUUUAACAUUCAAAACAAAGUGAGCAUAACCACUUCCAGUCAAAUCUUUCUUAUAUUCCCACAGGUAAAUCUCCAAUACAUGUACAUAAUCAGUCAUCAGACUACCAAUUACUACUCCUCAUAGUAUAACUUCAUAACCAACAUGCCUUUUCUUGGAGGUGAAAUCAUGCCUCAUAUAAAAGCAAAUGCAGGAUCAACACCAAAGUGACUCACUACUGGGAAUGAUCCCGGCAAAAUUUCGAGGGAUACUGCCUUCAUAACUCAAAAGUUUUGUAGAAAAUCUCGGAAUCAAGUAGGAAAUAAACAAAAAACUUCGAGGACAAAAGGUUCUCAAAAAGUCAUUUUCCCACUGCACUGCAUAUAAAUUUUAUAGUAUCUUAGCACAGGGUCAACCCACCUGAAAUAUCUAAAGCAUCAGUGCAGAUACAUUCAGAGAUUCAAACAUCAUAACAUCAUCAUGUUGCGUGAAGAAAACAAUGAAACAACAAAAGAAUAGAUCGAAAAUAGAACCAAAUGCUCUGCUUGGCAGUCAUUUAUGCUUCUCUCAAUCAAAUAACAGAUGCAACCACAUAAAAUGAUUUAUGAAAAUCUCAUACAUGAAUUAAAAUGUCGCCCCCAAAAAACUAUAUCCUUGACUGCUUGCUGUCAACUCAACUUGAUCAAGAUCUAACCGAGAGCUCCAGGGCAAAAUGGGGCUCUCAAACCAUAUCAUGAAUUCAUAAAACCAUCUAAACAAUCUUGACACUUAGCCCUACCUUCUCGAAUCAAGUUGUGCAACUCAAAUGAAAUUGGCCCUCUUUAAGAAUCUAAUUGUUCUACAGUAAUAUGGCCAUAUCGACUCAAUAAAAUCCAAAUACCACUCCAGCAACCACUCUUGCAAUUCUUUGAGUUUCCUUCUAGAAAGCUCCUUGUAGUCCAAGUUCUUUACAUCCACCACAGGUUGCCAGACACAAGAACGUACGUCUUCUUUUAGCUUCCCGUUUGCAACAUACUGAUAAGCAGUGAGGUAGUACACAGACAAGUUCUUAACUACUUUAACUAUCCGCUUGAAAGUGAACAAAUAAGUGCCCACAAUCCUCGGAACAGCUUGACAUAGAGGGCAACGAGGAGUGGCCCCAGGAUCCACAAAGAGGUCAGGUCCUUUGAAACUUCACUCCCAUAGGUCACAUUAAUAGCCAGGUACAAAGGAGCACUGCCAAUACAACAUAAUUAGAAGUAUGAGGAUAAAUCUCUGUAAUGGCUCAUCAGACACUAUCGAGCAUGAGUCCACUUGCCAUAAGCAAUUUUAAGUCAAAGAAUUAAUAUGGUUUAUAGAAUUUAUAUGAUUUACAAACAAAAUCAAGGGAAAGAACAGUUCUAGUUCUAACAAUUCCAAAAUCAAGCAUGAAUCCCACCAGUUUCUUAUUGUUAUCAUUUAUGUUUUUCUCGGGGGUUGUUUCAAAAUUCAUCUCAAAUUAUGAUAAAUCUUAGCUCAAUAUAACAUCUCUUUCUUUUAUAUCUACAAUAUAUAUCAAACAAUUUUAGUUGAAAUAUUAUCCAUGACUGCUAUGUUUUACAUAUUGUCCUAUUAAGCAAAAACAGAUUUCUGAUAUCAACAGUCCGUUGACCUUCAGCAAAAAUAAAAAAGGUGCCCAUCGUUCCUUUCUCUUUUCCCGUUGUAAAAAUUAUCUCUAUUCCCCACCCCCACUGAGAAAAAGAGCAGCCCUGAUGAAUUCUACCUAAGAACUUGCAGCACAAACACCAACCAUUGACAAUCGCUCUCACAUUCCCCACCCCACCGAGAAACGGAGCAGCCUAGACUCGCAGCACAAACACCAACCGUUCGUUUGCAGAGCACAAGCACAGAACAAGCACAGAAUAACCAAGAAAGAGGCGAAAAGGGAAGGGAUCAAUCGAACCUCGUGAGGAAUCGAGAGUAGAAAGGGGCGACGGCAACUGGAGUUGCGGAAUCGAGAGCAGAAGGGGACGCAGACGAAGAUGGGUGACGGAGAUGGGCGACGGCGAGGGCGACUGGAGAUGGGCGACGGCGACUGGGGACGCGGACGGAGGAGGCGGGUCCGACGGGACGACCGGAGCAAAUUGGCCAGUCUGAGGACGGUGACGGCGAGAUGAGCGGCGACGGCAUUGGAGUCAAUGGCAAGGAUGAACAGCUUCGGAGUCGCUAGGGUUUUUGGUUGAGGUGAGGAGAAGGAAUGGGAAAGCAAGGGUAGUGAGGAGAGAAGGAGUUGACGUCUCUACUGAAGGAAGAAGGGUGGAUAAAAAAAGAAACGAUUUCUAUUUCUGUUUCAGAAAUAGAGAAGCUAAAAUUUUUAGCUUCUGAUUUCUCCUCCAAAACAAUUUCUAGAAUAUAAAUCUAUUUCAGAAAUAGAGAAAUCAAUUUAUGUUACCAAACGGAUUUCUGUUCCAAACCUGUUCCGGGAAACAGAGAAACAAAGAAAUUGAGAAACAGAAAUUUUACCAUGCGCAGCCUAAUCAAUUUUUAAUUGUGCCAUAAUGACCUUUGCAGAUUAGCAUGGUCGAGCAGUCGAUUUCCGGUCGAAUUCUCAAGUCUAUUGCGUUUAGAUUCCUUAAGGCUUCAUCAAAUAGACUAGUUAUCUCUUGAGUGGCCAACUCAGAGAAAAAGGCUAUAGGCACGUUGAUGAAAAGCCCGACUCACUCAAUUGAAAAUAGACCUAAAAUUCAGGAUGUCACAACUCUUCUCAUCUUAUAAAAAUUUCUUCCUCAACAUUUAAACUAUUACAAAUAUUUAAACAAAAAGGUGGGGUUACAGUCGUCUCAUCGAAUCUUCGCUUUCUGAUCCACAAUCUGAACCGGGCUUUCCACAUACGACACUCUGUCGUCCAAGUUUAACUCUUCAAAAUUUAGCACGUGGGUCGGUCAGGCUCAUACUUCCUCAACAUCGACACGUGAAAGACGUCAUGCACUUGCGUUAACCUCGGUGGCAAUGCAAGACGAUACAUUAGGAUCCCGAUUCUUUCCAAAAUCUCAAAGGGACCUAUGUACCUCGAACUCAGCUUUCCCUUCUUACCGAAGUGCGAAGUACCCCCUUGGUGACACCUUCAGAAAGACGUGCUCACCCACUUGGAAUUUCAAAGGUCUUUGACGCUUAUCUGCAUAACUUUUGUGGCGGCUCUAAGCGGUCUUUAAUCUGUCCCUGAUAACUGCAACUGCAUCCAUUGACUGCUGGACUAACUUUGGGCCUGUGUUCUUUCAUUCUACGACCUCAUCCCAACAAACUGGCAUUUUGCACGCUCUCCCUUACAACGCUUCGAAAGGAGCCAUCUGAAUGCUCUGCUGGUAGCUAUUGUUGUAGGCAAACUUGACAAGAUGAAGCUGUUCCUCCCAGCUUCUCUUGAAAUCCAACACGCAUGCUCACAGCAUGUCUUCGAGGGUUUGAAUUGUCCUCUCAGAGUGGCCAUCUGUCUAAGGAUGAUAGGCCGUACUAUAUUGUAGCUUCGUUCUUAAGGCAGCCUGUAAACUCUUCCAAAAGGCAGCUGUGAAUCUCGAGUCUUGGUCUGAUGUAAUCAUCACCGGUACUCCAUGCAGAUAAACAAUUUGACGCACGUACAACUCUGCGUGCCUGCCAAAAUCAAGAUCCUUUCAUAUAGCGAUAAAGUAAGCCAAUUUCAUCAGUCUGUCGACCAUUACCCAAAUGGAAUAAUUACUCCUCUGACUCCUUGGUAAGCCCACCACAAAGUCCAUUGUGAUGUGUUCCCACUUCCACUCGAAAAUCUCGAAAGGUUGCAGAAGUCCUUCCGGCUUACAGUACCGUGCCUUCACUUGCUGACAGGUCAGACAUUUGGCGACAUGCUUGGCGAUAUUCGCCUUCAUACCGGACCACCAAUAAUGUUGACGCAGAUUCUGACACAUCUUCGUACUACCAUGAUGAAUAUUGUAACUGCUACAAUAAGCUUCCGAUAAGAUCUCUUCCUUAAGCUCUACAUCAUCAGGUACACACAAUCGUCCUCCAAACCGUAUUUUUUCGUCAUCAGAAAUCUGAAAGUCAGUCUUUCUCUUUUUGAUAUCCUCUUGCAGGAUUUUUUGAAUAUCUAGGUCUAUCGGCUGAAGCGUCUUAAUUCUAAUAUGCACUUCCGGCUCAAUUCUAAGGGUGACCAUAAGACUUGAAAGGUGGCCUACCUCAAAUUUUGAAAACCAAAUUUCUAGCUCCUUCGAGUAAAAUCCACGCCUGAAUCACCAUCAGUGCAAUCGAUGACUUUCGACUCAACGCACCUGUGACUUCCGUUCCUUCAAUUUUGACAGCGGCAUACAGUAAGGGGCCUUAGUGAUUGGCUCCAUCCUAGGGGCCAACUCAAACACGAACUCGAUCUCCCUUUCUAAGGGCAUAUUGGGUAAUCCUUUAGGAAACACCUCAGAAAACUCCCGUACCAUAGUCUCCAUCUUGGGUUCCUCAACUGUCGUAUCUACUACAGUUGCCAAGUAACAUUGACAACCCCCGUUUAACAAACAAGUUGCCUCAAGUGACGAGAUUAAGGUAAUUGAUGGUGCUCCUCGAUUCUCAAUAAACUCGAAACUUUCACCCGCUAACGAAUUAAAUUGGAAUACUUCACGACAACAGUCCAUCACAACAAGAGACUCCUUGAGCCAACUCUUUUCAUAUAUGACAUCAAAGUUAUACAUAAGCGAAAUAGUCAAGUACAUCCUUAGUCAACGAUUCUCAUUUUUACAACUUCACUUCAACAAACAGAAAUUCUACAAGCUUAACCAAAGUCCCACUGUGCCACUCUAAUAAAAUUACCCCAAAAACCUUCUUCCCCUUAUCGGUGCAUGGCUCGAUUCAUUCCUAUCCCCUUCGCCCUCCUAGUGGCAUCUUGUCUACGGUGCAUUCCCUCUGUUCUGUCCCAUCGAUGGCAACGAUAGCAGUUGAUGUGGUCUUAUUUGCUUGCGCAGACAAUCCUUGAACUAGUGGCCAUGCUAGCCACAUUUAAAACAAGCUCCCGUCCUAGUAUAACAUGGAGUUUAACCAUGUCUUUUCCUACAGAAAUGACACACGUCAUUCAAGUUGGGCGUUGACUUUCCAAUCCCAUCAUUUUUGUUGGGCGGAAUGGGAUACCUUCCUUCAGUCAUAGGUUUCUUCCCAAACCCUUUUCCAUCCCUGCUUGACCCAGACGCGGUGGCUUGCUCACUCAAAUUUCUCUCUAUCAACUGGGCCCGACCAUAUACCUCAUUAUAAUCCUCCAAGUCAAGCGACACCGGUGGGUUCUUCAGCUCUAGCCGGAGGCCGUUCUUGAACCUCCUAACUUUGUCUUCUGGAUCUUCUACCAAUCUUGGAGUGUACUAAGAUAGCUCUGCAAACUAAGCUUCAUACUGAUCCACAGUUAGCAUGCCUUGAUGGAGGCGUUGAAAUUCCUACAUCUUUUGCUCUCGGGCACUACCCGAAAAGUACUUACCAUUAAAGACUCUGAGAAAGGCGUCACCGGAACUAUGCCUUCGGGGAAAACGAUACCUCUGGUGGCCCUCCACCAAAUAUUCGCGUUACCCUGCAACUGGUAUACUGCCAGGACAACCUUUUUCUCCUUAGUGCACAUCAGAAAUGCAAAAGCUUUCUCUAGGCCUUGGAUCCAGAGCAUUGCAGCCUCAGGAUCUCCUGCAUCGAUGAACCUCGGCGGGUUCAGCUUCAAUAACCGCUCCAUAAGCUUAUGCAUCGGCCUCUCUCUCUCCACAACUACGUUCCCAACUGGAACUUUGGUAGGUGCGGCAGCAGCUGCGGUCUCAGCGGUGGCGGCAGCAGCAAUAGUAGCGGUAGCUUGAGUGACGGCAAUAGUGGCGACAGCUUGAUUCUAGGCUUGCUGCUCCAUUAGAGCUCCAAGCAUCUCUAGCGCCUGCAUGAUCCAUUUGAUUCUGGGAUCACCAAGGGCUGCUACCCCAGCACCAACAGAAGGCAGUGCUACACCACUAGCGCUAGCCUGAACCAACGCUCUACCACGACCCCUUCAGGUACCAACCCUAGUCGGCGUCCUACCCCAAGUAGCAGGUCCAAUGGUUCUCUUUCUAGGAGUCUUUUGCUUAUGAUCACUCAUUAUACAAGUUUUUUAUAGAAACUUACUUUCCAAUUCCACACAGAAUUAGAAGCUAAGCGAUCCCCACAAAACAAUCGACCAAACAACUAUCACUGACAUGCACCAGCAUAAUCAAAAGGCCUUUCCUACUAACUAUCCCAUAACCUAUUGCACAUUAUCACUCCAACUAUCAACCAACUCUGAUACCACUUCGGACGGGGAUGUCACGCCUUGAUCCUCGAGCGCGCGCACAUCCCUCGGUGAUCGAUGAAAUUGAGACUUCCUAGGACGAGUCGCCAACCCUUUCAUUUUACUACACAUGCGGAAGAGAAUAAACAAAUCCCUUGGUAGCAAUCAUCUCAAGAUAGAAAAGAAUGACAAUCAAAUCAUAAAAGCCACAUUUACAUAAACAAACUAAUUUAUACACAGAGGCCAACUCGAGGGUCUAUGUACAGGAGGUUUAUCUCCAAAAAGAACUACUAAGCUACCCAUGCUCCUGACCCUUCUGCCUCAAGCUCUAGGUUCUUCACACUAGGGACUAAAAAAUGGUAACCCAUGACGGGGUGAGAUAUAAAUUUCAGCGAGUUUAUGCCCUAAACCCUGAUUAUAAAGAUAAUACACCUAGAGACAGCCUACACACAUAGCCAAUAAGACUCACCACGCCUUAGUUUCUUCCUACACAUUAGUACAGUUCAUAAAACAUAUGCAGAUAAUCAAUGCACUCAUUAAUUGGAGCAUCUCACUAUCAAACCAAUCAAACACAGGAGUCCCGAUUAUAAGGCCAAAUCAUUAUGACACGUCUCAUACCGUGUCUCACAAUUUUGUCUCAUAAUUAGGCACAGGUAACUCAUAUCGGUGGUUCAAUCCCCACCCGAUAUUCACUUUCAAUAUUGAAAUUCCCAAUUCAAACUCAACAUCCCCAUUAACUAUUCCGACUCUACAUUCCAACUCAAUACUCAAACUCAAUAACAGACUCAAGGCUCUAGAAGUGACCCACACGAAGUCUCGCUAUCGUGUAGUACUUAGGCCUUGACAACAAAUAGCAAUAGUACAAGGCACUAGAGGUAACUCACAUAAAGUCUCGCUAUCAUGUAGUACUUAGCCCUUGACAACAAAAAAAGCAAUAGUACAAGGCACUAGAGGCGACUCACACAAAGUCUCACUAUCAUGUAGUACUUAGCCCUUGACAACAUAAUCAUAACCAGCCAUAACCGGCAAAAAAAGCCCACUCACGCGUCUUCGAAUUUAAAUCUAGAAACGUAAUCAAGCAAGUUUGUAAAAUUCCAAAUUCGAAUAUGUUAUAAAGGACACAUAAAUGAACAUUUUUUUAUGAAGACACCUUAAUCCAAAUCUUUCUAGAUUUGUCCCAGUAAAUCGCUCAAUCCAAUAUAAAAAACUCGGUCUGUUUCUAGAAAGUCCGUUUUCCAAAAUCAGUUUGGUUUGAGAUCCAAAACUUGUCCAUUUGAUCUGAAAUUUGACUAUGUUAAACUAAAAUAUGUGACAAACAACUUUUAUGAAGAAACCAUUUUGAAAUUUGAACCCUCAGAGUUGAUAAAAAUCCUUAAAAUCACAAAAGGUCCUAAAUUCCAACACAGUCCGAGAUUCUGUUUGCAAAUGACAGAGCUGAUAUCUCUUUCUUAUAAAUUCCUAAAAAUAUUGAGAAAAAUCUAUGUUAUAGCUGAAGAUAUCUAAAACAUUUAUCAAGAAUGAAGUAAUCUCAAAAUCACAACACAUUUUGGUUCAUAAAAAUGUAAAACGGUGAGGGUUUAGAAAUCAGAACUGAAGAAAGUCCACUGAAUUGGACUAAUCCAUCAUCAAUGGUGCUAAUCUCACUAAUUAGAUUAACAAUAAUCCAUUCUAAGGUUAAUCUAACCAUUUUAGAUUAGCACUAGUCCAUAUUAAGAUUAAUCUAACCAACCAUUAAGCAUAAUUAACCUCAUAAGUAAGGUUUAGUGAGUAAAUUCACCAGUUUUGCAGGUCGAUGAGUCCAUUGUGACGGUGACGCAGAAGUGAGCGGAACACAAGCCCACGACAAUACCAAACAAGGCCGAGAAAGGCCCGGAAAAGCCUCACGAAGUCUUGGCUGGGGUGAGAUCUUCGACUUAUGCUCUUGGGCUGUAAAGGCUGGUUGAGCAACCGAUUGGGGCUAAAAUAGGCCUGGCAAGGCUAGGCGGCGAUGGCAAGGGCUCAGGGACGGCACCGACAGCUUCUAGGUGGCUGGAGGUAGCUCGACGGGCGGUGACGUGGAUUGAUGGAGGCCUCAGGAUGGCUGGGGACGCGCGGAACAAUGCGCGGCAAACGGACGACGGGCACGACUCGCAGGCGUGCUCGGGCAGUGAGCAGCACUCGGAUAGGAGGCAGGGCUACUCAGCAGUGGCUGUUGGCUUGCAAGCUAGCUUCCUCUGGUUCUUGAGCUCACAAACACAGCAAGAAUGGAGAAAGUAAGGCUAAGGGAGAAAGAGAAGAUGGUAGCUGCCAAGGGGGACCCAAAAUGCCUUCAAUGCUCUCCAAAUUGUCAAGAACACCAGCCUUUAGUCCUAUCCUCUACCCCUUAUCCACUCCACUUCUCCAAGAAGCCUCCCAAGGUGGCUGAAAUGUUGCAUCCCUCCAAGGCUACGAAUUUUAGACAUUUGCCUCUUCAAUUUCAUUCAAAUCCAACUCAAAAUAAUCCAAUUGAAGCCCAAACAAUUCAGCCAAGGUACCAUCAUCUCUCUUAUGAUUUUUCCUCGUCAAUUCAUCCAACUUUAAUCCAAAAAAUGCGACCAAAAACGGCUCUCUAAUUUUUCCAGUCUAAAACGGCCUUACUUUGACUUUUAGCCAAAAAUCUCGGUUUGCAAAAAGAUUUUUGGAGGAUGAGUCGAUGUUCCUAAAAUGAAUUGUGACAUGACAGAACUUUCCAUUUCUGAAAUUGGAUUCAAAUUUGCGAUUAAUUUCAACCGAGCGCGAUUUUAGAGUGACCUAAUUUACCGAGUAGCAUUUAGGAAUUUUUAGUGCAAUUGACCCAUUGUCGAUUACUUUUGAGCCACAUUGUACAUCUUUGACUCAUUGGCGACUCUCAAUUUUCGUGAAAAUCUUGAGAUUUGAAAUACGGACACAGGGUACCAAAACGACAGAAAAAUUCGGUCUAAUGCCGAUCGACAAGAAUUUUUGCAAUUAGGUGAAAUCACCCACACUUAAUCACANNNNNNNNNNNNNNNNNNNNNNNNNNNNNNNNNNNNNNNNNNNNNNNNNNNNNNNNNNNNNNNNNNNNNNNNNNNNNNNNNNNNNNNNNNNNNNNNNNNNUGUCUUAUGUGACACGAUUGUCGCUAAUGUAGACAAUUUUUAUAAUUUUGUUUGACUUUUUGAAUUUUUUAUUUUAUAUAUUCUUUUUCUUUCUUACUUUUCCUUCUUCUUUUUUUCUUCUAAGUCCGAUGAGGGUUGUCGACCCUCAUUUGCCAUAGAUCGCUAGUCAUGGUCAAGGGUCGUCGGCCCUCGCUUGUGGUCGAUGAGGGUCGAGUGGCCCUCAUCGAACUUGGUAAAAAAAAAAAGGAAAAGAAAGAAAAUUAAUAAAAAUAAUAAUAAAUUAUAAAAAUUGUCCACAUCAUAGUAUCAAUGUCAGCAAUUUUCAAUUAAAAUUGGCCAAAAUGACUACAUUAGUAAAUCGUCAAAAGUUUUAGGAUUCAAUUUACAAAAUUCAAAAGCUUAAAACUAAAUUGACAUAUGUACAAUAUGUUUAUGACUUUUUGGGUAAUUUUACUCAUUUGCUAUUGAUAAUUCUUUGAAAAGUUCAUUUAAUAUCUUAUUAAUCUUUCAGAGUGAGAAAGGGAAAAAAAAAGAAAAAGAAUCGCUUGGUUUUGUUUUCCUAAAGGACAAUUAAUUUAUUUUUUUUGGUCGAUCAAACAUUAUAUAAAUCAAAUCCUUUUCAUGUAGAGUCCUAGCAAGGUCUAGAUAACCGGGGAUAUUGGAGUUGGCAGUUGAUUAUCUAGACCUUGCUGUAAGGCAGCCAGUCCAACAGAGGGCAUUUCACCCUCCCUUUUUCACCCUAGACGUGAAAGGCUAUUAUACCUGCCUAUCUGACAGUAGCCAGAGUGUUUCCACCCUGACAUGGUGUCUAUUUUCACAACUAAAGGGCCUCCUAAUUCCCCUCUCUAUCUUUUUCUUCCUGAAAAGGAGGGAAUAUAGGAGUGACAUUACAGGGUCUUUCAUCUUAGGGUGAAUCUCUCACCUAUUUCUUCCCUUUAAAGUCUACUCUAUUUAGUAUCUCAUCAUAAGGGUGAGCAUCGGUCUAGGGUCAACCCUAGACUGACGCUGGACUGGCCCAACCUUGCCGGUCCUGGUCUGGUUCCUAGGAAGACUGGGUCGGUCCUUGGUCCUAGAAUUCCUAAACCAGCAUUAUGCGGGUUGGUUCUCAGUUCUAGGAGUUUAGGGUCGGUUCAACCCGAACCAACCCUAACUCUAUAUAUAUAUAUUAAUUAAUAUAAUAUAUUAUUUAUAAUUUUUUUAUACGGAGAAAACCUUAAAAGAAACGAUGUCAACAACAUUAAGCAGUUCUUUAGUAAGGAGUUCAAGUAAUUUUACAUUGUUAUUUAAUAACUUAGAUUUUUAAUGUCUUUUACGACGUCAAUAGUUACAAUUUACGAAUGAGUAAAAUGUUUUUGUGAGGAGUCUUCAUGGUGUCCAAAAGGGUAUAAAUAGCUCCUUAUGACAUCCUACUCUAGUAAUCGUUAUCUUUUGUUGUAGUUGUCAUCUUAGUCUUCAAUUUGUCAAAAUCAAAAUAAACAACUUCUUUGCUCGUCACUCAACACUCACCUCGCUUGCAUUUGGGUCGCUCAUGCCGCUUGCCACUUGAUGCUCGCUUGGCUUGUUGCUCCUUACUUGACAUUCGAUGCUUACUCUAUUCGACGCUCACCCCACACGACCCUCAUCGCUUGCCUAUUUUAGUUGACCUCGCUCGUCAUCAAACCCAUUAGGUCGGUCCAGUUCUUAGUUGCCGUUUCAAGGAGUACAAAAAAUGAAAUAAAAAAUUAUUGGUUGGUCUCUGGUUGACCUUGGAACCAAACCGAACUCAUUAGGUCAGUCCGAUCAUCAAUCGCUUUUUUAAAGAGUACAAAAAAUGAAAUAAAAAAUUAUCAAUUGGUCCUAAGUUGACCUUAGAAUCGGACCGAAUCCACUGGAUCGGUCCAGUCCUCAGUCCCAAGCUUAAUAGAGUUAGUCCUCAAUCCCAAAAAUUAAGGAUCAGCACUGUUCAGGUUAGUCAUAGGGUUAGGGGGUGGACCGGCCCAACCCGGACCAUGCUCACCCCUUGUUCACGAGAAUAGAAUAUAUAUAUAUAUAUAUAUAUAUAUAUAUAUAUAUAUCUGUGUGUGUGUGUGUGUGUGUGUGUAUACACACAUAAUAUAUAUAUAUAUAUAUAUAUAUAUAUAUAUAUAAAUAGGUUUUUAUAAGCCUAGAAGAAUUUUAUACUAACGGUGGUCAUCUUUAAAUGAACAGGAUAAGAAAAACUCUUUAGUGUCAACACAAGAAAGAAAUGAGGAGAAACCCUUUCUUGUGCGAAGGAAAAGAUGAAGAAGAAGAUAAGGAAUAAUCAAUCCAUUGCUUUCUAUCUUCCACUUACUUAUCUUAUGCUUAGUAUCUGUUGAAUUUUAGAUUUUAUUCAUUAUUAGAAUAUAAAACUAUUGAUCCAUUAUAUGAGAUUUUAAUCUCGCAAGAGGGACAUAAUGAUGCCACUCGAAUUUGGCUUGAAAAAGAAAUGGAUAAAGUCAAAUAAUAUUCUUCAAAUACACAUGCUUUGACGAGAAUGUGAGACAUGUUAUUUCUAACAUCGAUAUCCGAAAUAGAAUACAAGCAAGAAGCUUUUAAUAAUUAUUUAUCAUAUAUAACAUAAUUGAAUCGUCAAAACAAUAAUUCGAUUCUUUUUACUAAAUUAAUAUUGGAAAUCUAUAAAACCUAGAAAUCAAUUUUAGACAAUUGAACUUCUCAAGUUGUCUCUUGUUGAGAAUAAAAGGUAUUUGUGCCAAAAUAUUAUAUGCUAAAAAAAACAGAAAAGAAAAUGCCUAGAACAUGGAAUUGAUCUUAAAAUACUAUUUCUAUAUCAUGGCAGGAGAGAUAAUUAUCAAAUCAAUGCUAAAUCUAUUGUAUAAAUACUAAUUCAGUCCUAAAUUUUUUUUAUUUUGCCAAUGUAAUUUUAAACCUUCGUGCGAAAUUUUGAAAUAGUUCUUCCAUCCAACUGCUGUCGAAAACUGUUGAUGUCAUGCCUAGUCAUCUCCGGUCAUCCUACAUAGUAAAUGAUAGUGAUGGCUUUGCUCAAAGCAACAUCUUAUGUGGACCACAAUGUUAGCAAUUGGCUAGAAUGACUAUUUUGAAAUUUCGCACAAAGGUUUAUGUUGACACUCAAGUUUUUAUAGACGUUUUAAGUAUUCGCUCAUUUUACAAGAUAUAAAAAAUAAAUAUAAUAAUAAGCAAACAAGAAAAUUAAACAAAAAUUAAUGGUAAUAAAAAAAAAACAGAUAUAAAACGAAGGAGAUAAAAAAAAAAUGGUAAUAAAAUUCGGAGCCCAUAUUCCUUAGCAAAUUUCGGACCUGCCGAGCCCGCGUAACCAGCCAAUUUCUCUUAUUUCGUUUAUGUCUUUCAAACUCACUUUCCUUGGCCCAUUUUCCUUUCUUUGUUCACAUAAGCCCAUCAGAACUAAAAAGAAACAAAAAGCCCAGCCCAUCCCAGCUUUUCCUCUGGCCUUGCUUCGGUAAGGACCAGCGUGCUUGGGGAGAAGAAAAGGAGAAGCGCGACCGCGGCGACACAGCAGAAAGACGGGAGCGUUCGGCCAUUGUUGAGGGAGGGGAGAGCAAGGAAGGCUCUGCAAAAAAGUGACAACCAGAGGGAAGGAGGGACAGCCAGGGGAAAGUUCACUAGAGACGUGUAGCUCGCUCGACGGAGGAGAGCUCGCUGGAAGCAGCCAAGGAGAAAGGAGAAAUCUGAGAGAACGAGAGAGUGCAUCCCGUUUAGGAGCGACGGAAAACCGCAUCGCCGGAGCUCGCCGUCGAUUUUCCAGAGCUCCAGUCAAAGGCCAAUCCGCGAGUUGUUCUUCACAGUUGCUCUAACCAGACGCUCUUCAUCGUCGUCAAUCGAGACCUCGAUCCGCCAAACAAACCGGGAACAAUCUCGCUCCAAACGCUCUUCUCUGUCUCUGUUUUGGCCGAGAAAGAAAUGCUCGACUCGAUCGAUUUGCUUGAAAGAAUCUUUGAUAAAACGAAUUUUUGUAUUGUUGCUAAAAAUGGUGUUUUAAGUCUGUACAUAACGUGUGAAGCUGAGGAUCUCGUUAAAAUCAAAAUCAGAGAACUAUUGAAAGAUCUGCAUAUUGCAUGUUUGAUCAAAAUGCCUAACAGAGGGCCGAAAGUUCAAUCACGUUUAAACUCAUGAUCGAUCCGUACUUGCUGCGUCAUUUGUUGAAUCGUGUCUAAUACUAGCAUUUUCUCUGUGUUUCUAUGCGUUUUGAUGAAAAAUCUUUGCUCGAGUCCAACGUGCAUGCAUAUCUCCAAUGCUGGAAAGCUUUCCGUCGGAGAAUUCCAUCGCACCAGCGAAGUCAGCGUUUCAAGGGCAUAUUAGUUAGCCCAUCUCGCUUCAUUCUAAUGCAAGUUUUCUUGUGAACUUGCUGGGGUUGCUGCUGUUAAAAAUGUGGAUUCGGUAGGAUGGUUUUUGUUAAGUUUUCGGAUAGAUGGAGUGGGCAGCCGGAGGUGGUCAAAGUGGGUCGGAAUAGACGAUCGCGGUCGGAGAUAGGUCGGCGGUGAUCUAAGCUCUCGUGAUAAACUCGUCGGUGAUGAUAUUUGUUUCGUUAAAAAGGAAUAUAAAAAAAAAAAAAAAAAAUUGGCCGCGAAAGGUGGAGUUGCAGGUUGAAAAGAUGGUGUUCGGGUAGAGGAUGUCGAGAGAAGAAGGGAGAAAUGCAGGCAGAACGAGACAAAAAAAUAAAAAAAUAAAAAAAGGCAAAUCAAUUAAAAAAUUCAAAAGAAUAUUAGAAAUCGGUUUUAAUCCGACGCGGGUCGGAUCCGGUUAUACGGUUGGGGUCAGAGAUUCGGAUCGAAUUAACGGUCUGAACCCAUUCGCUGAAUAGAAUAAAAUAAAAUAAAAUAAACAAAUUCUAAAAAAAUUCUAAAAAAAUUCAUAAAAGAUAUAAAAAUCCUAAAAAUCAAUAAAAAUAGGAAAUUCGAAGAUAUAGAAAAAUUCCGAAAAUUUUAAAAUUAUUGUUAUAAAAAAAAGAAAAAUAGAAAAUUCUUAAAUAACAAUAAAAAUAAAAAAUUUCAGAAAAAUUCCAAAAAUAUUUAAAGAUUCAAAAAAAUAAAAAUAUUUUAAUAUAUAUAAAUUUUUAAUCUCGAAGAUAAAUAAAAAUAAAAAGUAUUUAAAAAUAUUAAAAAUUCAGAAAAAUCAUUAAAAAUUCAGAAAAUCAGAAAAAAAAAUUCAGAAAAAUUGGAAAAUUCUUAAAAAUUUUAAAAUAUAAAAUUGGAUAAAGUUUUACAAUAGGAUUCUUUAUUUUAAAUUUCACAACAAAUUUAGGAUUUUUAAUGUGUUUAUCUCUUGAAUAUUCUAUUUUCAUUGUAAAUAUCGCAAAUCAUAAAAUUUUAAUGAUUGGUAUGAUAGAGAUAUUUAAUUUUUUUCUGAUUUUCUAUAUUUAUUUUGGUUAUGUAUACCUAAUUAGAUUUCUUUUACCUCCUCAAUUAUUCAACUACUCUUUUCUAGAACAUCGAAAUUUACAUAAAUUGCAUAUUAAUCUCUUCCACAUCAUUAUUUUUAACUUAAAAAAAAAAACAAAACAAAACAAAACAAAACUCUAAAGUUUUUCACCGCAAACCGUUCAGCUUCUCUGUGACUUUUUCUCUCUUCAUCACUCACAUCGUUCACUAUAAGCUCAAGCUCAAACGGUCUCUCUCCGUUCGUCUUUGAUUUCGCCAAUGCCUGUGCCUAGUGAGUGACGCUGACUCUGGUUCGUCUCUGUUCAUCGGUGGUGUCAUUUGCUAUGGUUUUUUUUUCUCUAUUCUUUUCUUCUUUUCGGUUUGGCUUUUUUGAUAACAAGGAAUUGGAGUGAUGCGGGUUCAUGACUCGUGAAUCAACUCGAUAUCCUUAAAAUGUAUUUGCUGAUUGUCGAUUGCGAUGUGAACCCAUUUGUUCUUAUUUGCUUUCCAUUGAUUCUUGCAUUUUUUUUUUCCUGCCUUGGUUUCUUUUCUUUUUCUUGGUUUGCAAAUUUUAAUAUCUGUUAUUUUACUGAUAGAUGUUAGUUUCCUACUUGAAUUAUGGGGUUUUACCCUGCUUUGUCUUCUUUCCAAUUCGUGCAGUUUACGUGAUUUGAGUUCCAAUUGCUGUUCAUACUAUGCCUCAGUCACAUUGUUUAAUGUCCUAAGGAUUCAUUCCGAGUGAGGUUUUGAACUUUUAAGAGCUCUUUCUUUAGGAUUCCUUGUUGGGUUUUGCUUGGAGGGGUUUAAGACUGUUUAUUCAUGGCUUUGCCUCUUUUAUUGUGACCAUUUUCUGUUACAUUUACAAUCUUAUCGGAUAUUCUUAUGACCAUUCGCCUCCAGCAGAUGAAGAUAAUAGAUGAGCAUUUUAAUUGAGUUGUGAUCUCUUACUAAGAAUUGUUAAUAUUUCCUGUCUUGGUGAUUUUUAUCCAUGGGAAACACAAGACGCAUGGUCAUAUGCGUUGGUCCACGCGUAGUGCAAAUAAGCUGUGAAUUAGAAGAGAAGGUUGAAAAAUCACACAUGGGUGUUGAGCUACGUUCUAAUUCAGAGACUGAAACUGAGCAGCCUCAAGAAUAGACUACAAAUGUGAAUGCAUCAGGUAAGACCUACCUACAUAUAUUUUGUGUAAUUUUUCAUUGUACUAAAAUGGUCCGCGUAUUGAUCUCGUUUGAUAAUAUUAGUUCUGUCUUUUAAUAUUUAGAAUUUCUUGUCUAGUAGCUACCACUAGAAAAAGGAAGCGCGGCUUUAUGUGUCUAUCGGGCAUAUGGAAUCUUCCUCCUGGGAAACACAUUAUUGUCAAGUUAGGGAAGAAAAUGCAGCCCAGUGGCGGCUUUAUGUGUCUAUCGGGCAUAUGGAAUCUUCCUCCUGGGAAACACAUUAUUGUCAAGUUAGGGAAGAAAAUGCAGCCCAGUGGAGGUUUGGGGAGCUCCUCAGAACCAUUGGUAGCGAAUUGGUACCAUUGUUGACAACUUGAAACAAAUUACCAAGGAUAUGAGAAACACUAUGAUUAGGAUUGUAGAGGUCGUUAGGUUGUACUCAUAUGAAAUCCCAUUCAUGUUGUAAAUAAAUUUAACAUCAUUAUUAAUAUUUCUUUGUUGUAGUCUAAGUUUGAUUAUCUUCGUACCAGCUAUGGAAAAUUUGGUUUUACAUUCCUUUAAUUCUAAAUGGAGUUAUUGGAAAAGUGAUCUAAAAGCUCACUAUGAUAGCUCUCAAUCUUUAUCGUAUCAUUUGAAGAAUCUUUUGGAAAGAUUGAGAAGAGAUGGAAAAAUCUCGUCACUUUUUGAAGUUCAAAGGAAGGGAAGGUAUGAAUCUCGUUCCAGCAUUGUUUUAAUAUGACCUGUCGACAUUAAGUAGACUUUCAUCACCCGUUAUUGACCAUUUUGUGAUAGCCUUAUUUUUAUUAUUUUUUUUUUUAGCAGAAGCUGAGUGAUGCAAAUAAGGCAGACAGAGCAAAACAAAAGAUACAACACACCUUAGGGAAUAAAAGUUUGUCUAGAAUAACUGCAGCAAAGGUACUCUCAUGUUUUCCGUUAAAUUUUUGUGUUUCCCUAUAAGUGAUAUUUCUAUUUUGUAAUCAAUAACUUUUUUUAAAAAGAUUCUGCGGUGGUGAUAUAUCAUUGAACCUAAGGUAAAGAUGUCCUGAGAUUUGCGACUUUUCCGACAAUAUGCGUUUUAAUAGCAGUUGUCGUAGGAAGAAAACAUAGGAUUUGUUCUAGAUUGCCUCCUUAAGAUUGUCCACGUUCUUAGCACCUGCAUUGAUAUCUUGUUAUUAUUCCCUUUGCUUUGUGAUUUGGAUUUGCUAGUGAAAGCAAAAUCAUCCACAACUUGCUUCAGGUUUAUCUAGAACACAUAGCCCGCCAUCAUUAACAAAAGAGCUAUGCAGCAGCCAAAGCUAUAAAGUAACUUAUAGAUUAUGAAACUUGUACAAUUUUCUAUUAAUUUGCUAACAUGACUGCAGUUUUGUAUAUGAGAGUGAACGAAAAAACAGAAAACUACUGCAGCCCUAGAAUACCCAAUUACUAGCUGUGCCAUGUCACAUGUAUGCACACGUCCCCACAAUUGUUGAAAAGCCAUUCAAUAUAGUUCAUCUAGUGUUAACAAAUGUCAUGCGGUCUUGGCAAUGACAAUAUUGCUGCUGCAAUUUAUCAGGAAUUUAUACAAUUAUCUGAACAGAAGAUGAACAGACCAAGAAAAGAGGGCAGGCUGGAAUAAAUAGUCUAAAAUUAAAACCAAAAGUCUAACUUCCUAGUGUGUGUUUUCAUAUGGUUUCGGUAGAUGACAAGCCAUAUAACAAUCCGCAAGAAACACCUAUAAAAAGAAAGAAUGAGAUUACUUUUCAAUUUGAUAUCUUUGGACAUCUUUUCCUAUUUUACAGGAAAGUCAGUUAUGAUGACUAACCAAGUUCUGGCACAUGAUAGGAAGCAGAGUUAAGAAUUCAGCUUAAAAUUGCUCAACAAUAAAUAGUAGCAUCAUUAUUUUAUUUCAUGAUACUGAAAUGCAAGGAAGCAUGAAUGAUCUCAUAGAUCUAUAUUUGGAACUUGGAAAGAGCAAUCCCCCCAUGAAAUAAUGUUUUUCCAGUGUUGGGAAAAAAGAAACCCGGUGCAUCUGAUGCUAGGGCAUAGUCCAUGCCCGAAUGAUUUGGGGCCUCAAAAUCUAGUUGUCUUCCAACCGAGAACUUAAGGUCAAAGAAAGAGAAGGAUGAAGAGAUUCACAAGUUGAAGAAAUAUAGUUGUCUUCCAUCCAAGAAAUGAAGGUUAGGCAAUGAGAAAGAUGAAGAGAUUCACAAGUUGAAGGGAAUACUGAAAGCAACAAAAGAGCAAUUACAAAAGACAAAAUGGAGACGUGCAAGGGUUACGGGCUCAAAAAGAUGUCUACUAUUAUACAAAAUUGUCAGCAUGCAGCAGACUCGAAGUGGUCUCAUGAGAUCUGGACAAGGUAAGUAUGUCACAAGCCAUGAGGUGUGACUAAUUUCAUUGAAUGUUAAAAUAGUGAAAGGUGUUUUAUUUACUAAAUACUGAGUGAUCUAGAUAUUGGACACUAAGGGGGUUUUAAAGGGAAUAUAGGUGGGAUAGACUUGAAACAUGAGUAUGGUAUCAGGAUCGCUUCGAUGGAGCUUGGAAGUGGAAUACAAAUUUACCAUAUUGUUACUAUGUUUUUUUUGCUGUGACUAAAUCAUGUUUUGGGUUUACUUCUCUUACAUCAUGCCUUGUCCUUUUUGGUAAUUUUGAAGUAUACAAGUGAUUGCCCUUAUCAGUCACUGCUGGGUGUUGCUCCUUUUUUUUUUUUUUUUAAGAAGGUCACUGCUGAGCUCUUUUGUCCUUCUCUGUAUAGAUCUUGGGGUGUUAUAGCAUCUUUUAUAUUGAAGAGAAGUUGAAAUGUUGCCUGUUUUGGCACUUGAGAGUGGUUGAGGGACAUAGUCAAAUGCUUGGAAAUGGUCUAUGUUGAUGAAUGGGUUUAUCAGAUGACCUAAUACCAUAUGCUGAUGAACCUUACGCUACUCUAUUUUUGGCCCUCAAUGCAUUUCUUCUUCUUCUUGCUCUUAAAGGUUAGGCUUCUAUUUUCAUAAUCAAACUUCUCAAGUUUACUGGGUUGCAGCAAUGAUUGUGAUUUGUGAACUAAUUUACAGCCAUUCGAUAUUGGUUAUAGUGUUUAUAAGAUGCUUUGGCCACUCACAACUAUGUUUUUUGCAAUGAAGUGAAUGGAGCUCCUUUGUUCAUGUCUCUGCAUUUUUUUCAAGUGAUGGGAAAUGUGGCUGAUCAUGUCUUGCUCAUUUUGUUUUAACAAAUAAGCUUCUCUACGUUUUGAUAUGCUUUACAGAUUAGUUAUGAGCUCCUAUGUUCAUUUAUUUUAUUACUUUCUGUGAUCUAAGCUUCCUCUACAUCCUUCUCCAAUCCAAAUUAUUAAAGGUUUAAUUGUGCGAUGUUCAACUAGUGAUCACUCCCAUGAUAUCUUGUGCUGGUUUCACACCCAUUAUGCUUAAUCCUCUUUCCUGCACUCAUUUGCUUUGCAGGAUGAUGACCAUCAUAACCCACAAUAGAGAUCUCCAAAAAUCAGUUUAUGCUCUCCAUUGUCGAGUCAUGAGCCACACUCUAAAAGAUGGGGUUAGUGUUACCUCCAAAGGUACAUUGAUCAUUGUAGAGCCCGCAUUGUUAUAAAUGUCUUAGGUCCAGCAAAAAAAGAACAAAACAGCUUCUUGUGCCUGUUGUUGAAGAAAGCUCAUUAAAGAACUAGUAUAGUUCCCGCAUCUUCAAGAUAUGGCGAGGCUAGAAAAGAUUUUAUAGCGAUGAUAGGACCUCUUUCAUGUGCAGUCGAACAUUAUGUCCGAGCUAUAGCUAAAAUUGCUUUAGAAUGCGAAAAAGGAAAACACAGCAACAUAGUGUUUUUGUUGCAGUGAUUCUCUCACGGACAUAGGGUGUCUAUCUCUCCCUCUCUGAGCCUACCUUGUUUAAUUAUUCCUUUCUAGCAUUGGAACAGUACAAAGAGCAAUCUAAAGAGUCCAAUAACUUAUGGAUGCCGGUGAAAAAUUGACCAUUGUCCUUCAGUACAUCUAGACAAUUUUUGGAUUGCGCCAAAAAGGCGAAAGCCCAUGCUUGAGAAGUUUUCGCCUUUUUGUCGUGAUCUGUGUGACGUGAUCAAAUGGAUGAUUCAGGGGUUUCAUGGCUGUUGCGUGACGGCUAAGCAAGUUGAGCGUCAUAACUCCUGAGCACGUCAACUUCUUUUCAUUUUGAAUUUGUUGUUUUUUUGAAUCUUAUGACUUUAAGAAGUUAAUAGAUUUAGCUUUGAGAAGAUUUUGGAAUAAAGUACCCAACAGAGACGAGGAUUUCGCAUUAUUCAUCCGUUGAUGUUUUUUGGGUGGAUAUGUGAUGCGUUGUCCCGAGGGAUGUUGAGAACAUGAGGCGAUUCUCUUGUUCCAUUUCCGAUUAUUAGCAAAGCCAACAUCUUGGGAAUCAUCUAUAGCGUAAGAGCUAAAAAUAAAGAUAAAAGUAAAUAGGCGCGCGCUAUGCAAACGCAACAGACCUAAAAGAGUUUGUCAUAUAUAUUAAUUAGUCAACCUUUAUAAUGCAAUAUUUGCUUGUGGUUAUCUAACUAAUUUUGAUGACAUGUUACAGGUGUCAAAUGUUUUAGGUGUCAAAUUUUGUAAUACUACAUACAUGUGGCUUGCAUGUUGUGUUAAUAAUUUAAAAGGAUGUUAGGAAAAUGAAAGCAUGAUAUUACUUUAAAAAAAAAAUUAUGAGAACUAGAGAUGGAGUUUCACAUUAUGGUUUAGUUUCUAAGUUAUCGAUAAUUGAGUAGAAUCGACUUUAAUCUCGGACGCAUAUGCUAUGUAGAGUUGAGCUUGAGCAUGAGAUUGAGAAACAAAGUUUUGGCGUACUAACAGUACAAUAUCAAACCAUCACUUUCAACUUAAACUUUGUAUCAACAAACUACUUCAAAUGAAUUUGUAGCUCGAUUGCAAUUUUAUAGCUUUUUUAUUUUUUCCCAAAUGAAGUACCUUUUCUUAGACACUUUUAGUUCAUUGACCCACUAAAUAAUAUGCUACGACAUUCCUUGCAUGCCAACAAGAAUGACGCUAUUGGUCUUCAAAACUUCACAAAGCCUCUCAAACGUAUACAAGUCCCGUGAAAGCUUGAUUCCUGAAAUCAACUAGUAAUACAUAUGAACUUAUUUUUACUGUGUUUAAUCUAUUUGUCAAUGUAUACUAUUUAUAAGAAAUAGAUAGAAGAUGUUAACUACAUUCACUGAGAUUGAAAUACUCAAAAGGAUACAGAUGAAAGUCAAAAAUAAUUGCAUUCAUUGAGAUUGAAAUAUGAGAGAUGAUCUAUAUAUAAUAGAAAACGAUAUCAUAUGAAAAGAUACAUAAAAUCUGGUGAGAUUUGCAUUGCGAUUAAAGGAACGGGAUUAUAUGUGCAUAUUUAGUAUAUCACAUAAGUUUAUUUCUUGCACCACCAAAUGCAAACAAUUUAAUACUAAGCCAUUCACCCAAUCUUUGGCUUGUACCCUACUUGGUCCAUGAGAUUAGUAAGGUAUGAUAUGGGCGAGACAUCUUAUCUGCUCAGGAUAAGUUUCUUGGAAGUUGGAAGGAGAAACAAUAUCUUAUUACCAGAAAAUGGCCAGAUUAUUUAUAAAUCAAGUAGAUAAAGCCCCCUCCUCCUUUCCCCGCUUUCUAUCUAGUGCACUUAUGGAAGUAGGUCAAUGAAAUUUCAUUUAUGUGAAUUAACAUACGCAUAAAUACACUUUUUUGUUUCUUUUUUUUUUCACGACUUUUAUGAAAACUGGUUUUGUUCUCAAUCUAGCCUAAAUUAAGAAAUUUUUAUGUAGACAAUCGACUAAAUUAUAGUAGAAGAUAAAACUAAGACUCAACCUAGGCAUCAAAAGUUAAAUGAGUAGCAGAAAUAGACACUGUGCCCGACAUGAAUCCUUGACUAAAAGAAUGAAUUCCUAGAAGAUCGACUUCUUUAACUCCUAUUUGAAGUGGCUUUCAAUCGAAUGUAAAAAAUAGGGGAGGAUACGGAAAUACAUCAUCGACCAAUUAAUAAAGUAUUUUAGGUCUGAAGUUUGGGAGUGAAGUCAAUGUUUGAGACUUACUGUAAGGAGAUGUGAAAAGUUUUUCCGACCUGCCUAUAUCUCCUUUCCUUCUUCGUUCAUUAUACCGGUAAGCGGCUGCUGUUCUUCGGUCAUUCCUGGUGAGCAUCCGGUGCUGUGGUUAUCCUUCUAUUGGCGUCAUGAUCUCUAAUUGCAAUCAUCAUCAUCGUGUCAUCCACUUUUUUUUUUUUUAGCUCCCUUUAUAUAUCAUGAGACUACACUAACGACACAAAAAAGAAAACCCGUCUUUCAUGGGCAGUUACAUAUCUCGCUCUGCAGCUCCUUGGCGAGGCUUUUGCAUGUCCGUGUUCCUCUUAUGUUCUUGUCUUUCGGUAGUCACUGAUGUAGCAUUUGGCGAGCUCUUCUAAUAGAUUCUCUCUCUCUCUCUCACGCGUGCAUAAUGCGGCCCACUAAGGAAUAGAAGUCCAAGAAUGUAAACAGAAUAAGAAACAGAAUUCAAAUUGUUCGCAGGAUGUGAAGGUUCUGGGAUGAAUAUUCUCUUCGUAGCAUUAUAAUAGUCCAAAACGGGAGUUGAACCUCACCUUCGCAUGACUUGGGUUGUAACGUGGCCAACACCUUGCGCUUAAAUGUCACCAAUUUCUUCGAUGCUCUUGUGAUCAGGCUAUACAUGGUAAUGUCUGUGAAUUCAUUAUUCUUCUUGCAACAACAAAGUCCACUUCUUUUUAUACAGAUGCUUUUCUUUUUGCUUGCAUUGUCUAUGUUAUAGUGAAGAAGCUCCUAGCAGAAUCCUGAUACAACCGCGAUAGUCAACAUAUGUUUCUUCUGUUGCAUUCAUCCGUUGCUUCUGUUGCAUUUAGUAGAGCCUUCAGUUGCCAAAUCGAAGAAUGGCGGCCGGAAGAUUGAGGGCACUGAUGUCUAAAUCAAGUGGUAUAACUCCUAAUGAUGUUGACUCAGAACUUAACUGCUACUAUGUUCUUUGAUCACCAAUUCUCAUCACUAAAACAAGUAGGAAUUGGUUUUAUGGUUGUAAUAAGUUGUGGAUUGAUCUGAACGCACCAGAUAGUGCUAAGGACAUGAUAAUCGACAUCCUUGAAAUGAAUAAAUAAAUCAAGCAUUGUGCAAAUCCAGCCAAUUGAGGCAAGAGGAGGUUAACGUGAGUAAAGAAAAAAAUAUGAUAAUAUCACUGGUCAUUUGUUCUAUGAAGGUGUUGUGUCAUUGUGCUGGUUAUGUCUAACGCAAGAGUUGGUGGGAAGUUUCUAAGCCUUGCAUAGUUUAUUUAGAUGUGAGUGUCUACAUUUGUGUCAGGUUGAACUACUGGAAGUCCUGCUUCCCUCAUCUUCAGUACGCUUGUUCCGGCUUCGUGCUUUGGAGUUGCUUUGCUACUGAAAACUAGAUAUUCUAAUGGAAAGCUGUUGGCUGUUUGGCAAUAUGACAGAAAGCUUUCGUUGUUCUUACCAUCCUUAUUAAAGAACUUCUGAUACCUUUUCAUUCUGUUACGAAAAAUCUAGUGAACUCAACAGCUUUGGCCACUUGUAUAGUCUAAUAUAUCACCAGAUGCAAUGGCACAUGCUAAUCUGGAUUCUAGAAGAGGCGCCCUAGAAGCGAGACAAUGAAAUGCCAACCCCCUCGAGCGGGAAACAUUCCAACAUAAACAGUGAUUUAAAAUUUCACCCUGAAUGGUCAGAGCAGGACGAAUGAAAUGAAGUCUCAUUGUUUUCUUUUCCUCAACCCGACGGUUUAUCAGAGAUCUAAAUACUUGUGUACUUCGACACUAAAGACACUUAAUACGUGAUUUUCAACGACACUUCCAUAUCUCUGCAUAUGUGCAGACCUGUGGGGAAUACUCGUUCUUGUGCUGAAUAUGUUAGUUUUUUUCGACUCUUAUUGAAAUCAUCGAACAGGUGCAUAUGUACAGCUUGGGACUCCACUUUGCUUUUGUUGGAUCCCUUGGCUCGGAUUCGUGGUCAUCGGUUUCACAGCACUUUUGGGCGUGUUAGACACAGGCCCUCAUCCACAUUAGAAAGCAAUUUCCAUAAUGCUAUGCCAUUUUGUAGGUCUAACUCAAUGUAUCAAGUCACAUAUGCAAGCCACCUUUAGGCUUUUUAGGUAGGUCCACGAUAUAUUUUGCCAGCCUUGUCGAUCAGAAUGCCAAGUCUUGGGUGAUUGAUUCGGAUAUAAAAGCAUUCAUACUUGAAUGUCAAGUCUUCUAAAAGUCCGUGAUAUGUAGAGCAUCCCGUGAAUCAAAUAAGACGCGAAUUCAAAAUCUCAAAAAUUCGUUUAAGUACGAAUUUUUUCACACCGGAUGAUAUAAAUGACUGAAUGCAACCAAAAACGAUAUGACCAUUUCAAGCUCAGCAGUCUCAAAGCAUUCUAAUUAUAAAUCAGAAGUACAAAAACCACUGGAAAUUUGAGAGUAACACUUUUUCUCAGAACCAAUUUCUCUCAACACAGACAUGAAUUCCGUCCAAUACAAAAAAGCCAAACCAACUGCCAAUGCAAUAACCAAAAGCAAAUCGUAAGGAAAGAACUAGAUGUACCUGGACAUGAGUAGUGGCAUCCUGACCAAACACGAUGUCGUGCCUCAUCUGCUUCACCACCGCCUGUCUCUUGUUACUCAGCAGCCUUAUACUUGCCACCGUCAUCUUCGCUGCCGUUUUGCUGUUCAUUCCCAAAACAAAAUAACAAAAAACUCUCCAUUAAUAUGACUACAAAAAGCCCUCACCUCUUAUUUGCUAUUUACCAGAACAUAGAAAGAAAAAAGCCCACAAAGUAAACCAAUUUCACGUGGGGAUUUUAUGUUGCGUACCUUGUGAAUAGUGGCCAGCGUUUGUCUCUCCUGAUCUGACCAGGUGGGAGAGGACACAGUCGCAGAUCUCCAUCUUCUUCCUCUCGAUCUCCUCCUCCUUGGCCCUGAAAGUGGACGGAGCAGCCCUCAACAUCUCCUCGUCCUCCCUCAACAGCAAAAUAUUGCUGCUGAAGCUCAAGUUCCCCGACG
rnacentral:lncRNA from 1 species